rnacentral:lncRNA from 1 species
GAUAAGAGUAUAUUUUACGUAUUUUUAGUGUGCUUUAUUAAUUAGUUUUGGUGUGUUUUAUUUAGUUUUAUAAAUAAUUAACUAAGAUUCUAGUGAAAAUAUGCAUUUUGUGGUUAAAGUGUGAAAAUUGCAUUUCUAUUGAUUUUUAUGGUAAAAAUUUCAUAUUUUGUAGGUUUAAUGAUUCAAUCAUCAAAUGAAGUGCAUUGAGAAAAUAUUUGGAUGAUUGAAGAUGGAUUAAAAUGGUGAAAAUAAAAUAUGAAGUGUAAAAGGAAAAAUGCAAUUUGAAUCAAGAAAAGUCAGCUUUGACAACUCUGACACGUUUUGGUAUUUUAACUAUAUCUGGAGCUACACAGAUUGGAUUGAGGUGAUCUUUAUACCAUUUUGAAGCUAAGAGAUAGAUCUAAAUUUGGUAUGAAGACAUCAGAAUCUAAUUCAGCCGUUUUCAUUGUCCAAAAGUUGAAAUACCGAAAUUCAACUCAGCUGAGAAAUGCAACUUGAGAACAAAAGAAUCAAACAAAAGUCAGCUUUGGCAUCUGUUGGUAUUUUGGCUAUAUCUUGGGCUACAUACAUUGGAUUCAGAUGAUCUUUAUAUCAUUUUAAAGCUAAGAGACAGAUCUACAUUUGGUAUGAAGACAUCAAAAGUCCAAUUCGGCUGUUUUCCUGGUCAAAAUGUCAAAAUACAGAAGUAAAAGUCUGCUGCUGAGAGCUGAAAACGCGGAAUUGACCAGUCAGUGGUAUUUUUAUCAUAUAUCGGUCUAGACAGCUCUAAAUUGGAUGAUUCUUGAGGCAUUGGACAGCUAUUUCAAUGGGCUACAACUUCUAUGUUUUUCACAAGAGCUAAUUUAGCCGUCAUUAUAGAGAAAAUAACAGUUGAAGUAGCCAGAUUCUGGUCAGAAAUAGCUGCUGGUACAACCUGUUUUCUCCUUCAACAAUUUACAGCUAUGGAUGAACGUAUGACAACCAAUUAGCAGCUGUAAAAGGGAUGUUUCAAGCCUCAUUUCCUGAUUGCAUUCAUCUAUAUAUAGCCAUGGACUUGCAGGAUUCAAAAUAACUUGGGAGAAGGCUAGAGAAACUCACCAGAAAUGUAGUUUUCACUAGAGUUUCCUUGGUUCAUUAGUAUAGUAUAGGUAGAGUAGUUUAUCCAUCUUGUAUUUGUAGUUAGAUUUGGAUGAAGAUUGGAGGAGCAAAGAUGAAGAGGUCGAUCUCAUGUGACAAGGGUGAUAUCUCUUCUACUACUUUCUCUCUUGUAUUGGAUUUCAUGUUUAAUUAUAAUACAAGUUGGCUUUGUGUUUUUAUUAUGUUUAGUUAAAGUUUAUGCCUAGAGUUAUGGUUGAACUUGCUAUAUUUUGUUUGUGAGGUUUACUUGGCUAUUUGAUGAUAUUAUUUUGAGUACAUUAUUUAUCACUUUUGGUUAUCUAAUCAUGAUUAACUGGCCAUUAAUUAUGAUAAUCAUAAGGUGUUAAGUUUGCAAUGAAAAUUGGAAUUUAACACUAGUUCAAAGAAGUGAUAAGCCUAGGGAGUACACUCACGAAAGUAGAGGUGCACCUAUGUGGCUUAAGUGACUUGUUUCAUGUAAUUUCAUAGAAGAAAUGAACUUGUAAUUAAUUUCAUAACCACGAGAGUAGGUAUGGGUUAACUACAAGUAUAGUUGAUUCACUACGAAAGUUGGUUUCACAUACAUUAGGAAAUUACGCCAUAACUAGUCAAGAUAAUAGCAUUCACUUAACCGGUAAUCUCAUUUGCAAGAGUAGUAAGGAAUUCCAUAUCUCUAGGAGCUUUCUAGUGUUAUUUUCAAACAUUUUAUAUUUGUGGUAGUCUAAAUAAUAAAGGAGUUUGAAAACAUCGGUAAUUGCAUUCUUCCCUGUGGGAUCGACCCUUAAUACCCUAUACUCGCUCACGAUUCGUAUACUUGCGAUAAAUCGCGUGUGGGGUAUUUAGGAAUUUAUAAAUGUAAAACUUGAUUGGGAUGAGUUUAAUAUUAUAUGUAUACCCCGCGCACGUCAAGUUUUUGGCGCCGUUGCCGGGGAAGAUUUGGCAAUAUCGGUGUGAAGAGCAACUUUAUUAAUUUAGACAAUUUUUCUUAUUUUUGUUGUUUUUAUCUUGUGUGUUUUAUGUCAUUUUUUUUGAGUCAAUUUUUAUUAUUAUUUUUUUUUUCUGUUUUAGUUUGUGUCUUGGAAUCUAUCCUUCUUAACUAAUCUUACUUUUGAGAUUGUUUAAAAGUAAUUUUAGAUAAUGAGGAGGGUAGGUGAAUUGGGAGGACAAAGCUUGAGAAAUGAAAAAUUGGCAAUGGAUGGUUACCUAGUGCAAAACUCCUUCAACAGAGGUAACCAAGAAAUUACUGAAGGUAUGUCUUUUGAAGAUGGUUUGAAGUGCUUAAAGGCAAAAUUUGAUGCAAUUAUGUUACAAGUUCAAAUGGGCACAAUUAUGCAUGAAAUUGAGCAAGGGAGGAAUAUUAAUACUUUUAAUUCUUAUCAUAUGAUUUGUCACUUGUGUGAAGGUUAUCAUGCUACUAAUACAUGUAUGCAAGCACAAAAUGUGGGUUAUUAUGAUGAAUUAGAGCAUUACAAUCCUUGUUUUGAUCAAUAUAGUGCUAAUUGGAACAAUUCUCCUAUGGAUGGUUGGGAUAAUCAAUGUACUUAUAAUAAUUCCUCAUAUUUUUACGAUUACCAAUCUGAAUGUGUCCAAUAUGAAUCAAAACCAUCUUGGGAGUUGGCAAUUGAAAUGGUAGCUAAUGAUUCUAAACCAUCUUGGGAGUUAGCUUUAGAAAAAUUAGCUAAUGCAACUUCCGACCGUUUUGAUAGGGUUGAAGAAAGAAUAGAUGAACUGACUUCUCACUUUAGUAGAAUACAAGAGAAAUUGCACGCAUUGUGUGAAGUUAUUUCUUCUAAUGAUAUGAAAGAUGACCCUAGCAUGAAUGGUAGGAAUGUUGUAUGUGAAAAUGGAUUGCAUUUGGAUGAAAAUGAUGAAUUUCAAUUGUGUUUUAAUGAGCAAAUAUCCAUUUCACAUGAUAAUAUCUUUGGAACUAACUUUGAGCCUCAAGAGGUGAGUUUUAAUGACUCAUUUUUCACCCCUCUUGAGGAGUGCAUUGAAAGUAUAGGUUCUAAGGGUAUUGCUGCCCAAGAUCCUCUCAUGGCAUCCCCGUUGGUAAGUUCUCAAGUGGUGUAUUUUCAAGGUAAUAUUUAUGAAACACUUGGAAUAGGUAAGCCACUUCCAUCUCUCACAUCAUUAGAAUAUGUGACUUUUGCUAUAAAGUCACCUUUUAAUGAUCCACCACGACCUAAAAUGGUGGAUUAUUCGUUAACUAAACCUCCUUGAAAAAUGAGGUUCAAUAGUCGAGCCAACGACUAUAAAUAAAAGCGCUUAUUGGGAGGCAACCCAAUGUUUUGGCUAUUUAUGUUAUUUUGGUGUGAUUUUAUGUUUAAAGCAUGUGUUUGAGUUAUUUUGUUAUUUUUCAUUUGUAGGUAUUGGAAAUGGAAGCAAAAGUGACCAAAUGAGAUGAAAAAGACGAAAUUUGAUCAAGGAACUCAACCCCUCGAUUUGAAUAAUUGUUGUUUUUGAUCCGUUAAAAGGGGCUAAAAUGCAUGUUUUUAAUGUUUUACAUGUGUGCACAUUGAUAAAUUUUACAAACAAAUGAUUUAUGAUGCAUUUUGAGUGAUUGGGGUAUUAUUUGUAAAUUUUCAAAAGUUGAAUUUCUGCUAAAAUUCGCAGCAGAAAAUGCGUUUCUCAAGAAAACGCGCCUCUGAGUCGCGUGUUCACAGAAUCGCGUUUUCAAUUCUGCACCUGCAGAACAGAAACGCGCCAUUAAAACGCGACUUUAAGUCGCGUUUUGAAGGAAGUCGCGUUUUGUUGCCUGGAUCAAAGAUGAAAACGCGCCAUUGAAAACGCGACUUGAAGUCGCGUUUUCUCACAGAACCGCGUUUUCAGUACUGCAACUUUUGGGAAGAAACGCGCAUUCAAAACCGCGAGUUAAAGGCGCGUUUCUACUCACGUUUUCUGAGCAUUUUUUUUUUUGAAAGAAAAAAUGCAGGUUCCUUGGUUCUCUUUUUCUUCUUUUCCUCAUAUAUUUUCUUGUACCUUGAGUUGCUUAUUGUGUAUUUUUUAUAGGUACAUCACCAAAACAAGGGCUUGAAGUUACGGAUAGCCGUUUUGAUGUUUUAAGCCUUUGUUAUCACUUUGGUUUCUCAUUUUCCAUUCUUAGGUUUAUAUCACUAAUGGUUAUCAAAUGGAACUCAUGAAGCGAUGAAGAAAGGCGAACAACGUACCUUGAAGCUUCAUACUCAAUCACAUCAUAGGGGAGUAUUACUUUCUUUAUCUUCAUUUUCCUUUUUACACAUUGAGGACAAUGUGUAUGUUAAGUGUGGGGGGAGAAUUGAGAUUAUAUAUAUUGUAUGUGAUUGACUUAUUAGUUGCAAAUAUUGGACUUGUGUUAAAAUUUUCAAAAUUUUUCUACAAUCUUGUCCAAAAUUGCAAACUUGCCCCAAAAAGUUUCAAUUUUUUCGAUUUUAUCCAAAGGGGUAACAAGUUUCAUACCAUUAGUAGUUCAAAUUUCUUCUACAUUUGAGAUAAAUAUAUGUGAUUUGGAAACUUCUUUUCUCAUUUAACUUGGAAAUGACUAUUAUGUGAUUAUAAUUUUGCAUUUGUAGGAAAAUAUAUCUUGUGAAGUGGAGAAAAUUAUGCAUAUAUUUUUUUUGCAUAUUUGAUGAAAUUUCUUCUCUUUAUUGGAUUUUAUAAGUUAAGUGAUAAAUAUGGUCAAUAAGUGCAAUACUCUUCUCAUGAUUAUUCUUUUGAGGAAUUUAUUAUUAUCUUUGCUGUAAAAAGAAAAAAAAUGGAAAGAAAAAAAAAGAAAAAAAUCCAGUAUCAUCAAACUUCUUCAAAUGGGCUCUUUAGCUACUAACCCCUUCAAAAAUAAUUUAGGCUUACGGUUCUGUUGAUGUCGCAAUUGCAGGAGGUUCAGAAGAUAACGAAAGGCUCAUCUAAGAUUUCUUAAGGUGUUUGGCUUAUAUUGCUAGAUUUACUUAAUCUAUUUUCAUUCUUCUCCGAUGUCAUUAUUGUUAAAGUUCAAUUCAUAAGUUGGUUGUGUUAGAAAAUUGGCUUAAUUUCUUUUUAGAUAGGUUUUUGUUUUGUGCAAAAGUAACUAGUUUCCUAAUUGGUUUUAGUUACUCGGAAUAGUAGCCAAGAAAUUUCUUAUUUUGUUUAGAAUUAGAAGUUAUUUCUUAUUUUCUACAAGUCUAGGAAUUAGAAUUAAUUUCCUGUUGUUAUUUGGAUUUUUUGACCAAAUAAUAUUUUUAUAAAUAGGUGGGUUGGCAUACUAUAAAAGAGACACAUAAGGGCACACAAGGACGACAUGUAACCUUAUACAUGGGUGGUGAGAGAGAGUUCUUAGGAGAUGAGAAAUGGUAUACAAAGGUUGGACUUGAGUUCGAGUUGUAUUCUUGUAUAAGGUUUUUCUCUCAUAAUAAAUAACAAGUUUCUCUCCGUGGACGUAGGUUCAAUGGAGUCAAACUACGUUAAAUAUUGUGUGUUGUUUAUCUUUUAUACUUGUGGCUUGUUUCUCAUUAAAUUAUUGUGUACUUGAUAUCUUAAUAGUUAUUUAUUCUGCAUUUAGUUCCUAACAAAUGGUAUCAGAACUUGAUUGCGAGAUUGGGCUGCUCACAAGCACUUGGAUCCCAACAAACUGAAUAGUUGGAUCAAGAGUUUGGUUGUUCAAGGAUGGAUCCUAGUUAGCUAUUGAGAUCAAGUAGGUUGGUGACUGUUACCAAUUGAACAAUUUAAUGGGCGGUAUCCUUUUUCAAGAGUUUGGCAAAAAAGCAUUGACGGUGAAUGAUGAAAAGUCGAAAAGCAUGGAGAUACUUGACGGUGAAUCUAGGCAGAUGAUUCAAGAGUCAAGGAAAAGGUGGAAUCCAAUAUCGAUUUUGGACGUGAAUCGGUGGAGACUUUCUCACAACUUCAACGGUUGAUACUUCAUCUCGGUGAUUUUUAGAUUUCGCUUAUGUUUUUUGAGUGGUACGGCACCUGACCCAAAAAAAUAAAGAGAUUUAAUUUCUAUGCGCUAGAAGACUCUGACAGUUACGAGUCUUUUGUUUCAGGUGAAUUUUUGGAAACCACACGUGGCGAGAUAGUCUUGAGGAAGGGAAGAAGUAUGAUGAUUUUAUCACUUGGUUGCCUCAAUGAUUAAGGUUAGAGCUCAUAGAAGGAGAUUUUGGGUUGCAAGUGGUGGUGAGAAGAAAUCCUGUAAAGAAAAAUGGUGAAUUGAGGCAUCUUCUCACGAAUCAACUGGAGGUUGUACUAGGUGUAAAUACACAUAUUCAUUUGGCAAUUAAAUUAAUUUGGUAUCAGAACUGUAUUGAUUCGGGUGUGUAGUUCGGUACCAUAUUAUUUGGUAGUUGAAAGUAAAUAAUUGUUAAAAGAAAUUUUCGCCAAGAUAGAGAUUUGUUAGGAAAUUGAUUUAAUUUCUUUUCAGACAGGUUUUUGUUUUGUGUAGAAGUAACUAGUUUCCUAAUUGGUUUUAGUUACUUGAAAUAGUAGCCAAGGAAUUUCCUAUUUUGUUUAGGAUUAAAAAUUAUUUCCUAUUCUAUACAAGUCUAGAAAUUAGAAUUGGUUUCCUAUUAUUAUUUAAUUUUUUGGCCAAAUAAUAUUCUUUAUAAAUAGGUGGGUUGGCAUACUACAAAGAGACACACAAAAGCACACAAGAGACGACAUGUAGCCUUAUAUGGGUGGUGAGAGAGGAUUUUUAGGAGAUGAGAGAUGGUAUACAAAGGUUGAAUUGGGGUUCAAGUUGUGUUCUUGUAUAGAAUUUUUCUCUUAUAAUAAAGAACGAGUUUCUCUCUGUGGAUGUAGGUUCAAUGGUGGAGCCGAACCACAUUAGAAAAUAGUGUGUCAUUUAUUUUCAUGUUUGUGGCUUGUUUCUCAUUAAAUUGUAGCGUACUUGAUAUCUCAAUAGUUGUUUAUUCCAUGUUUGGAUCCUAACAGAUUGCUAAACCAAGAUUGAUGUAAUUGCGUCCUAUAAGAGAGUUUGCAAUUCAAUUGAUUAAGGGAAGAACAGAGAAAAUCCCUGAAAAUGGGAAUUAAAGGAAACAAAGGAAACCCUAAAACUAGUUUCCAAGAACAAUUCUGUCGAAGACAGAAAACAAAGAAAAUAGUAUCAAAGGCUAUAUCGUUAUUUAGGAAACAAGAAGCACUUGAAGGUGAAUGUUGCAGAAAGUAGAAGAUCCCACUACAAUUUACUAAUUCAAGGAGCUGUAAUUAAGAAAGAAAGAAGACAACUCAGAGAAUUAGGGAUUGUUAUUAAUUGAUGAAUGAGUAGGAAGAAUGUAGAUGAAGAUGAUAAUCAAUUACAAGUAAUGGAAAUCGGAAAUCCUAGAACUGCCUUCAACUUACCACCCUCCUCUCUUUUAUUCGGCUACUACACUUGUCCAAGUCAGCUAAUUCAUUACAACCAACUGACAUACAAGAAUUAUAAGGAUUUAUUCAUUAAGUCCCUAUCAUACUCGCUUUAUUACAAAAAAAAAAAAAAACCCUAUCAAUAAAACUAAGGUAACAAAUACUUCCCCCUCAGAGAAUCCUUGUCCUCAAGGAUUAAAUUCAGGAAAUUGUUGUUUAAGGUCAAACCAGAAUUCCCAGAUAGCAUCUUCAAGAAAAGAAUUGCUUCACUAUGCCAAAACUUUUGUAGCAAGAGAGUUACCACAUUUCACCAAUUUCUGAUCAAGUAUGGCUAUAGGCUCCAUUAAUAAUUAUCCCUGUGUAUUGAUUGUGUAUUGAUUGCAAAAGGAAUGUGUGAGGUAACUAGUGAGUGCCCACUUUCUUCUUUAGAAGAGAUACAUAAAAAAUAGAGUGUAUUUUUGCCAUAUUAGGCAGCUAAAGCUGAUAUGCAACAGGGUGUACUCUUUUGAUCACUUGGAAAGGUCCAAAAAACUUAGAAGCUAACUUCUGACAAGAGUGUACCUUCAAAGAGUGUUGCCUCUACAGUUGUAGUUUCACAUAUACCCAAUCUCUUGCCGAGUACUGUCUAUCAGACCUGUGUUGGUCAGCUUGUUGCUCCAUCCUAUUUUGUGCCUUAUGAAGGUUGUACUUUAAGUGAUGCAAAACUAUCUCCCUUGCUGCCAAGAUUCUAUCCACCACUUCCACUACUGAAUUCCCAAGUAGACAAGGCAUAUGCAGAGAUGGUGCAUGACCAUACACCACCUCAAAUUGGAUAACCUUAGUGGCAGCAUGAAAUUUGGUAUUGGACCAAUAUUCAGCCAAGGGUAACUAGAUAGACCACUGCUUUGGAAAAUCUCCACACAUGCACCUCAAAUAUUACUCCAAACACCUGUUUACCACCUCAGUUUGACCAUCUGACUGAGGGUGGUAGGUAGAAGAGGUAUUAAUCUGCACUUUUAGUAACUUAAAAAGUUCUUGCCAAAAAGUGCUAAUGAAGACCACAUCCUUGUCACUAACAAUGCUCUGAGACAAGCCGUGAAGUCUACAGAUCUGAUCCAGGAAUAUGUGCAAAUAUAAAUGCUGAAUAAGCAUGUGACAAUGCCAAGAAGUGUGCAUACUUACCUAACUUGUCAACCACCACCAAGAUGGCUUGUUUACCAUGUGCAUUAGGUAAACCUUCCAUAAAGUCCAUGGAAAUUCACUCCAAACCUUUUGAGGCACACGUAAAAGUCGUAAUAAACCCAAAUAAGCAGUAUUGUCAUAUUUGUUGCACUGACAGACAUCACAUGCAGCCACAUAGUUGACUAUGUCUUGAUACAUUCUUCUCUAAUAAACCACUGACUUCAACUUCUUUUAGGCAGCAUAAACUCCUGAAUGCCUCCAACAGCACUAGAAUGCCACAAGUGAAUUAUAUUAUUCUUGAAUUGGCAGUCAUUUUCUACCACUAGUCUCCCCAUCCUCCUUAACUGCUAGUUGCUCCAUGUGUAAUAAGGUGAGACCUUAGAAAGAUCAAAUUGUAAUUGAGUGAUGAAGUUCUAUAGCCUUAUAUCUAUUUGCCAUCCCUUUUUAAUCACUAUCAAAGAUCACUGUUAACAAUGAUGAUGGCAAGAGCUUCUCUUGGUUCUGCUAGUUUUCUAAAGAGAGUAUCUCUCACCAUAUUAUAUGCUUCUUUCCUGUAGUGAAGCUCAUAAUAAAAUCUUACUAGCUUAGUCAUCCAUUUCUGCUGCAUAAGAGUAGGGCUGUCAAUGGUCUGGGUCUAGACCCGGACCCGGACCGGAUCCGUCAAAUUUAUCCGGUAUGGGUAGGGAUUUAAUUCCGUUACCCGGACCCGGAUCCGGAGCCAUUUUGCCAAACAAAAAAACGGGUCGGAUACGAAAUAUAGUAUUCCGACCCGUAUUGGACCCGGAUCCGGAUAUAAAUGGAUUACUAAUUUAAAAAUAUAUAUAUUUAUUAAUAUAAUUUGAUUAGGAUGAUGUAUUUGAGUGAUCAAUAUAAUUGGACACCCGGAUCCUAAUCAAUAUAAUUUGAUUAGGAUGAUGUAUUUGAGUAAGGUUAAUUUGAUUUCUUUUCUUAUUUGAUUUUUUUUGUAUUAGUUAGAAAUUAGUUUAUAAAUAUAUGUUUUUUCUCAUUUUUGUUAGAAAUUAUAAAUUUUGUUAGUUUUUUUUCGGGUAGACCCGGAUCCGGAUCCGGGACCCGUCGGAUCUGGAUCCGGAACAUAGAGUAAAGACCAUCGGGUAAACGGGUCGGGUCCGGAUCCGAUAUAGUGUGCCGGGUCCGGGUCUGGAAUAAUGAAUUCCGGCCCGGACCCGCCCGUUGACAAGCCUACAUAAGAGUGUUCAAUCUUUGUUCCAUCAUAUAUUCAAUGCUCUAAUGGUCAUUUUUAAUGAUAACGUACCUUCCAGGUAGAUAAGGUCUCCACUUCUAUACAGCAGCAACUAUGGCCAAUAUUUGCACUUUUCCAAUAUACUAUCAUAUGCUAUUCCCCCACACACCUAAAUCUUAUAUUGUCCCCAAUGUAAAAUAAAGAAUAAAAGAAAAGUAAUGGGGAUAACGAAACUUCCUUGAUAACUGAGGGGGCCGUCGACAGCUACAGGUGAGGGGCGAAUGACUGUGGAGCUCGACGUAUGUUGAUGGUUGGUGGCGGUGGAGUUCGGAUGGAGAAGGAUGGAAGAAAGAAAGAAAGAAGAAAGAAAAAGAAGAGAGAAAGAAAGAAAGAAAAAGAAAAGGAAAAAGAAAGGAAAAGGAAGAGAAAAGAAAAGGGAAAUACGAAUGGGAAUUGCUCCAAUCCGAGCUGGUUUUUUGUACUACUACUUUGCUUCUUGUACGAAGCUUGAAGUUGCAGCAAGCGCGGAAAUUUUUUUUUUUUUACAUCUAAUUUUGAUUUUUUUCUUUUUCUUUUUCCUUUUCUGUAUUUCCUUUUCUUUUCUUUCUAAUUUUUCUGCAAAAACAAUCAAAUGAGAUGGAAUGAUUUUUUUUAAAAAAAGGUAAAAAUAUAAAUAGAGAUAAAUAAAUAAUAAUAGUUAUUAACAAAUCAUAAAAUGAUUUAUGAAAUUUUUUUGGUGUCUACAUAUAUACACAUACUAAUAAUUUUUAUAUUUAUAUAUUUUUCCUAUUUAAUCUUACCUAUAAUUCUUUCUUAUUUUAUUUACUUUUUCUAAUUAAUUUUAUAUUUUUAAAAAUAUAACAUCUAAAAAUAUAUAUUAACGAAGAGGACAUCCGUUAGACAGGUCCUAUUUUAUGUAAUAUAUAUCUCUACAUGAAAAAAACUUUUUUAAUAGGUAUCCCGUUUUUUGACAUGAAAAAUACCUUUUGACUACAUUCUGACUAGCGCCAAAAGCUAUCCACUUUUGACAUGCUGCCCAUGCAGGCCUAAUUUUUUUUAGUACUGAAUUUGUUUUGGAUACGUUAGUAUUUCUUGAAUUUUAGAAAAUGCUUCUCUUUAAUAAAUGUAAGUUCAUUUUAAUCUUGAUUCGCAAGCUUUUUCUUGAAAAUGGUUUGCCAUUUCUUAUUAGUUGUUACAGUAAAUUUAGCAUGCAUAUAUGCUUUUUGUCAAAAUUCAAUCAUUUCAAAAUCUAGAAGGGAACUUCUAAAAUACCUGCAUCCUCCUUUUUCUUUUUUCUUUUUUAUUCCCCCCCCCCCCCCCCCCCGGCUUUGUAUUCAGAAUCAGAUUGUGUUCAAUUAGUUGGAAUUUGGCUUUGGAGUUAAAAGGGAUUUCCAUUUUUUCCUAGGUAUUCCACAGCUUGCAUAACAAAAGCACAGAGGCGGAAGAAAACCCAUGAUUAAAUCAUACAACAGGCUUGUAAGAAAAUGCCCACUCUGAAAAAAUGAAAAGUUGAAUUUCCUAUUUUCAAAUUUACAUGCAAAAAAUGAAUAAUGACAUGCAAGAAAUAGUCUGCUAUUUCGCCAUGUUUCACAGUUUAUGAGAAAUAUAUUACAAAUAAAUCCACAUAAAUGGUGGGAAUAAUAACUCAAAUAUGGUGGGACAAAUAAACAUACAGGGUGACCCCUGCCAGCUGAGAUAACUAGCUGGUUUAUUUAAUUUAAUAGUUUGAAUACAAUAGUAAAUCAAUGCCAUAGCUCAGAUACUGACUAAAUUUUUCUCCCUGAAGAAUUCAACAGCAUCUUUUAGGCUGACCUCCAAAGGAGUGAAUUGAACUCCCAACCUUUUUGCCUUCUCAUUGGAGGCUCUGUAGUUUGGGCUGAUAAGGUUGGUAUUGUUUGACAUUCUGCUGUAUGCGGGACAAUACACAAUUAUGGCAAACAUAAAUAAAGCUUAGGUAAUGAAAAUGCAAAUGUAAAUUCAAAUGCUUGAAAAUCUACUGGACAAUUGCCUCAUAUCUACUGUAAAUUGUGCCUUUUUUACGAAGUUUCAAAAGACCUUUUAAAAGAUAACUUUAGUUGUGAUAUGAAUGAAAUUUAUUUUUCUCUAUAAAAAAGCCUAAAACGGAAUUUCUAUUUUGGAGACAAAGCCAAUUUGGUGAUAUAUCCUAGUCCAAAGAAGACCAUCUUCUAGAAAUCAACCUGAGAAAGAGCUCAUUUUUUAUGGAACAUGAGACCAAAAGAAAAAAAAAAGAAGGCAGAAAAUUUAGGAUUUAGUGUCCUUUAAAAGAGAGUAUAAAAAUAUGUGAUACAUUUUGGACGUAUACAAGGCCAUCAGCAAAAGCCUGCAAAGACCUAAACAAGGAAAACAAGACUUACUUAUCAGGAAAUUGGUGAGUUGGGUAAUGCUCAUGCAAAAUCUUGAUGAUCUGAGAGGCAUUUGCACAUCUUUCAACCAGACAAUAUCUUCCACUUGCAGAAGGGGUUUCAAGGGCAAGAACAUGUGCAUUGGCAACAUCUCUAACAUCAACCCAGCUACAUGUUGCCUUAGGAAAUGGUUCAACCCCUGCAUUUGGCACCUAAGAUCUUUAAACACAUUUUUUUGCAGGCUCUUCAGCAAACAUAAGUGAAACCAAUUUGGUUUGUUUGGAUUGGCAUGAUUUCAGAUAAAAUAAUUUGCUUCACAAAUUCCAAUCACCUUUUUAUCUCACAUACAGCACAUCACAAAAGUGUUACAGUAAUUAUCUCAAAUAAAUCAUCUAAAUAAACUUCUAUCCAAACAAAAUGUUGUUUGCCAUGAAAAGAGUCAAAUUUAGAGGCCAUGGCCUGCCUUCCAGAAGAAAUGUGUGGUAUGUACUACUUUGUUCUGUUUUAGUAUCAGCAAAGCCACAGAGGGGAGGGAGAUGUGAGGAAUGAACUACUUGAGACAAUUCAGAUAAUUGGUGAAUAAUAAGAAAGAUUAAUCCCAACAAUCUUCUAGUUAAUCUGUCGAGUUAUUACCUGGAAUUUCUCAGAUUUAGAGUUAGGUUUCAAAGGAUAGUUUAUUUAUUUAUGUGAGGAAUAAACAAGCUUUAGCAAGUCUGAACAACAUAAACAGUGACUACUCCUAACAAAUUUUUCCUCACAAUUACCACCCAAAAAUUUCUUUUCCUUCCUGUUAAUCACAUAGAACCUCAAUGUUGUUGAAAGGAAGAUGCACACAACGUGAAUUUCAGAUGAAAGAUUGUACUGCAAACCUUUAAAACAUCAUAAGCUGGUCAGAGUUUAUAGCUUGAUAUAUCAGUUCACAUUCUGACCUAUGUCUGUCAAUCAUGUGAUAAGCCAGCAGUGCCUUGAAAUGUUAUUAGUCAUAAGUUUUUUGUUCUACUGUAACAAAGAAAGUUGUGGUGCAUAAUAAAGCUACAAGUAACAUAGAUGGAAGAGUCAGUUAGACAAUGAUUACUAAGGUGAUUCAAUAAAUUUUGAAACAAACCCUUUAAUAGGUUGAGGAACAAAACAGCGCUCGAAUUAACAGAUGGCUGCAAGAGAGGACCAAUGACCAAUCCUGGAUGAAUUGUAAUCACGUCAAUGCCAUGCUCCUUUGCAAAUUUCCAUGCAGCAUUCUCGGCCAUGGUUUUUGAAAGUUCAUACCAAGACUAUCAACACCGAAAAAUCAGUAAAUGUUGGUAAGAUGGUAGCAGAAAGUAAUUAGAUUUGUAAACUUUAAGAAGUAACAUUAUAAAUUUCUACAAAUUUGACAAAACCAGCAACUUACAUCAGUUGAAACUAUUAUUGCUGUAGCUACAAAGCACAGAGUGAAAGCAUCCACAUUUCCCAGGACAAGCUAUGCUAUAAGUGAAUAAGUAGAUUUCUCAAGGAUCCUAGGAAUGGUGUAAACUUUCUAUAUUCAAGGAAUGAUGCAAAGCACCAGUGUCGACAUAUCCUGAUCAUCUGAUCUCUUAAUCCACAAGCUAACAGCAAAACUACAAGGGACCUUGACACUUUAACACAAAUAGCCAUAUUCAUAAUAUUAUAGCAGAAGUUCCUUUCCAACUGACCGACCAAAUAUUGCUCAUCUAGGUGUGUAUUCUCAGACAAUAGUAUAGAAUUUGAUCAUGCAAGAGAUGCAUAAUUAAGUAGGAAAACUUUCAUAUUGCUCUUUCCCCGACUAUUCCACACUACAUUAUUAAUUUUUCAUUAAAGUUAAGUUGUUACUUAGAUAGAAGGAAAGAAAUGGACUGACCAUUCUGGUUACAAAAAUAUCCUUUUUUUGCCUAUUAAAGUACCACCAAGUCAUGAAGAUCCUAACUUAAUUAUCUCCACAGCUGGGCUAACUCCUCAUAUGUGUUCCAACAACAAGUUAAAACUAAAGAAUUCCAGCAUUCCAUAUUAGAUUUUACUGGAAGAAGACAGAUAAUAUAUGUACCUUUUGCUCCUCACAGUAUGAUGGUUCGGAAAACCAACUUUCAUCAACUACCACAUCCUCCUUUAAUUCUCUGUUUUUUGAAACUGCAACCAUAGAGGAUGUUAUAACUACUCUUUUGACAGAAGAAGAAUUUGCACAUGACCGCAGCACAUUCAGUGUUCCGCUUACUGCAGGUUCCAGUAGUUCUGCCUAUGAAAUCAAACCAAGUAAAAAAGGAAGUCAUUACCAGUCAUAGGUAAGACUAUGCUUUUAACCUGCAAAAAACUUAUCAUUCUGGUAUUAUGUUUGAGAAUUUCACCACAAAUGCUGUAAACCUACAGCUUUAGUUACUUAGCUAAAGGAUGCAUAUUGUUGUCUUAUCUCCUCUUGCUGCUAAAAUAAGUUCUCAGGUCCUUUAUUGUUGUUUUUUCCCAAAUUUUUUCAGCUUUCACUGGGUGACAGGAACUUAAGACCAAUAGAGGAACAACUGAAAUAAGUCUCAGAUGUGGUCACCAAUUAAACCGUUUGCUACCAAAUAUCAACCGAUGAAAUUCUGUUCUGGCUUGAACAGGACAGACAGAAAAUAUAAAAGGUGUAGCUCCCAUGAAUCCUGCGAACAGAUUUUAGCGUGAACACAUAAUGCAUGUUGCAAUUUCUUUUAGUGUCUGUGAGUCAACCUUGUUCAUUGAAAUGACUAAAAUCAAAGUUCUACAAAGUUACUUAAAAAAAAUCCAUAAACACAAUUUGAGAAACAGACAAGGAUAGGUGUACUGCAUAAAAUUAAGGCACAAUCAUUAAUAGAAGUUAAUCAACUUACAAAUGAAGAUACAUAUAAUUUGCAGAUGCUUGAACAUAUAUUGUAGUUUCUAUAAGCUUCUUAUUCAUUCUGGUAUGGGCACGCAAAAGCCAUUGGCUCUACACUGGCUGAAUAAUUAGUUGGUCAAAGCAGGGAUUCAUUUGCUCCAGGACAAGCUUAUAGCUUGCUCUAUAACCUUACCCUGACUGACUUACCCAGGAAAAUAGUUAGUCGGACCCAAUCUACUGCCCAAUUGUGGACCAUUUGCUAUGUUUAUGGCUCUUAAUGUUUUUAUUUCACAACAUUACACCCUUUGAAUUGUUUCGCUGAAGUACCAAUUUCCAGAUCAUUUCAUAGAAACAUCAUGUAUACUGAUUAAAAAGAGACUAAAGCACAUAACACACGACAGUCUUUUUGUGAAUGACCUGCUGGAACAGAUUAGUUUUGUAUGUACCAAAUGUAAAGAAAUAUUCUUCAGGUGUUUGACCUGAUUGCUACAUUAAUCUCCUCCCUUUGGUUAAUAAAAGAAAAAGUAGAGCCAUAGAAUUGGAAACAUUUGAAUCUAACUCUCUUUUUUUUUUUGCCUUUACAGUUAUAACCUUGUCAUAAAUCACAUAUAGAGGAGUAGACUAUCACCCAAAAAAGCCAGUAAAAAUGCAACAGAGGAAGAUACUAAAAGAAGUCGUACAAUUAUAAAUCAGAAAAUAUGCUACGAUUCUCAAACUUCACUUGAUAAAUAGCAGAUUUUGUAGACAGUAGAGAUUUUUCAAUCUUGUAAAGCAAAUGUACCUCUGGAUUGCUAAAUGAAAGUUUGAUUGGAGAUGCAGUAUGGAAAACCCCUUCACAUCCCUCGACUAUUGCAUCAAACGAUCCCUCUUCCAGUAAGUUUGCCGAGUACAACUGAAGCCUUUCCUUAGCUCCAUCAAGUGAUGUCAAAUGUUGUGUCCUUUCCGGAUCAUCUGUGUCAUGAUUGUAUCAGUAGAAUGUUCAGACAGCUAUAAUCAAAACCUUGCCGCCUUGGUAAAGUGUACUAUGUUUUCACUAUGGUGAAACUCAAGAAGAAAUGGACAUAGAGUAAUAAUAAACGAAUCUCAAAGCAAUGAUAAAUUUGACUAGCUAAAGGCAAGCGGGGAAAAACGAAAAGAAAUUGACGGGCAACAUAAUAUGACCACAAUAAUAUCAUAGCCCUAUGAUUUCUGGUUUUGAGAUGCGUACAUUUGUAACUUUCUUGAUAACAAUUAAUUCUUGAGAUAAUUAUCAGAGGGACAAUUGUAUGCCAUCUACCACUAUUUUUAUAACAAACUCAGUCCUUCAGAAGAAGGAUAUAGAUUCGAUAGGCUAAAGAUUUUUUAUUAUAACUUGAUCGUUGUAUCUGGAGCAUGAAACAAUUAAGUUGGUCCACAUCAAAAAUAUAUAUAUAUAUUUUGCAUGUGAUUUUCUUUUGAGCAAACAGAACAUGGGGAGCAUUUAGCUGUUGCAAGAAUAUCAUCUGGAGCUACAAGACAAUUUCACACUGCAGAGUUGAAUAAAAAUAUUGGGCAAAUUACAUAUAAUCCUCCUGUGGCUUUGUCUGUUGCCACAUGACCCUUCUAACAUUUUAAAAUAUCCAAUUCACCCACUAUGAUUUUAUGUAAAGCGGAAACUUGAUGGAGAAUAGCCUAUAUAAUGUCGUUAAUUGAAAUACCAUUAGUACUUUUACUUAAAUGCUAAAUCAAUCGACGAUUUAAUUACCUUAUAUAAAAGUAUAAGGGGAUUAUAUGGAUAAAUAUAAAAAUCACAGGAGGGAUAAAGUGGACAAUUAUACAAACUAUAAGGGAAUUACAUUGAAAUUAAGACUUUAUUACACACGCUUUUAGAGCGCGUUUGGUAUAAAUGCCGUAAUUAAUUGUGCAUUCCAUCAUUUUCCGCUUUACAUAUAACUAUAGGGAAUUAUGUGGCUAUUUUGAAAUUUUAGAGGGACCAUCUAGCAUUAUAUAAAAUUACCCUAAAAUAUAGUUAUAAGUAAUUUACCCUAAAAUGUUAGAUUCCAGGGGCAAUUAAACAACAAUCAGAACAGGGCAUCAAAAACUGCACAAGCCACUAAGAUAGUUGAUCAAGAACAAAAACUGGAGUUACAGGCAUCUCGAACUGAACCUUUAACAGUAUAACCGCGCUCGAGCAGCAGCUUCACCAGCCAUGAAGCUAUGUAACCCGAAGCUCCGGUCACACACACCAUUUUCCCUUCUCCUGCUCCACUCAUUUUGUUAAUAUUUUUGUGUGUGAACCUGUCACCUGUUUGCCUUACUUCUGGACUUAAUGGAGGGAUGCAUAUAUGGUGUAUAUAUAGCUAUGGUGAAGAAGACGAAAGAUUGGAUAUGAGAUUACGUGGGAGACUAGGGAGAUCCAUAUGUAUUCUUGCAAUUUGCAUGCAUCAUCGCUGACAUACGUAUGGUAUAAUCGCGUCACAUCCCAUUUUAUCAAGGUCAAUUGAUCAGUGUAAAAUAGAAAUGAACAAUAAAUACAAUGGUAAAUUACCUUCUACACCCUAUGGUUUGAUGUUUUAUCACAUAACUCCCUAUGAUUUAAAAACCUAUAUUUGACCCUUUCAUAGUUUGGAUUAUUGUGUCACUUUAGAUUUUUCCGUUAAAACUAACGGUCAAUAGUAAAAAGUCAAAUUCAAACUACUAAAUUGAUAAAUUCACCAUUUCACUACUUUUUUUUUCUUGUUUUCCUUUUCUUUCUCUCCUUUUUUUUUUUUUGGAAAGAGAAGAGAUGACUUUGAAAACUUGUAUUUUGGCUUACAAAACCUUAAUUGUUUCCAAAUACAAAAGAGAUAGAAGGGAAAUAAAAAUAAAUCAACAAGAAACAAAAAAUAUGGAAGGUAAAGAUAUAACAAAUAAAUAAGAAACAAAAAAACACCAAAUCUUUUUUACUAUGAAUAUCAUUAUAGGUUUUUAAACCAAAUCUUUAAUAGUAUUUUCUAGUUCUUAUUUAUCUAUAUUUUAUUUCAAUUUCUUCUUUUUGAUGUUUGUAGGGGAAAAAAAACAAGUAAUGAAGGGAUAAAUUUGUCAAUUUAUUAGUUUGACUUUUUAAUAUUAACUGUUAGUUUUAACAAAAAAAACUAACUAUUAGGGGGUUAUGUAUAGUUUUUAAACGAUAGGGGGUUAUGUGAGAAAAUACCAAACUAUAGAGGUUAAAAGGCAAUUUAUCCUAAAUACAAAAUCAGGCGGUUGCAUAUGAAAAAAUACCAAGGUUCUUGACUUUGCUCAAUACAAUUCCAAGUCUAGAGACACAAUUUUUAAAUUCACUACCAGGAUAAACCAUUCUCCUUUUUUUUUUCGGGUUAAAAAAUACAAACUACUUGAACUAGAAACUAGUCCUGACAAAGUUUGUGGGUUUUUUGCAAGAGUUUUAGUUAAAUAUUGGUUACUUCGCCUAAUUUGCACCUAUUUUAUCACGUAAAUGCACACACACUUUUAAAAAAAUAAUGCAUGCACUUAUAUUAUUGCCUUUCGUACAUUUAAAUACUUUUUUCAAUUUAAUUUUACUUUUCUGGCAAAAUUAAAUCUGAAGCCCAUUUCAAGAAAUAUCCACCGAAUACCAGGUCAACAAAUCCCCUUCGUAAUAAAGAACGAAAAGAACCGCAGCGUUCUUAACACGCAGCGGUCUUUUUGCAUCUAAGAAAGCUUUUGAUUGGCUAGAAAUCCUUCUCUGAUUGAGAAAUGGGAAUUGACUUGAUGAUGGCAACUCCAUUUAGAAAACUGGUCCACACCCUUGAAUGUGGUUUAAAUUUAAUAACACCAUUUCAUCAUUUCUGACGACUGCUUCUUCUAUAUCGAUCCUAGCUCACUGCACACGCCAGUCGUGUGAAACUUGGCAAAAGAGUUACACCCGCCGUCCUAAAAUUGUUUGUCGCAUUUCGAAACCCAACUUUUUAAAAAUAGCAGCUUGAUGAUGAUAUUUGUAGAUUUGUCUCAAAAAUUGUCAUCAAAAAUUCAAAUUUUAAAUUGAAUUUAGUAUGAAAUAUAGAUAAAGUUAUUGGAAUAAUAUUGAAAAAAAGAGAUUAAAAGUUAUUUUGAUUUUUGAUAAGAUAAUAAAUAUUUUAGAACGUUUCAAAAUAAAAAAAAAAAUAUGACACUUUCAAUGAGACAAAAGAAUGGAGAGAAUAUAUUAUAUAAGAUACUGAAAACUAGCGUCCAUCAGAAGCAGUCAAAUCAAAGCCAACAUAUUACUUGUAGUUUGGUUUAUAACAAUAUCUCAGCUUGCUGGUAGCCCAAAAAUUUAGCAAAAUAAAUUAGGAAACCAAGUGCGAUAGAGCAUAUUUCACCCAAAUAUAUUAAAAGUGAAAAAAGAUUUAUUUUUAUUUAGUCAAUGUGAUUUUUGUGUCCGCAUGCCCAUAAAGCUUCAAGGACCAAAAAGCCAAACAUACGAAGUGAAAAUGUGAAGAGCAAUAAUUUGAAUAUAAAAAAAAAAAGCAAGUAGAUGGAUAGAAAACCAUGUCGAAGGUCUCUUCUCUCUCUUUUUUUUUUUUUUGGUUUGACCAUGCAUGGUGCAUAUGAUAUGAAGGAUAAUUGUAAAGCACCAUAUACUGCCCAAGGAAAGUAGAUUACACAGUGGGAACCAAAAAUAGAAGAAAAUAAAGCCUCAUAUGAACCGAAUCUUUCCCCUUGCUUUUUUUCUGGGAAUUUAAAGGUAUAAUGCAAGAAAUAACUCCUGGUCAUGCAAAAUUGCCAACAAAAAAUGCGUCUUUGGUUUUAAAUUCCUUAAUAACAUACUAUCCAGCAUACUAUUUAGCAUAAUAACAUACUAUCUCAGAUGCAUCCACUCCAAAUAUCCUGGCCGAGAUGGUAUAUGAGGCCAAUUUUCUAUCAAAAAUAUAGGUCGUCUGUAGCAGGUAAUGACGUUACCUCACUACAACAAAAAUGGCCUUUAGCGGCAUUUAAAGGUGUCAGUAUAGAAAAUCUAACCUGACACUUUAUCUAUCCUGACACCCAUGGCGGAUCGAGUGUUGUCCCUUCCAAUGUGGGAUAGCCUCAAAUCUUUAGCAGCAUUCAAAUGUGUCAGGCAAACCAUGCUGCUAUAUCUUUACCUCUGCCAACAAAUCUCUUUUUUUGUGAUAAUCGAAAGUGUCUGUAUAGCGUUAGGACAUCAGAGUAGGGAAUCAGUAGGAUAUCAAAUUUAUGAAGACAUCUUGAGUUGUCUUAAUAUAUGGCUUUAAGGACACGUAGCCAUGUGAAUUUACAAUGUGUUGGACGACAUGCCCAUUUGUUGUUAGUGUUUUUUCGAAGCUACAUAAUUUAUCAACCCAUAUGACAAGGGUUUAUUUUACGUAUUUUUAGUGUGUUUUAUUAGUUAAUUUUGGUUUGAUUAUUUAGUAUUAUAACUAAAAUAACUAAGGUUUUGGUAAAAAACUACAUUUUAUUUAAAAUGGCUAAACAUUGCAUUUUAUGGAUUUUUAUGGUAAAAACUUCAUAUUUUGUAGGUUUAAUGAUUCAAUCAUCAAAUGAAGGCAUUGAGAAGAUAUUUGGAUGAUUGAAGAUGGAUUAAAGUGAGGAAAAUAAAAUAUGAAGUGUAAAAGGAAGAAAUGCAAUUUGAGGACAAAAAUCAAGAAAAGUCAGCUUUGACAACUCAGACAUAUAUUUUAUUUUGACUAUAUCAGGAGCUACAAUGAUCGGAUCAAGGUGAUCUUGGUACCAUUUUGAAGUUAAGAGAUAUAUCUACAUUUGGUAUGAAGACAUCAAAGUCCAGUUCAGCCGUUUUCAUAGUCCAAAAGUUGAAAUACCGAAAUUCAACUCAGCUGUCCAAAGUGGAAAACAGAGUUCCGACCAGUGUUUAGUAUUUUGAUCAUAUCUCAGUCUACAAAGCUCCGAUUUGGAUGAUUCUUGAAGCAUUGGAAAGCUAACUCAAAGAUAUACAACUUUGAUGUUUUGCACAAAAGCCAGUUCGGCCUGCAUCAUGGAGAAAAUCGCAGUUGAAGUAAGGACAAAGUGAAAACGCGAGUGCACAAAACGCGAGUUGUAGACGCGUUUUGUAAAGGCGCGUUUUCUGGCCGAAAUUCUGCAAUUUGCUCAGUCAAUUCUCUUGUGUUCAUACCACUUUCCAGCUAUAAGUUGCAAGAGAAUUCGGUGCACAUGCUUCAGAAGACAAAAGGGCAGACAAGGUGGCUUAUUUUCAAGUCAAAAACAUUUGUUAUUGACUAUCCUAACAAAGUUGAGAUUUGGGAAUCAAAAUGUGGAAAUUGACUUGGAAAAAUGGAGCUCUUAAGCAGUUUAUAUGCAGAGACAUUUUGGGUGGUCUGAGAAGGGGGAAAUAUACGGGAGAAGCUUGAGGAGUGCAGAAAUGUAGUUCUUCCAUUUCCUUAGUGUAGGAUAGUGUAGUAAGUGUAGUUCAUCCAUUCUUGUAUAAUGGCUAGAUUAGGAUGAAAAUGGAGAUGAAGAAAGAGAAGUUGAAGCUCAAGUGACAUGGGUUAUCUCUUCUCCAACUCUUUAUCUUUUGUAUUGGAUUCUUAAAUAUAGUUAAUAUGCAAUUUCUGGAUUUUAUAUUUAAUAUGUGUCUUUAAAGUUUAUACCUUGGGUUUGGUUGAACUUUCUAUGAUUGUUAGUGUUUAUCAUUUGGCUAUUUAACUGCUAUGAUUUGAGCAAGUUAUUUAGCACUUUAACUCUUUAAAUCAUGAUUAAUAUGGUACCAUUAAUUGUGAUUAUCUAAGGUGUUAUUUCUGCAAUGAAAAUUGAGAUUUAACAUUAGUUCAAGAAGUGCUAAACAUAGGGAGUACACUCACGAAAGUAGAGGUGCACCUAUGUGGUUUUUAGUGAUUCAUUUCAUGUAAUUUCACUGAAGAAAUGAACUUGUAGCUAAUUUCAUAACCAUGAGAAUAGGUAUGGAUUAGUUAUAAGUAUAAUUGAUUCACUACGAAAGUAGGAUUCAAAUGCAUAAGGAAAUUACACCAUAAUUAGCCUAGAUGUAGUAAUUAAUGAUCCAAAUAUAGCACUUGCAUGAGUAGUUAGGGAUACCACAACCUAAGGAGCUUUUAUUUGUUAUUUUGUAUAAUUUCAGUAGGAUAAAUUUGCUAUAAUUCAUUGAUAGUCUAAAUAAUAGAGAAGCUUUAGUAAUACCGGUAAUUGUUCACUCUUCCUUGUAGGAUCGACCCGAUAUAUACCCUAAACUACUAGUUGAUCUGUAUACUUGCAGUGAACGGGUGUAAUUCGGUAUUUUUUAGCUUGCACGUAUGUAAAAUACCCGUCACCAUACACCAAAUGAAUUUUCCUUGUAGAUGAAUAUCUAAUAUGACUGAAUUCAGAAUGUAUGGGUCUGUUAAAUCUAUUGAAAAGUUUAGAGCACAGUUAAAAUAUAUGGGUCCAUUACAUACAUUAGUUUGAAUCAUAGAAAGUAAAGAAGUUUUAUAUCUUUUGAGUUUAGUAUCUCUUAAUGCUAGAUAUAUAGGAGCAUCUACUCCUAGAUGGAAUAAGGGUUUUACUGUAAUUUGUAUUAAACCUAUAUGAAUAUAUCUAUAUUAAAAUGUGGAUCCCUCCAUUGUAUAAACCUAAUGACUGUAAUCCUAAUAUUAUAUCAUGAUUUAUAUUUUUUACAAUUAUGAAAUUAUGUCUAAUACAAUAUUCAUUGUUACAUAUUGAUCCUUUUGUAAAUUUAUAUUUUACUUGUAAAUUUUCUCCAUUUGCUGCCAUUAAGGUUUCCUUUGUUCUUUCACAAUAUUUAGUAGAAAUUAUUCCUUCUUUAAUACAACUUGAAUCAGGCUCCACUUCUAUUAAAGCUCUACAUAUAUUUCUUUGAAAUCUUCUACUGUAAUAGUUACUAAAGCAUACCAUUUUUGAAAUAUCAUUUUUUCUAUGGUAUUUAAAUAUUGAAUUUCAUCUGUUGUUUUUUUUUUGGUCUUUCUGAUAUACUUAUUUCUUCUGUUUUAGAAUUGGAAGUUGAUGGUUGAUUUUCUAGUAAUGUUAUUUUUGCUUCUAUUUCUAAAUCUUUUGUUUUUAAUUCUAUGAUUUCUCUUUGUAAUUGUUUUACUUGUAUUUUAAGAUCAUUAAUUUCUGUUUGAAGAUCUUUAGUGGUUUCUUUUUUCAUUAUAUUUAUGUUUAGAUAUUUAUCUAUUAAUUUAGAAAUACUAAAAGGUUCUAUUAUUUUUGGCAUUUUGUCUUCUUGUAUAAUUAGACUUUUUAAUCUUUCUAAAUACUCUUUUUUAGCUACUGGAUCAUCAAUUUUUUCUAUUAUAUCUAAUAAAAAUUCUUUAUCUUCUUUUUUGGUUAUAACAUUUAUAUAUUUUGAAGUGUUAGAACAAUUACAAUUUUCUUCACUUUCUGUACUAGAUAUAUCAUUAUAAUAAUCAUCUUCAGAAUUUUGAUCUUUUUCAUUAUUAAUAAAUUAAUUAAUUUAUUUUUAAUUUCUUCUUCUUUUGCACAAAUCUCUGUAAUUUUUUCUUUUAAUUUACAUUUGUUUGCUUUAUGUCCUAUUUUUUCACAUUUAUAACAAACAAUUUUUCUUUUAAUAAAUUUUCUCUUCUUUUCUGGUUUAUCUUCUUUAGAUCUUUUAUACUUUAUUUUCUUAUUAUAUUUUUUAACUUUUUUGUUAUAUGCAGAUGGUGAUUUAAUUCUUUAGUAGCAAAUUCUAAAGCUCUAUUAAUUGGUUUUAUUGUUCCUUGAUAUAUAUCAUGUCCUAAAAAUCUUAUUUUUGUUUGGAAUAAUUUCAUUUUUGGUGCUGAAACAACUAAUCCAUUUUUCUUAACUACUUUUAAAAAUAUAUUUAAAUGUUUGAAAUGCUGUUCUAUUGAUUCAGAAAAUAUUAAUACAUCAUCAAUAUAAACUAUGCUAAAUGAACUAUAAGGAUUGAAAAUAUCAUUCAUUAUAUUUUGAAAUUCUGAUGGUGCAUUUUUUAAUCCGAAUGGCAUUACGUUCCAUUCAUAAUGACCAAAAGGUGUUGUGAAUGCUGUUUUAUAUCUAUCUUUUGGUGUUAUUAAUAUUUGCCAAUAUCCUGAUUUUAGUUGUUUCAGCACCAAAAAUGAAAUUAUUUCAAACAAAAAUAAGAUUUUUAGGACAUGAUAUAUAUCAAGGAACAAUAAAACCAAUUAAUAGAGCUGUAGAAUUUGCUACUAAAUUUCCAGAUGAAAUAAAAGAUAAAAAUCAAUUACAAAGGUUUUUAGGAUGUUUAAAUUAUAUAGCAGAUUUCUUUCCUAAAUUAAGACAAGAAUGCUCUAUAUUAUUUAAUAGAUUAAAAAAGAACCAUUUCCACCAGUGAUUGAACCAGAUUGGGAAUUCUCUACUGCAACUUUUUUGAAUGUGAAGAACCAUGAAUGAUUGAAUGGUCUAUACAAAAAAAGCAAAAGUCUAAUUAUACAAGAAGACAAAAUGCCAAAAAUAAUAGAACCUUUUAGUAUUUCUAAAUUAAUAGAUAAAUAUCUAAACAUAAAUAUAAUGAAAAAAGAAACCACUAAAGAUCUUCAAACAGAAAUUAAUGAUCUUAAAAUACAAGUAAAACAAUUACAAAGAGAAAUCAUAAAAUUAAAAACAAAAGAUUUAGAAAUAGAAGCAAAAAUAACAUUACUAGAAAAUCAACCCUCAACUUCCAAUUCUAAAACAGAAGAAAUAAGUAUAUCAGAAAGACCAACAGAUGAAAUUCAAUAUUUAAAUACCAUAGAAAAAAUGAUAUUUCAAAAAUGGUAUGCUCUAGUAACUAUUACAGUAGAAGAUUUCAAAGAAACAUAUGUAGCUUUAAUAGAUAGUGGAGCUGAUUCAAGUUGUAUUAAAGAAGGAAUAAUUCCUACUAAAUAUUGUGAAAGAACAAAGGAAACCUUAAUGGCAGCAAAUGGAGAAAAUUUACAAUUAAAAUAUAAAUUUACAAAAGGAUCAAUAUGUAACAAUGAAUAUUGUAUUAGACAUAAUUUCAUAAUUGUAAAAAAUAUAAAUCAUGAUAUAAUAUUAGGAACACCUUUUUUAAUUCAAAUUUACCCAUUUUCAGUUAGUCAUGAAGGAAUUUCAAUAAAUAUAAUGGGAAAAACUGUUAUCUUUAGAUUUCUAACUCCAGUAAAACAAAGAGAAUUACAGACAUUACAAACAUCCUCUAUUUACAAAACAAUAAAUAGUAUUACUAAAGUACAACAACAAAUAAAUUAUAUAAAAGAAGAAAAAUCUUAUUUAAAAAUUGAAGAACAAUUAAAAGAAAGUAAAAUGCAAAAAAGAAUUUCAGAAUUAGAAGAAUUAUUACAAAAAGAAAUUUGUGCAGAUAUUCCUAAUGCUUUUUGGGAUAGAAAACAACAUAUGAUUGAAUUACCUUACGAAACAGGUUUUAAUGAGAAAAACAUUCCUACUAAAGCAAGACCAAUACAAAUAAUUCUGAUCUAUUAGAAUUUUGUAAAAAGGAAAUAAAAACAUUAAUAGACAAAAAAUUAAUAACACCUUCAAAAUCACCUUGGAGUUGUGCUGCAUUCUAUGUAAUGAAUCAAGCUGAAAAAGAAAGAGGAGUUCCAAGAUUAGUUAUAAAUUAUAAACCAUUAAAUAAAGUAUUACAAUGGAUUAGUGAAUAAUACAAUAAAUUUAUAAAUUUAGAAUUAAUAGAGGAUACAAUAAAUUAAAGUAACCAUUUUUAUAAAUUUAAUAGAGCUCAAAUGCAAAUAAUACAAUAAAUUUAGAAGACAUUAAAAAAGUUUAUCAACAAAAUAAUUAUACAAAUCAAAUCCUUCAUACAAUUUCUCAACAUAUGGAAGUAUUAAACACAAAAAUAGAUACUAUAAAGAAACCAGAAUUAAAAUUCCCUAAUAAUAUUUCAGCACCUCAUUUUCAACCUAGAAGUUUGACAAGAGAAAAAGAACAAGAUUUAGAUUCAAAAUCAGAAGACAAAGCAUCGGCGAAUUAGUGAGAAAAAGAGAACAAAACACUCUCGUGUAAAAAUCCUUAGACAAAUCUCUCAAUCCCUCUUUCCAACUACUCUUGUAUUCAAUUACUUUUGUUUCCUUCCUUCUCCAAAUAUAAUAAAGAUCAAGGAUUCAACCAUUCAUCAAGCUUCCGUUAUCAAAGGCCACUCUAAAUUUUCAGUAAGUCCAAUUUUUAUACUAAAUUUUCUAUGAACAUUUCAAUAGAAAGUAGCCUGGGUAGAAGUGGUAUCAGAGCCACUUAUCACAUUAUCUUUACAGUGUUAUUAAGGAAAGUAGAUUACACAGUGGGAACAAAAAUAGAAGAAAAUAAAGCCUCAUAUGAACCGAAUCUUUCCCCUUGCUUUUUUUUUCUGGGAAUUUAAAGGUAUAAUGCAAGAAAUAACUCCUGGUCAUGCAAAAUUGCCAACAAAAAUGCGUCUUUGGUUUUUAAUUCCUUAAUAACAUACUAUCCAGCAUACUAUUUAGCAUAAUAACAUACUAUCUCAGAUGCAUCCACUCAAAUAUCCUGGCCGAGAUGGUAUGAGGCCAAUUUUCUAUCAAAAAUAUAGGUCUGUAGCAGGUAAUGACGUUACCUCACUACAACAAAAAUGGCCUUUAGCGGCAUUUAAAGGUGUCAGUAUAGAAAAUCUAACCUGACACUUUAUCUAUCCUGACACCCAUGGCGAGUGUUGUCCCUUCCAAUGUGGGGAUAGCCUCAAAUCUUUAGCAGCAUUCAAAUGUGUCAGGCAAACCAUGCUGCUAUAUCUUUACCUCUGCCAACAAAUCCUUUUUUUGUGAUAAUCGAAAAUGUCUAUAUAGCGUUAGGACAUCAGUAGGGAAUCAGUAGGAUAUCAAAUUUAUGAAGGCAUCUUGAGUUGUCUUAAUAUAUGGUUUUAAGGACACGUAGCCAUGUGAAUUUACAAUGUGUUGGACGACAUGCCCAUUUGUUGUUAGUGUUUUUCGAAGCUAAGCUAUGCUGACACUUUUAAUUGCCAGGAGAAUUUUCCCUGGUUUUUUUUUAUGGAAGCAACCUGCAAUUAGUCCUCCUUGCUGUACAUUCCAUCAACCAGAAUCCCAAGGGACUUGUAAAAUUAUCCCAAAGAGCAGAAUGCAUAUGGCAAUGUAAAAGAAGAAGUCGAUACUCAAAUAUAAUUCAUUGAAUUAAAAGUCGAUAACAAGUACAAACAUAGCAAAUACUAAAACGCAAACAAGUGCUAAAAGCAAGUACUAAAAUAUCAAACCAGUACCGAAAGAUUCUCAUUUACAAUAACUUAAAAGCUCUAUCGGAAGCACAAAAUAAAAGACUCCAUCCCUAAUAAGUUGAAAGAAGUAGAAGUAGCUUCCAAACUUUCCAUUUUGUUGAGAGUCCUCAGGCAUAACCACGAAGUCCCCAUCAUUCUUCAGCUGGUUCCACCUGUGCACAAAGACCAAGGGGAUCAUUAGAUCAUCAUAACUAGAACUAAAAUUCCAGAAAAUCCGCAAUGUAUUUAAGUGCAUAUCUCACCAAAUGACAAGGCCAAGCAACUGGUGCACCAAGUGCAUCUUGAAUCGUUUGUUGUAAACCAUAUGGUCUAAUCAAUUGCUCACGUGGAGUCAUUGCAACUUGUAUCUGUAUUUCACACCAGUUUGGCCCAAGAGCUUGUCCCCCGACCUCAUCCAAUGGAUUCAGACUCCGUAAAUAUCCCUUUGCCACGAUUUUUGUUGGGUCAAACAAACUUUUUAGUGAAACCAUAUUCCCUACCUAGUAAACAUCCAACAAGUACAAGAAUCAAACUCAUGCCAAAUUCCAGAUUACAAAUGCAAAAGUUUAGAAGUUGUAAAUACUUACUCAAAUAGGUCGCGUGGCUCGCGAUGGAGCAUGGCUUGACACAUUGUUAGAUGAUGAUGAAGGAUGUCUCGGGCUGUCAAUUGGAGAGCCCCUUCCAUGUUGAACUAAAACCAUUUUCUUCAAGCUGGCUAUUUCAUCAUCUUGUCGCUGAAGCCUUUCCUCCAAACGGACUAAUGUUGACUGUUGUUGAACACUUAUACGGUAGCAUGUGUUACGACUAGGAAUGUCUUCCCAUAAGUCCGUUGGAUUCACACCGUCACUAAGCAAGCGAACAUGACCAUGUUUGUCUUGCCCAACCACCUGGGCAAAUAUAUCAUCACGACCAACUGGAUCUUGCGAAUCCGAUGGAAGCUGAUUUUUCAGCUCAGUCAUUUUUUCCUACAUAAUAAAGGAAAACACUUGUUAUUGCAAAAGACUGUCUGAAAACAUCCAUGGUAGAAUUGAUAGGCUUGUGUUCUCGGAUCCUUACCAAAUUCUCAGCAACUAUGGUACUUGAUGGAGUUCCAUCGGCAUGGGUAUAAAACUUAUUGAACAUUUCUACUCUAGUAGGAGGUCUUCCCAACUGUUUGGCCUAUAAGAAAUUGAAUCGUUUUAAUUAUAGUUUUAGCAUUUAGCAUAUAAUUAAAAAACAAGCUAACAUAAUGAAACAUGUACGAGCAAAAAAAAUUAGCAACUAAAAAGUGGAUGAGGUAUCACCAAGUGGUUCCGAAGAUGAGCAAAUGACUUUUUUCCGGUUGUGUGGUUCAUCUUCUUCUCCCCUCUAGCUUUCUUGUUCCUCUCACUUAGUUUCUAAAUUUCAAAAUCAAAAGCAAGAUUACAGCAUUGAAUGAACACAACUUUAUGAAGAAUGUUGUAGCUGAUUUGUACCUUUGCUUCUUCACUUUUCCAAUAAGCCCAAAGUUUGAUCCAUUGCUCUUCCCGUACCCUUAUGUCCUUUUGAAACCGAGCUUCAGCAUUUGGCACGGCAGAAUCAAAAUAGUUAGCCUUUAAAUCUGCCUUCCAGCUUCUCCAUUUUUUGCCAAUAGAUCUUAAGGUCCAAGCUUCCAGUCCCAUAGGCAAAGCAAACCUUUCCUGAAACGUAGUUAGCAACAAGAAAAUCAACACAACUUCACAGUAAUUUUUGUACAAAGCAUACAUAAUACAAAAGCUGCCAUUACCUUUAUCACUUCUAACAUGUCCAUUUUAAGUUUCCUUGGCAUCUUAAGCCAUGUUUCAACAUCUAUUGGACAAUACAUACCAUUCCUAGCCAAACUGCCCAAGAAUUCAGAGAAAGAGUUUUUCUCACUUAUUGGGAUCCCAUUGUCAUCGAGUUUAAUCUCAAUCCGUGGAAGUUCCUUAGGCCGACCCCAAAUUUCUUUCAUAAAUAUAGGGCCUCGGGUUUUAUGAUUUACUUCACUUGAAUCAUUUGUAGUUUCUUUUCCUGUUUAAAAUAAGAAAAAGGUGCAAGUUAUGAACAUAACAAAAUGCACUUCUGGAAUUGGUUCAAAACAGUUAGUAAUACCUGCAUUGUCCGAGUUGCAUGACAUGAAGGUGGUGUCACUGGAAUGUGGACCUCGAGAAUCCUGAUUUGGACUUUCUUCAGUUGCUUCAUGCCUUGUUCCAAGUGGAGAUUGUUGAAUUGGAGAGUUCUGGCACUGCUCAUGCGACUUGGAACCUCCAUCAGCUUGUUGAGUAACUUGGUCACCUGAUUCAUGCAUUAUUCCCAAUGUAGAAUUCUGAAUUGCAGAUUGAGGUGCCCGAGCAGCUUCUCCUUGCACUUGUUCAAUUACAUUUUCAUGGCUUGUUCCAAGUGGAGGCUGCUGCCUUGUUUCAUAACAUGAGGGAGGUUGCUCAAUUGGUUCAUCUCUCAAUCCAUUUGCAGCGGCUUACAUUUUCGACCUCUACGGGCCAUACCUGCAUAAUAUUUGAGUGAAGAAAGGGACAAAUGUAAAUGUUUAAAAUUUAUUGAAGCACACUCUCUACCUAUAGUUUCUUUAACUUACAAAUGCUAUUAUAAAGAAGUACUACUUGAACAAUAAACUGGCAUGACAAGUAACAAAUGGCAUUCUGCAAGAAUAAACCAGGGGAAGACUAUGGAGCUGUCAACAGAACAGAGAAACAAAUGGAGAAUAUAUGAUUCAAUGCAGCAACUAAUUGGAAAUGAAAUGAAAGCUACAUGCUUAAGUGACUGCAAGAAUAUACAUGGGAAAUGCUUUGAUCUACAUCCUUUCAGCAUGAAAGAUAUGCAGAAUUUACUACCGCUAGACACGAAACUUUUUCCAUAUUGUUUGAGAAUGAUGCCUAUGAUCAAAAGUUGGUAUGCUUAUGCUCAAUGAGGGUGUAAGUAGAAGAGUCCACGUAAUUUUAACUUCAGUAAUGGAGCAAACUAAUAAAUGAUUGUCUUGAAUUAACGAAAUAUACUUGGCCAUGUGAUAACCAAAAAUUGCAGAGGAUAAUGUAUUCUACCAACAAAUACAAGUCUUGGUUUUGUAUGUUUAGGGUGGCAAUCGGGUCGGUUAUGAAGCUCUACUGAAUACUUUUAUUUCCAGAUUCUGACAUGGUUCUGCAUUUAUCAAGAACUUGUCUCAUCUAAACAAGAGCUCAAGCUUUACGUAGCAUUGACGAUUCCAAACCAAAUUACUUCUCUUUUUGCCAGAGCCACAUCCACAGUUAUGGGUUGACACUUAACAGUAAAUGCACAAACACUUCCAAUACAAUUGUAGCAGUACAAACAAUACAGUUGUAGAACAGGAAGGAGACGAAGAGCAUCACGGUGAAAGACUGAAAACGAGAACCCAUCACCAAAAAUAGAUGGUUGAAAUUGUACAUUCAGUUCACAGUAGCAGUCUCCAUUCGACCAGGCUCACCUAGAAAUGUGCUUCUCAGAAAUGUGCUUUUCACACCGCCACCACCCCAAAAGCUUUUCACACCACCACCACCCCCAAAGCAAACAUUCUACCUAGAAAUGUGCUUCUCAGAAACGGAGAAGGUGCUUGUCAGAGAUGGGAAUCGAAUAGCCUAAAAACUAAAUCUACCAAGCAAUGCAAGAACAUGUCUACCAUGCAAUGCAGAAUUAGACACAAAAUACUGAAAUUACCUCAAACUAUGGCUUGAAUCCCUAAUUUCUCGGUUUCCCAAGCUUUGAAGCCCUAAUCUCUGAUUUCUUCCCACCAAGCCAACACAACAGCCGAAUUAGGGAUUUGCCUGGUGCGAGCUCAACCAAGUUACCCAAAAGGGUGCGAGUUCAUGGACGGCAAUUGACUCAAAUUGGUUGUGCGAGCUUGAAAGAGAGAGAGAGGACAAAGGCAGAGGACAACGAGAGAGGGAGAAGAUGUCUGAAAUAAAGGCAGUACUAAUGACGCCAAAGUAAAUUAGUCAAGCCUCUUGAAUUUUUCAAUUUGCUGCGCUACUAAUGACAAUUUUUGUGUGUUUGGGCAAAAUUUUGUUAAAGCUAUAUAACAACUAAAAAUUUGGUUAAAGCUAUAUACAAUAUAAUAUAACAACUAAAAAUAUAAAGGCUAAAAAUCUUGUUAAAGCUAUAUAACAACUAAAAAUAUAACAAAUAAAAAUUUUGCAAGAGCUAUAUACAAUAUAAUAUAACAAUCAAAAAUUUUGUUACAGCUAUAUAACAACUAAAAAUAUAACAAAUAAAAAUUUUGUUAAAGCUAUAUACAAUGUAAUAUAAUAACUAAAAAUAUAAAAAUAAUUAAAAAUUUUGAGAAGCUAACAAAAAACAUUCUUUUAAUCAAAAUGUUUUCGGUUACUCAAUUUAUUUUAUGCUGCGAGCAAUUAUGUACGGCUUGUAGUCUAACAAGCCAUUGGAAGGAUCGAAUUAGUUUAUGAAACAAGAAAAUUAACUUGUGAAUGCAUGAACUUUCCAUUGAUAAACAUUGGGAUUAGAAUUGACUGAACAUAAACAAUGAAUAUAUAUAUAUAUAUAUUCAAUGUUUUCAAUUCCAAAGCAAUUGCCAUUGAACUUUGUGUUAAUUAGAAACUUACUAUCACUUACAAGAUCUUACUAUUGAACUUUUCAAUGAUUAACCUUAGGCUUACACUUACAACGCAUUAAUUGAACAUAAACAUAUAUAUAUAUAUAUAUAUAUAUAUAUAUAUAUAGGGUAAAAAACAAAAAGGCCCCCUGUGUUAACCUAAUACACAGAAAAGCUCCCCAUGGUUUCAAAAUAUACAACACGAUCCCUCAUGCUUUGAACUAAAUUGUAAAGGUGACGGAAUCCGUUAAACUUAACGGAAAUGGACGAAAUGACCAAAAUGCACUGAUAUAAUUAAGCAAAAGACAGCUCAAAAAAAUCAUUUGUUUCAUUCUCUAAGUAGAGAGAAUUGAGGGUUAAGGGGUAGAAUAUGCAUAUUUGAUAAAAAAUAGGCAUAAAAAUUUUUUUUAGGUUCCAAUAAGUCAUUUCCGUUAAGUUUAACGGAUUCCGUCACCUUUAUAAUUUAGUUCAAAACAUGAGGUGUCGUAUUGUAUAUUUUGAAACCAUAGGGGAUUUUUCUGUGUAUUAGGCUUACCACAGGGGGUUUUUUGUUUUUUACCCAUAUAUAUAUAUAUAUAUAUAUAUAUAUAUAUAUAUUCAUUGUUAAAAAUUCCAAAGCAAUUGCCACUGAACUUUGUGUUAAUUAGAAACUUACUAUCACUUACAAGAUCUUACUAUUGAACUUUUCAAUGAUUAACCUCAGGCUUACACUUACAACGCAUUAAUUGAACAUAAACAUAUAUAUAUAUAUAUAUAUUCAAUGUUUUCAAUUCCAAAGCAAUUGCCAUUGAACUUUGUGUUAAUUAGAAGCUUACUAUCACUUACAAGAUCUUAAUAUUGAACUUUUCAAUGAUUAACCUUAGGCUUACACUUACAACGCAUUGAUUGAAGGAUAAUCUAAAAUUGCGACUAAACCGAUUAAAUUCGAUCAAAGAUCAGUUGGACUAGAAAGCUCUAUCGGAAUUAACUUUUUGUAUUGUUAUUGGUUUAAAAAAUAAUUUUUUCAUGGUAUUAAAAAAUUAUUUAAGAAAUUUAUAGAUUAAAGUUUCAAAAUAUUUCUAUUGAUAAAAAAUUAGACCUCGGUUAUUGGGAAAAAGAAUUGGCCAUAAAAUAAUGAUUCACAAAUGUAAUAUUACAGCUUACAAUUAAUGGAAUUGCUUAUAAAAUAAUGACAAGUAUUUAUCCAGCCCAUUGGGCUCUUAAAAUAAGUAAUGGGUUCCUUGGAAAGUUGGAUAGUUUUAUGUUUGGUCUGAAAUGAUUUGCACAUUCCGUACGUUGCCAAUUGUUCUCCCCAAAUCAUAGCCUCGGUUGCCAAUUGUUCUCAUGCUAUUAAAAGAAAAAUCAUUCCAAUACCAUUUUUAUGAAUAAGACUGACGAUUACUAACCAAGACUAGAAAUCCAAAAACUGGACCAUGGGAGUAUCAAUGAAGAAAGGCCUUAAAGAGGCAAAUUAAUACACAAGUUUUAACUAAUAGCACCAACUCUUUUAUCACAUCUGUCAGAAGGCUUAACAUGACAUCGAGAGCACUAAACUCAAAAAAAAAAAAUGCAAAACCCAUCGACAAAAGGAAAUAAAGCCUAGGCCUCGCAAUUGAAACAGAGAAGAAUAAGGCCAGUAAGCUUUAAAGCUAUAAAAGAUUCUAAAUCAGAUUAUAUUGGGACAAAUCAACUUCAAUCCCAAGUCCAUUCUCACGAACCCAACUAAUUUCCUCAUUUUCAUUCUCAACAACAGGAUUGCCAACAUCACUUUGCAAAUAUGUCUCAACAUCCAUGGUUGUGCCAUGUUAUAUCCAGCUCUUGCAGUGGUAGAGAUAACCACUUGCCAAUCCUUAUCAGUUGGAUCUUCCAUAAAAAACCUGUGAUGCUUGUGAAGCAAGUAUAAAUGGCUCAACAUGAGGCCUCACGUUUGCAAAAUUGACUAAAGUAAACCCAUCAGCAUCUUGUUUCAUUCUCGAACCAUUUGAUAUCCAAUCACAUUCGAAUAACACCACCCGGCGACCUCCGUAAAUUAAUUCAAUCAUAUUUUUCAAGAUGCCGAAGUAAACUAGUUCACUCAAAACUGGAUUUUGAUCCCUUAUACUUGCAAAACUGGAUGUUGUUGCAUUGACUGUAACACCACUAUUCUGCGUUUUUCUUUUCUUCUCAACUUCUUUGGUGUGAAACCGAAAUCCAUUAACAACAUACCUGCCAUGUUGGAUUCCAACAACAUCUGGACCUUUAGUAAGGAACCUCAACUCUCUCAACACCGAAACAUUUUGAGGAAGUUCUAACUUGUCAAUCUGUAAAAAAAAAAAAAAAAAAAAAAAGAUGAAACAAUAUUUGAAGUCCUACAAUUCAAAUUGUACUUAAUAUUCAGAAUUUUACUUACAUGUUCAGCAAACCAACAUGCAAAAUUUUCACUGUGCAAGCGCUCUUUUAGAUGCUGUGGAACUUGAGGAUGUCCUUCUUCUAUCAAUCUACGAUGCUGCCUAGAAGUACAUGAGUCAAAAUUGUAAUCAUACAUUGAAUUCUACAAUAAAAUUUUAAUGCAUCAAGUUGUAGUUGAACUUACUCUAUGUAAGGUGUGACAGCAUCACAGUUAAAUAAAAUACUGAUGUGCUUUACUCAAGAUAUGAGCAUCAAAGACUGUUGGCUUGCCCCUCCCCAAAGGAUGUCCUGAUUCAGAGAAUAUAUCUAAACCAUCUUCAAUUUCCUUAUGUACUUCUUCAUUUCUGCUUGGACGAUUGAAUUUUGUCUCAACAUAGUCCGCAAGAUACAAUGAGCAAAAGUUAAUGCAUUCUUCUGCCAAGUAGCCUUGAGCAAUCGAACCUUCAGGCCUACUUUUAUUUCGAACAUAAGAUUUUAAUGUUCCUAAGUACCUAAAUUAUCAUCAUUCCAAACUCUCUAAUUAGUUCCACAAAUCAAAGAAAGCAAAAAAGGAAUAAACAUUUAAGGCAUAAUGAGAAUUACAAGCAGUACCUCUCUACAGGAUACAUCCAACGAUAAUACACCGGCCCACCUAAUUUCACUUCAAUUGCCAAAUGAACAACUAAAUGCACCAUGACAUCGAAGAAGGUUGGUGGGAAGCAUUUCUCAAGAUCGCAGAGUAUGACGGCAAUUUCACUUUCCAAACGAAACCACAUCUUGAGGACAAAUAACUUUAGAACAAAGCUGCCUGAAGUAUCUACUCAAUCGAAUCAAAGGAUAGCGCACUGAUUUUGGUAAAGUCUUUCUCAAAGCUAUAGGCAUCAAUUGCUGCAUUAGGAUAUGAUUAUCAUGACUUUUAAGCCCUGAAAUUCUUGGUGGUUUUACUCGAACGCAUCUUGAGACGUUAGCUGCAUAACCAUCUGGAACUUUCACCUUUUUUAGCACAUUGCAAAACAUAGUUUUCUGUUUUUUAUCCAUUGCAAAGGAAGAUGGAGGUAAGUACACCUUUCCAGGUUCUGUCUCAAUGGGAUGCAGCUCUUUUCUUAGUCCCAUUUCUCUCAAAUCACGGCGGGAAUUAUAAUGGUCCUUUGUUUUAUCCUCGGUGUCCAGCAAUGUCCCCAAAUGUUUUCACAAACAUUUUUCUCAAUGUGCAUGAAGUCAAGAUUGUGUCUUAAGACAUUAUCUUUCCAAUAUGGCAAGUCAAAGAAAAUACUCCUCUUUUUCCAAUUGAAAGGCAGCUUCGGAUUACCUUUCACAAGUUUUCCAAAUUUAAUUUGCAAGUCUCCCAAUUCACUCACAAUCAUAUCCCCGGUUUGCAAAGGUGGUCGCUUUCCAUGUUCUUCGGUGCCAUCAAAGAAUUGGGCUUGCUUUCUAAAUUUAUGCUUACUAUCUAAGAAUCUCCGAUGACCUAUGUAGCAAUAUUUGAAACUAUGAGUCAACCGUCGUGCAUGAGUGAACUUGUGACAAACAGGACAAGCAUAUUCACCUUUAGUGCUCCACCCAGAUAACAUUGCAUAUCCAGGGAAAUCACUAAUGGUCCACAACAGAGCCGCAUGCAGUUGAAAAUUUUCUUUUUGGGAUGCAUCAUAAGUUUGAAUGCCAAAAUCCCACAAUUCGGUCAGUUCUUUAACUAGAGGCUGUAGAUAAACAUCAAUAUUAUUCCUAGGAGAGGAUGGUCCGGGUAUUAACAAAGACAACAUGAAGUACGGUUGCUUCAUACACAUCCACAGAGGUAAGUUAUAUGGUAUUAAAACUACAGGCCAAGUACUGUGUGUAGAACUCAUGUUGUUGAAUGGAUUAAACCCGUCAGAUGCCAACCCCAAUCUAACAUUUCGACAAUCCUUAGCAAAUUCUGGAUGUAGAUGGUCAAAAGUUUGCCAAGCUGGAGAAUCAGCUGGAUGUCUCAUACAACCAUCUUUUGUACGUUUUGCCUCAUGCCAUCUCAUUUGAGAUGCAAUUUUAGAAGACAUAAAUAGUCUUUGUAAUCUAGGUUUUAAGGGAAAAUGCCGCAACACUUUUGAGGAAUUUUCCUUUUUUCCCCAGUUGGAUCAUUUUCUGAAGCAACCCACCUAAGCUCGUUACAUGUUUCGCAUGAAGUUCUUUUUUCAGCACUACCCCUAUAAAGAGAACAAUCAUUAGGACAUGCAUCAAUCUUUUCAUAACCCAGCCCCAAUGUAUUCAUCAAUUUCUCAGCCUCAUAGUAAGAAGACGGCAAAUUAGUCAUGGCCUCCGGAAAUGCUUCUCUCAACAGCUCAACAAGCAUAUUAAAAAUCUUGUUACUCAUCUUACCCAGGCAUUUUAGGUGAAGCAAACGAAUAAUGAAAGACAAUUUCGAGAAAUUUUUGCAACCAUUGUACAAAUUCUGUUGAGAAUCAUCAAUCAAUUUGUAAAAUUUUUCAGCCUCUGAAACAGGAAUGUCCCCUUCUCUAUUCAAUUCAUUUGUUCCAUGUGGUAUCCCAAAUACAUCAUGGACCAAGUCUUGCAUGUCAUUAGUCCCAUUUGAAAACCCAAUUGAUGUAUUUUCAGAAUUAGAUGUGGCUUCAUUGUAGUUUGAAAGUUCUCCAUGUGCUGUCCAAUUAUUAUAACCCUUGAUAAAUCCUACCACUUUCAAAUGAUCAUAUGCUUCCAUUUUUGUCACACAAACACCCAUGCCACAAUCUUUGCAAGGACACAAAAUCUUUCCGUCACAACUUGAUCUAGAAAAUGCGAAGUUUAGAAACAUUUGAAGUCCUGUCUCGUACUUUUCACUUGUUCUUGGAAAAUCCAUCCAUCUUUUAUCCAUACUUUUAAUAUAAAUAAAUGUCCUCCAACGAGCUUCCAAUAGCCUACUUUUUAAACUCAGGUCGUGGCUUACAAGUCCCUAAUUUCAAGUUCAAGAAUUUCUCAACAAAAAGGAAUUUAUCAAGCAGCCAGCAAAUAAAGGAAAUCAACAAAAUGCAAAAUUUCUCAACAAUCUAUAAAAACAGAAUUUGCAAGUAAGCGGAUAGAAAUUUUAUUUACCUAAUAACAGAAAAAAACCCUUCGUACCAACUCCUGCGCUCACGUCUUCGCAAAAUUCCUAAGUUCAAUCUGAAAUGUCAAUGGUUAAACAAACACAUGAGCAUGAAAACUAAAGGUGAAAUUCAAGAAUUUUACUAAAUUUUCAUCAAAGUAUACAUACAUCUUUGGUGUGUAGUGAUUAAUUUUAUAAGUCAUCUCUUUAGAAAGGCAUGCAAUUGACGGCAUAGGUAAUUGGAAAAAGAAUGACAGAAAAGUCCCCUAGCUUCUAAUCAUGCCUAUGAAGAUCCUUAUGAACAUGUCAAAAUACUUUGACCCAACUACAUCAAUGUCUCUGUCUUAUUAAUCUAAAAGUCCCCUUUUUUGGGCUCAAAAUUUGCACUAUAAUAGACUGAUCAAGUGCAGAAGACACUUAGUACAAGCGUUAUACUAUAUAUUUCAAGCAACUCACGUACUGAUUAGACAUACAAUUUAAAACAGAAAAAUGAUGUAAAGAUGCAAGUACUACAUAGAAUUUAACAUAGAAAAAAGCAAUAGUGAUAUAAGUGAUACCAUUGGGUGAAAUAUGCACUUAGCCGGAGGACCACCUUUGUGGCAAAAGCCAAAAGGCAGCAAAGGUUACCAUUGUUAUGCAAAUUUUGUGCCUCACAUUGGCGGUCCAUUAUCUGCAUCUUAAUUGUCUUUGGGCUUAUAUAGUCACGGUUUCCCAAUUCUGUCACCAGAAUAAUUUCCUGCUAGGCAUAUAUAGACCAUGGUCCUUGUUUCAUUUAUUUAUAUCGAACUUGUUGCUGAGUGUUCAUGAUUACGAUAAGCAAUGCAAUUUGGUUGAAGCUCUCUAUUCACAGUUUUGCUUAACCGUCCCCAUCCCCAAACAGAACUAGCUGCCUAAACAAACUUCAAUUACAGCUAGGUUUCAUAGAAAAAAAUGAAAAACAGGGGGAAUUGACUUUUUAUCGAACAGGUUUUGGGCAACAUACUAAUCACCCGUGGACACUUUAUUAGCUAGCCUAUGUACAAUUAUGGCAUGACGAUAGAACAAAUGUAACAUGGACAUAAAGAUCGAUCUCCUCAAAAAUACGCAAUCCAAUUGAACAAAUUUCCUCAAGUUUUCAUCUCCAUUGCAGCUAAAGAAAAAGCAUCCAACACCGAGUUGCUAUUAAUGCUACAAUUAGAUAGAUAUCAUAUUUAAAUCUUUCAACAAUCUUAAAUGAGGACAAUAUAACUCAACUAGCGACAGCUCAGGCCAAGAAUCUUUACUUCUCAGAAAAAAAUUUCCAAGUUGCAGGUAAUUUCUUGACAACGAAAUCAAACAUAAGAGCUUCAUUGUGUUUACCACUUCGAUUUUGGAACAACAUUUGCGCGCCUGAAGUAUCUUCCAGCUUUCCCAAUGUACAGCUCCGAUCUUCUAAUUUUACUCCCUGCCUGCCCUUCCAGAUGUCUUAGCCGAAGGAUUUAAAGUUGAGGUUAGAAAAGAUGAAGAUGGUUGUUUGCGGAGACAGCUUGACCAACAUUCUGGAUUGGCUGAGAUAGAUUGUAUGCGGAGAGGUGAGAGAGAUGAGAAGAAGAAAAUUUUCACCAAGUCCUUUUGCCGGCAAAAUGAAACUUCAGAGUACUUUACCAAGUGUCUGGAGCCAAAUUAAAACGAUGUCAUUUUCUGUCUUUUUUUUUCUCACAUUUUCCCAAGUGUCAUGAUAGGUAGUCUAAAGACACAUUAUUAUUUUAUAUCAUGAUAAAAUAAAAAAAUUAUAGUACAGAUUAUUGAGUUGGUUAAUAAGUGUCAUGAUACGUUUGGUAUAACGACACAAACCAACAAGUGUCCUUAUAAACAUGUCAGAAAAGGCCAUUUUUGUUGUAGUGCCUGUUGCGUUUUGAAUUUCUUAAAUAAAGGUCUUCUCUUACCCCCAAGCUAAAUUUCACACACGUUGCUCUUAUUCCUAAAUAUUUAGAGCCCAAGCAAGCAAAUAUCUCAAUUCCGUCCACUAAGUUUAUGUAAUGUAGUGUACAAAUUAGCGUCUAAAGCCAUCUCUAAUCGAGUCCGUGUUCUUUUACCGAAUAUUAUUUCUGAUCUCAAUCGGCUUUUAUUCCUGGCCAAUUAAUCACCAGUAAUGUCCUUGUUGCUUAUGAAGUCCAUCAUUAUCUUAAAUGUAAAAAUGCAGGCAAGGAGGAACUCAGGUCGAUUAAAAUGGAUACGAGCAAAGCGUAUGAUCGAGUUGAGUGGAUAUUUCUCUUAAAAAUAUUACUAGCUUUAGGUUUCAAUUCUAAAUUUAUUUUCUUAAUUUUCAAAAGUAUUUCAACAGUUUCUUAUUCUUUUUUGCUCAUCGGUUUGGGAUUUGGCCACUUAAAACCUAGUUGGGGUAUUAGACAAGGAGACCCACUUUCCGCAUAUCUAUUUAUAUUGUGUGCAGAAGCUUUUUACAUUUUAUCUCAGAAGCUAGUCUUUGUGGAAAGUUGGGAGGCAUUGCUGUUGCGCCUGGUGCUUCAUCCAUUUCUCAUUUGUUUUUUGCCAGAUGAUACUCUUUUAUUUGGAAAGCUACAGGGGAGGAGGCUUCAAAUUUUAUGCAGGUUAUCAAUCUUUAUGAAGGUGCAUCAGGCCAGCCGAUUAAUGUGGAGAAGUCAGUGGUGGUAUUUAGCAAGAAUACUCCAGAAGCUGAUUAAUUGGCAAUUGAAUGUGCUCUUCGAAUGCCGCCUGUGGAAUCACAUGAAAAGCACCUCUGGGGUUGCCUACUAUCGUUGAGAGAUCUAAAGGUGAGGUCUUUAAUUCUAUCAAACAAAGGGUUUUUAAACGGAUUAAUGGAGCAGCAGUUAUCUCGAGCAGGAGAAGAAAUUUUAUUGAAUGUCCCUUGUAAAGUUAAGCAUUAUCUCUGGAGAAUUUGCUGUGAUUUCUUGCCUACUAAAGUAAAUCUGCUCCGGAGAAGAGCUUCAGUGGAGCUCAACUGUCUGUCUUGUGGUUUUGAUAUUGAGGAUCUUAUUCAUGCAAUUUCUUUCUGGGCGUUAAGCUGCCUUAAAGGGCAAGUACGUAAGUGGCAGCAAUCAAUUCCCAAAGAGUGGGCUCUGGAGUUGUUAGUUACGUUGAAAAAUCGUGAAGCAGAGUUGUUUGAGAUGUUAUGUUGGGCUAUUUGGCUUGGGAGGAACCAAAAGCUGCAUGAAGAUAAACGAGUGGACCCUUUUGAGUUUAGUUAGCUUUGCUUCGGGUGCGCUCCAAUAAUUCCAAGAAGCUAAUGUUACUCAGAAAUGUCCAGGCGAUGGCAAGUUAAAGUUUAAUUUUGACGGUGUGGUGUUUAAGGAAACUCAAUCUAUUGGUUUAGAUGACGGUGCGGUGUUGAUUUAUCUAGUUUAGACCCUCCAAUUUUUGACAUUACGAGGGACUUAACUAGUUUAGAGAUGUCUAGUAUUUCAGGAAUGAGUAGGAAUCAUAAUAAAAUCACUCAUAUAUUAGCUAAGAUCGCAGAAUUCAUAUGUGAUCAUGUCUUUUGGUGGAGAGAUCUCCAGAGUUUGUUGUGCCAUUUCUAAUGGCGGAUUUGUUAGAAAGUUAAUGAAAGUUCAAUACAGGUUAUGUUGAGUAAGACGUUGGAUUGAAAAUUCAAGAUUUUGAACUGAAAUUUCAAGAUUUUGAGAUGAAAAUAAAAGAUCACGCUAAACUUAAUGGAUUCAAAUCUUAAUAUGUGCAAAUGCGUUUGAUAACCAAAAUUGGACAUCUGAAUUAAUUAAGUGCUACUGAAUUUUCUAAACGAAAUUUGUUCUAAAAAAUAAGUGAUAAACUAUGCAUUUAUUACUGAAUGUGAUAUACACUUAAAUAUACUUGAUUUAAUACUUAACAAUCUAAUAAAUUAAUGGACUCAGAUUUUAGAUUUCAAUUUUAUCAAAGUAACCUAAAAAUAUAGACUAUAGAUAAAAUAACUGCAGAUAAUGAUUUAUGUUGAGUAAGCUUUCAAAGCUACGUUUCCCAAAACAAACUUUAGAUAAUCAUUCUCUAAUUUUUGCUUUCACUCUAGAAGAUGCGUACAAUAAUGGGUGUAUACAAAAAUGGAAGUUAAAUUGAUAACACUAAGCUCGCCAAUUCUCAUAAAAAAAAUGAUGACAUUGCCUGCAUUAAUUCUAGUAACGGACUGAAGACAAUAAUUAAUAGGUGACUAUAUGGUGCCUAAGGCACACAAUAAAAUGUGGACUUGGUACCAUUAUUUAUUUUUGUGAAAGGAUAAACCUAUUUUGUAAGGUGUCGCAAUUCAUCAUCAUGAAAUGAGUGGUAAUUUUAAAGCAUUAAUAGUGAAUUCACCUUCAUUUUUAACGUUCAUAUCGCAAAGCCUAUUAAAAAAUUUCCACCAGCACAAAUUCCACUUUUAAUAGGUUCGAAAAUUCACUCACAAAUUUAUCCACAAAUCCCAUUAACAAAAAAAAAAAAGAAAAUGCAGAAAGUUAUCAACGGAACUUCUAUAGUGCGUUGAUGCGACACGUGUUGGUUGGAGAUUACUAGAUGGGAGUGGGGUUAAUCAAAGGUGGUAUUUUAGUAUUAAGCCCAAAAACCACCGGUAACAAUGGUAUUGACCCAAUUUCUAGAGGAAUUGACCCACAUAAACUGUGAAAGAUUAUUUUCUCUGUCAUUUAAGGCAAUUUCUGAACAAGAUUUAGGCGUAUAAUAAAGAAAUUAUCAACCCCCAACCCCCAAUAUUAUGCUAAUAUGCAAUUGGAAAAAAUUAAAUGAAUAUUUACUUGAAGUUAAGAAGUGGAUACCAAUCGUAGAAAGUGUUUAUAACAUACUCCGAAAUGCCAAAGGACUUCCCAAAAAGUGGGAAGCAGGACAACAUCUGAAAUAUAGUCCAAGUUUGAAGUGCUUUAUGUCAAACAUAUUUCAAUAUAGAAAAAAAAAAAUUACUGGUUAGCAUAUGUUUGUGCGCAGUAUUUGUUGAUUGGGAGACGGUUCUAAGGAGGCGGUUUUGCAACAAAUAAGUAAACGGGAUGUCGAUUACUUGGAGUUGUAUCUUAUGCUGGAAAAAUAAUUAGACAUGUCAGUUAAGUAAUAUUUCAAUUUAAAUAAAGUUAGUUAGGAACUAGAACUCGUAACAUGGUUGGAUAUGGUUAGUGAAUAGGAUAUGAAUGUUGGGGGAUAGAAUACAACUAGAAUUACUAAGACAAAUUAAGCGUGACACUUUGAAUUCAAAUUUUACUAACAUUGCAUAAUAACACCUUUGACUGAUAAUUUUUUUUGAUACGGAAACUGGAAAAAUUUUAUUAAGAAGAGGAUAGAUCCGUAUUAAUUGCGAAAGAAAGAAAAAAUGGUGGAGAAAAUCUCCAACUAUAAAUACCUGAAAUAGAACUAGCAUUACUAUCUAAGAAAUGAGCAGGCACAAUUAGAUUCCUAGGAAUCCAAUCAGCCUCCCAAGUAAUGAAAUUCUGUAAACUAACAAAGAUAUCAUCUAACAGCACUCCAUAAGCUGAAUCAUCGGAUUCCAUAUUUUUAAGCAUGUUGAUGAUCUUCAAAGAGUCACCCUCUAAAACAAUCUUAGAACCUUCAACUGAAGUAACGAGGAAAUUGCAGAUAUUGCAGCAUAAGUUUCAGUUACUUCAGGAGAAAAGAUACCUAAGAUUUUGUGAAAAAUACUAGCAACAAAUUUGCCCCAUUCAUUCCUCACAACAAUUCCAACUCUAAAGUUGUCGUCUUCAUAGAAUAUUGCACCAUCGAAGUUUGCACUGCACCAUCGAAGUUUGCCUUUAGAAAUCUUGCAGAGGGCUUUAUCCAAUGAAGUUGAGCAGUGGAAGAGCAUAUUGGAAUGUUUGGAAAUGUGUUUAUUUCAUGGUAUUUCUAUAAGAAAUUGAUAGAGAGGGAGAGACCAAACUGAGAGGAUCACGAUAGAACCAUCAAAUAAUGCAUCAUUUCGGUUAAACCGUAGAUUCCAAAGAAUUAUGGCUACCAAUUCCAUGUCCUGCUUUUUCAAAAGAUGAAGGCCAGACAACCGAGACGAAACUUGAUCGGUAGAGUCUAAUCUUAUCUUUAGUGUAAGAAAGCUAAGGGCCCAAGGUUGAAUUGCUACUGACAGCACAAGAAAAGAUGAUUAACAUCAUCAAUAGGGGCCUUACAUAAAGAACAAGUAGGAUCAAAAUAGACUCCGCGACUAUUCAACUUGGAAGUUAUAGGUAGAAUGUCUUUGCAAAUUCACCACAAGAAUAUUUUAACUUUACUUGGUAUGUUGAGUUUCCACAAGCAGGGCCAAAUAUCAUCCAUAGAACCAUUACUACAUGAAGCUACAUCUUGUCAAUUUGUAGAUUAUAUUUUGAUAAGAUGAUAGGCAAUUUUCACUGUGAAGGAGCCAUUUUUAGAAUAGUGCCAAAUGAGCUUAUCUUGAUUUCGUCUAUCACCCAAUGGAAUACUCAUAAUCAACUCAAUCACAUCUAAGGAUAGCAACGGGGGCGGUGCCCGGGGGGCUAUUGGGGCAGAGGUUGGGGCGGGGGGAAUUUUUCCCCCCAUUUAGAAACGGGGCAGGGGGCCCACCCAUUUGGAAAAAAAGAGAGAUAUAUAUAUGUACAUAAUUAUAUAUAUAAUAGUAUUAUCAAUUAUACAUGUCUAUUAAUAAAAAUUAUUAAUUAUUUAUACUAAAUUUAUUAAUACAUUUAUAUUAAAUUCCUAACUACACUUAAUACAAUAACACUUUUUUUCUAAAAAAAAACAAAUAAUAAUUUAGUGAUUGUAUUUGUAUCAAAAGUAAAAAUAAUUAUUUUAGUUAUAUUUGUUUUAUCAUAUUAGAUCGUAUUCAAAUAACUUUUGUUUAAUUAUUUUUAUGAGUUUCAAUUGUGAAGUUAUAAUGAAUAAUAAUUUGGUGAUGUGUUGAUAUUUUAGUACUUGAUUACUUGCUCAAAUUUAAUUAUAAUAAAAUUAUAUAAUAAUUUUUUUAACCCCGCGGGGGAAGCGGGGCGGGGGCGGAGGAGGACGGACGGGACGGGGGGAAUUAAUAGGCAACGGGGCGGGGGGGGGGAGGGGCCACCCUAAUCACAUCCUGCCAAAAAAGCUCUUGAAGCAAAUCAUAUUUCCAUUUCCUGCUAUUUUCAUCAAUUAAACAAUCUAUAGUGGAGAUUUCUAGUAGCACAUCAAAACGAGAUAUAAUUUUGAAAUUAGAAAGACGUGGAAUCCACCUCUCUUUCCAAAUUUUGAUAUGAUUCCCGUGUCCAUCUCACCAUCUACUACCAAAAACACCUUUGAUUGAUAAUUAAAUAGUUAAAAAAUAUAUCUACUUAAUUUGUUUACUCAAUAGUUAUGUGAACUAAAACAUAAAAAAGAAGGUCAAUUAUUAUAUUAGUGUUAUAUUUGUAAUAUUAGUUCCCUAUAUAGUAGGUUGCCGAGUUGGGCAUAUUUAUAUUCUACCAAGUAAAUGCCCUAUCUUUUCGAAACGUGGCAAAAAAAAUUGUGUUUGUUUUUUUGGUAGAUUUCAUUCUUUUUCUUUUUGGUAACAAUUAAUUUACUAUUCAUUUUCACUUCAUUAUUUAUAGUAAAUUUCAAUCAAUUAUCAAUUACUUACCUUAUAUGCAUUUCUAUUAAUUAUACCUUUAUUUUUUUAAUCAACUUAUAGCUUUCCUUUUUAAUUAGGCACUCGUUAAUAUAUGUCUUAGGUGUUAAAUUUUUAGAAAUAUAAGAUGAAUUAGGGAGAGCAUAUAAAUGUAAGGGAAUUAAUUAGAAAAAUAUAUAAAUAAAAGAAAAAGUAGUAAUAGUUGCGUAUAUAUGUGGCAGGUUAGGUGGAAUGCAGGUGUGUUAACGAUUACCCAUAGGGCACCCAUUAGAAAUACUCAUCAAAAUUUGGAUUAAUUUUUUUUCCUUUCAUUGCAAUCAUUACUACCAUUUUUCCUAUCAUUUAUUACUAUACCUUCAUGUUUCUAAAUACCAAUAAAUGUAUUACUCUCUUACUUUUUAUUUGAUUGUGCUAAUUAUAGCUUUCCUUUUACUUAAUCAAUUAGUCAAUCGAUCAAUCAACCCAUGAUUUUAAUUCUCUUUUCAAUCGCACGAUCUUUCUUUUAUCCAUCAUUAGGGAGAUUUACAAUUUAGUCACAUAUUUGUUAUGUGUACAAUAAUUAUGCAAUCAUAAGCACAAACUAAUGCAAUUCUAAUAAUUUUGCAUAUAUGCAUUCAUAUUGUAUUGCAACACCUUUAAUAAUUCAUUAUAUGGUUACAAAAGCCAAAAAAAAUCUAGUAUUACCUAGACCUUAGAUAGUCCCCAAUGUAUACACUGAUACUGUAUAAAUGAUUUUAAACCCGUUAAUAUAUAUACUGAUUGCAUAUGAAGAUUCAUCCCUAAUUUAGACCUCUUAGAUAGUUUGCAUGCAUUAUAUUCCCUUUUUUUAAUUUCUUAUUUAGUUUACCUUAUUACCAUUUAUGAUUUUUUUUUAAUUUAAGCAACAUCUUCCAAUAUUUUAUCACCAUUUUAAGUUAGUUCAUUUUUAGGAGAUAGUAGUAUAAGUGUGGUAGUUUGUCCAAAUAACUUUGAAUAUGCAUAUACAACCCAAAAAUAAAAUGAUAGUUGUUUAUAUUCUUAUCACUCAACGAUGAUAGUGUUAUGUAAUUUAAAUGAUUGAGAUCUAUUGCCAUCCAAAUAUAAAUUUAUAUGAGGGUAUGAUAACUAAAAAUGACUAUAGAAUCUCCCUAAAUACUAAAUAAUGCGAAUAGAGAUAUUCCCUCAAAAACUUGUAAAGUACUUAAUGUGUAUACGGGUAAAUUCUUGCAAUAGUGAAAGGAAAAUAUCUUACUAGCCUUGAAAUUUUGGCCCGUGUAUUGACUUUUGUUAGCUAAAUUAAACUAUCUUGGAGUGAAGACAUAAAAUCUGCGGCAAAUUUGAGAGAGUUGUGAACAUAGCUUAUUAGCGUACACAUUUUUUCCGAGUUUGAAUUCUCUCACUUACUUACUGACAAAAAGAAAAAACUAUCGUACAUUUAACUUCCAACUAACAAUGAUGUAUAGGUAAUAAAUUAUAUGCAUGGGAUAUUCCCAUAAAUAAAUGAAAUAUAUUUACACGACAAAGAGUAAAUUCUUAAAUUAAGAAGAAAUAAUAUUAUAGUAGCUGUCAAUUUGUUUAUAUGACUUUUUGGUUUGUCUUUACUCAUGACAACCAAUUAUGUUAUUUUGAUGUAAAAAUAUCCAAAAACGGUUGAAUACAAUGUGGGACAUUAUUAUUAUUACUCGGAUACCUCAAUAUUUAUAAAAUUGAUUAAAUUGGAAUCCAUUUGGAUUUAACAGUAUUUUGAAAAAACUAUUUUUGUUGUUCAAGUCUAUAGUAAUAAACUUUAAAAAUAACCUCAAAAAUAAUUUAAAAAUACAACAUAUCUCAAAUACAUUAAAAAAUAAUUAAAAAAUUUCCCUAAUUCUUCUUCCCCACCUACCCACUACAACCACCACCACUACCCAUCACUGUCCACUACCACCACCAUCACCCCACACCCAUGACCCUUCUUCCUCUCUCCUCUCUCUCUUCUCCCUCUCUCUCUCCUCCUCCUUUCUCUUAUUCUCCUUCUCCUUUCUCCUUCCUCCUCUGCCUUGUCUUUCCUCCCUUCUCCCUUCCCUUUCCCACCCCCUAAUCCCCCCUUCCCUCUACUGACUGUGGCCUUCUUGGUCUUGACCAGAAAGGUUGCAGCCAGAAGCCACUAGUGUUGCAACCAAGGUCACAGAUGGAGUCGCGGUUACCAUCCACGAUUGGGAGAGGUUUGAGGGUCAGAAACGAGAGGGACGGGGGAGAGAAGGAGAAGAAAGAGGAGGGAGAAGGAAGAGGAAGGGGAGAAUGAGAGGGAGAAGAGAGGGAAAAAGAGGGAGAGACAAGAGAGGAGAGAGGGGGUAACGGCGGUGAGUGGUGGUGGUGGGUGGCGUAAAAUUUUUUAAAAAUACCCCAAAAAAGUUGUAAAUUAUAAAAAUAUCCCAAAAAUGUAUUUUAAAAAGCCCUAAAAAUACCUUUAAAAAACCCCCCAAAAACAUCUAUAGUACAAGUUAUUUAUAUAUAUAUAGUUACCGUAAAGUUUUUAAAAGAUACCCCAAAAACAGUUAGUCCAAAUGGAGUCUUGAGUUUUGAGGUUAAGGUUCAAUGAUUGACCACAAUUUAGGUCAAAGUAAAACUUGGCCGAAAGUUUAGUGGGUAAAAUAUAAUUUUAAAAAUUAAUCAUCUUCCCUGAUCCUCACAGUUGCAAUGGUGAACUGUCAGCCCCUUAGGACGUGUUCCAGACGGAACGCGCGCAACCGUGGUAGAUUUCGGUCACUCAUGGUCAAGUUGGAAGGCUGAAGGUGAACUGGUUGGGAAAAACUUGGACACAUGUUUGAUGAUGUAUUCCAUGCCUAUGUAUGGGUUUGGAAAAGUUUCAGGGCUAGGAAAUGUCUCUAAAUUAGUGGGGAAAUGAGGGGUGGCUUUACUAGCGGUCCGAAAUUUUUAGCUAGGACUACUAUAGAGAGAGAUAACUAUAACUAAGCCAAGUCAAUGCCAAGGGCUGGGGUUUAUGGGUUAUUUUGGAUGGUUCCAAGCAUUUGGAGCUGUGGUGCCUAAGUUGCUAAGUGUUGGGCAAGUUGGGCACGGAACUAAGCAAAUGGCGAGAAGCUGGGUGUGCGAAACUGUGUGACCAUUGCCUGUGCGCUCCAAAGACGAACGUUGGGACUGUCUGGCAGUUGCUAGUCGUUUGCUGGAGUUGCGGACGGUUAUCAGUCAACUCAGACACGUUCUUAUCGGUUUCUGACUUCAUGUACAUUCGGGUCGGACCAACGGUUGGGUCUUGUCAACUAUAACAAUGCAUAUAAAUAAAUGGCUAGGUAGGGACUAAAGGCAGAUAGUGAGAAACACCCUUAGAUGUUCUGCACGCUAAAUGUUUGUAGAAUUGUCCUUGUAAUCUCUAUAGUGAAAUACAAGGUUGGCCGUUUGGUUGUAACUUGUGCGUGUUGUUCCUUUGUUUUUGCCUAAGUAUUCUAUGUUGAAUACUUGUAUGCAAGUGUCAGUGUAAGGGCUGACUGGAAGCGCGGCUUAUCAAUGCCAUUACAUGCUUGUUAGGCUAGUGAGCGAAGCGUAAACACCUCGUAAUAGUUUGGUAUCAAAGCACGGCUUUGAUCUAUUAGACUGUGCUUCUGUUAUGUGUUUUGUUGGUUAAUGAUGGUUGGACACAGGAAUUCUGUUGCAAUGAUUGGAAUGGUUGCAAUGUUAGGAACUUGCAUUCGAGGACUUGAUGCAGUGUCUAGGAGAUGGCCUAGAAGGCUUCAAUGUCAUAGAAGUUCUAUUGCAGACUAGAGAGAUGAUCAACACCCUGACUGCACAGAUGGAUGAAACCAGGCAGACAGUUUCUUCUGUUGGGAUGUUGAGAUGCUAAGGAAUGAAAUGACUGCGUCCCAUGCAAAGAUCGUGGCUUUACAAUCGAAGAUCAAUGUGUUAAAAAGGCAGUCGGCUCUUGUAACACACAGACCUUUCAAAAAUCUUCGAAGGGAAAGUGAAAGUCCUAGAUCCGAAACCAUACCAAGGUAGUAGGAGUUCGAAGUAUUUGGAAAACUUUUUGUGGGAUUGUCGAGUAGUACUUCAAGGCUAUUGACAUUCCUGAAGUAGAGAAGGUGUCAAUUGCAUCAAUGUGUCUUAGUGGUGAUGUAAAGUUAUGGUGGAGAACAGUGCAAUCAGACCUACCAAACCCAAGAUCGGCACUUGAGAAGUACUGAAGGAGGAAUUGAAGAAGCAAUUCCUUUCCACGAAUGUUUAAUGAAAAGUUAGAGGUGUAUUGUGAAACUUAAAGGAGAAUAAGAAAGUACAGAGUACGUUACAGAGUUCCAAGCCUUGAUGUUAGAUGUAAGGGAAAUGUCUGAGGAAGACAGACUCUACAUCUUCAUCCAUGGACUUCAACCGUGGGUACAGAUGGAGUUGCGGUGAUAAAAUGUUCAGACCGUGUCUCAAGCACUUGCUACUGUCGAGAAGUUGAUAGACUUCAAGUCCAUAGGAUCCAAAAGUGAAAAAAAAAGAAGGCAAGGAUAAGGCUAAGGGCUCGAAAGGUGGUCAAUUCUCAAAAAGAAUAAAAAGAAGCAGACAGUACAACGACCGAAACUAGCGGUGCUUCCUCUUCUAAGAAGAAGCAAACAUCCAACCCUAAAAAGGAUGGCUGCUAUACCUGUGGAAGACCACACUUAACCUGCAAUUGCCUCAAUAAGAAGGACCAGAACGUUAGUGCCUUAGUGGCAGAAGACAAUAGUGACCAGUUGGAGGUCCAGGAUGCACGGGUCAACCCCAUGUAAUUCUUGAACGCCAUCACCGAUACUAAUGUCUGUACUCUUUACAAUGGUUUGAUGUAUGUGCAGGUUACAUUGAAUGGUAACCAUAUAUUGACGAUGGUUGAAAUGGGAGCAUCAUAUAGUUCUAUGAUGGAAAAAGUGAUGAGUCGGUUCCGGUUACAGUUGAAAGACUUGGGUUUCAAAAUUGAAGGCUGUAAACUCUGAAACCAAACCAGUGCUAGGCAUGGCGACCGUAGAUUUAGAGUUGGAGCCAUGGAAGGGUUGGUGCAAUUUCAUGGCAAGUCAAAUGGAUGAUUUUGACUUGAUUCUAGACAAAGAUUUCAUAGUUGCAAAUAGGAUCUAUCCAAUUCCGCACUUGGAUGGCGUCAUGGUGAAUGAUGGCUAGAGUCCAGGCUUUGUUCUUGUAGUAAAGUUGCAGAAACAAAAGAACAAUCAACAAAAGAACAUGGUAUCAACGAUAGAGAUUGAGUCAUAUCUUCUGAGGCGGUGAAGUUGUGUAUAUUGCUGCAUUGGUGGAAACCAAACCUAACAUGUACCAGGAAGUACCUAACGCCAUGGCCCACGUUCUAGAGAAGUUUACAAUAUCAUGCCUACAAGUUUUCGAGAUAGCUUCCUCCAUCCUGUGCGUGGAACACAAGAUCGAGUAGGUUCCAAGAGCCCAACCACCUGCCCAAACUCCUUAUCGCAUGUCCCCGAUAAGUUGGCUGAGUUACGAUACCAACUUAAUGAAUUGCUAGAUAGCCAAGCGCUGAGACCGUCAAAGUAUCCGUACAGUACUCCAGUGUUAUUCCAGAAGAAGGCUGACGAAACGUGAGGUUCUGUGUAGACUAUUGUGCCUUGAAUAAGAUCACGAUAAAAAACAAGUACCCAUCCCAAAUGUGUACAACUUGUUCGACGAGCUAGUGAUGACACGAUUUUACACCAAAAUUGAUUUGCGGUCUGGGUACUGGCAAGUCUGAAUAGCCCCAGGAAAUGAGGAAAAGACGACGAUAGUGACGUGGUAUAAUUCAUUUGAAUUUCUCGUUAUGCCAUUCAGUUUGACGAAUGCACCUGCUACCUUUUGUGGACUAAUGAAUGAUGUCUUGUACGAUUUUCUUGAUAAGUUUGUCGUAGUGUACUUAGAUGAUAUUAUUGUGUAUUUGAAAUCCUUGAAGGACCAUAUAGAUCAGAGGGUAAUAUUCUGCAAGUUGAGGAAUACGAACUCUAUGUAAAGUAAGAAAAGUGUGAGUUUUACAGGGAGCAAAUCACUUUUCUUGGCCAUGUAUUGAACAAUGGUCGGAUCCAGAUGGAUCGCAGGAAGGUUGAGGCGAUUCUUGACUGGCUUGCACCCCAGAAAGUCGCAGAACUAAAGUCAUUCGUUGGUUUGGCCAACUACUACAGGCACUUCAUCUAGGGAUACUCAAAGAUGACCUACUAAAGAAGGAUAGACCGUGGCUGUGAGAUUAUGAGUGCGAAGAUGCAUUCAGAAUGCUGAAAAUAGCGGUUGCUUCUGUGCCAGUGUUGCAACUUUCAAAGCUUUUGAAGUGCAUACUGAUGCUUCAGAUCGUGCGAUUGGAGCGUACUUAUGCAGGAGAAGCACGGAUUGCAUUUGAAAGUAAAAAGCUAAAGAAUGCGAGCAAAGAUAUAGUACGCAUGAGAAAGAAAUGACAGUUGUUGUACAUUGUCUCAAGAUAUGGAAGCACUAUCUAUUAGAAACCAAGUUUGUGGUGGUGACUAAUAACAUGGACAAUACUUGCUUCAAGACACAGAGAGAGUUGACCCCGAAGCAAGCUCGUUGACAAGAGUUUCUGGCUGAAUUUGACUUUGACUGGAUUCAUAAGUUAGGAAGGGAGAAUGCAGUGGUCGACAUACUUAGUAGAAAGUAUGUCGAAGAAUACAUUGUUGUGCUUAGCACUGUUGAGACGGACUUCAGGGACAGAUCAAGUGGGAGUCCCCGAGUGACCCAGUUUAUCAAAACUUGGUGUUCGUGAAGUCAAAGUUCGUCGUUAUUGGCUGGAGGAUGACUUACUAUUUUGCCAAUAGUGGUGAAGCAUAUGUUCCAGCAGGAGGGGGACUUAGGCGACAGUUACUACGAGAGACUCACAAUGCUUCUUGGAUUGGUCAUUCUGGAGUUGAACGAAUGCGGGCAUUAUUGUCGCGUAGCUUCUAUUGGCCAAAGAUGGAAGAGGAUAUUGAAGCAUACGUGAAAACUUAUCUUGUUUGUCAACACGACAAGAUGAGAGGAAGAAGGAGCCAGGCUUGUUGCAGCCUUUGCCGAUCUCUGAUCGACCAUGGCAAUCAGUUUCUAUGGACUUCAUUUCGAGAUUCUCUAAGGUCGAUGGUAUGGCUUUUGUCUUUGUAAUUAUUGACAGAUUUUCUAAGUAUGCUGUGUUUGUUGGUGCACCAAAGGAGUGCUCGGUUGAUGUUGUCGUUGAGUUAUUUUUCAGACAUGUUAUGAUGUAUUUCAGAUUACCCAAAGAUAUCAUAAGUGACAGGGACAUGAGAUUCAUAGGUAGAUUUUGAACCGUGAUGUUCGGGUUGCUAGGUUUCGAACUGAAGUUCUCAACUGCCGCAUACUCUUAGACCGAUGGACAAACGGAGAGGAUCAAUAUCUUGCUAGAAGAAUACUUAAGGCAUUACGUGACGACAAGUUAGAAAAAUUGGCUGGAGUUGCUGGAUACUGCAUAGUUUUACUACAACCUGCACAAGUUAUUCGUAACUAAGUUGAGUCCAUUUGAGUUAAUGAACAGGCAACAACCUCUGACUUCACCUGAAGUUGCUCUUCAAGAGUUAGUUUGUUGAUGACACAACAACGCAUGAAGAAGUACGCAGACCAACAUAGAUCGGACUUAGAGUUCCAACUGACUCCCCAGAUUUGAAAAAAAGUAAAUAACAAGACAGUCCAUCGUGGGAUCAUCCCUGAGUACAAUAGACCAUUUGAGGUAAUCAAGAAGGUGGGUCAUAUAGCUUAUCGUUUGAAACCACUUGACAAACUCAAGAUCCACCUGACCUUCCAUGUGAGUUUUCUGAAACCCUUUUACCAAGACGAGAUGGAUGGAGGACGGAGGCAAGCAAAGUGUGCCUGCACAGUGAUCCGCAAGCAAUUCCAGAAUGAUGUGAAGGCUUUGCUGGAUUACAGAAUGAUGGGACAAAGAAAAAAGAAUAGAUGGACAAACUAUCUGAUCCAUUGGAACGGUGAAACAAAAUUAGAUGCUACUUGGGAACGGAUGUUACCUUGUGACAGUUUCAAGAUAAGAUUGCUGAGUACUUGAAGAACGUGCGAAAGCAAACCAAGUUGACGAGGGCGUCAACCUCUUCAGGUGGGGUGGUUUAUCAGCCCCUUAGGGUGCGGUCCAAACGAAAAGUGCACGACCGUGGCAGAUUUCGGCCGAUCAUGGUCAAGUUGGAAGGCCGAAGAUAAACGGGUCGAGAAAAGUUUGGACACAUGUUUGAUGAUGUUUUUCAUGCCUAUGUAUGGGUUUGGGAAAGUUUCAGGGAUAGGAGAUGUCUCUAAGUUAGUGGGGGAAUGAGGGGUGUCUCUACUAACGGUCCGAAGUUUUUAGCCAGGAAUACUAUAUAGAGGAAUAACUGUGACUAAACCAAGUCAAGACCAAGGGCCGGGGGCCGGGCCAAGGGUGUGGUACGACUAGACUUUGUGGGUUAUUUCAGAUGGUUCCAAGCAUUUGGAACCGUGGUGUCUAAGUUGCUAGGUGUUGGAGCAAGUUGGGCACGAAACGUAGCAAAUGGUGGGAAGUUGGGCGCGCAAAAUCGUGCGACCGUUGCCUGUGCUUGCAAAGACGAACGUUGGGACUGUCUGGCAGCUGCUAGCAGUUGUUGGAGUUGCGGAAGGUUACCAGCCAACUCAGACACGUUCUUAUCGAUUUCCUAACUCAUGUACAUUUGGGUUGGACCAAUGGUUGGGUCUUGUCAACCGUAACAAUGCCUAUAAGUAAAUGGCUAGGCAGAGACUAAGGGCAGAUACUAAGAAACAUCCUUAGAUGUUCUGCACGCCAAGUGUUUGUAGAAUUGUCCUUGUAAUCUCUAUUGUGAAAUACAAGGUUGGCCGCUUGGCUUUAACUUGUGCGUGCUGUUCCUUUGUUUUGUCUGAGUGUUCUACGUUGAAUACUUGUGCACAAGUGUGAGUGUGAGGGCUGACUGGUAGUGCGACUUACCAGUGCCAUUACGUGCAUGUUUGGCUAGCAAGAGUAAACACCUCGUAACACGAACACUGGUCGCCCAUCUUCAACCACCAUCUAACACUUCUUUUCAAGAUCAAUUCUUGCCCAACACUCAUUUUAUUCGCUUGAGUCAUGAUUAUGGCAUCACUUUUCUUCAGUUUAAACCCUUUGACGAUACAAAAAUAAGGUCACAAUUGAAAUUCUGAUUCGAAAAUUUGAAACUUUCGGGAUUGCCUCCUGCUAUGGGCUUUUCUCAAACUCGAUCAUAUGCCCAAACAAAUUCAUCAACCAACACUCACUCUGCCCUUGGGGCACCCAAUUAACCCCUUUAAAACAAUUUUGAAGACACCCGAAACUAGGGUUGGGCAAAAAUACUUGUUAAUCCAAAAAUCUGACAUAUCCGAUUCGAUUCGAUUCAACAAAUAGGGUUCCGGUGUGUAUUAUUUGAUCGGUCAAAAGAAAGUUGGAUAAUUACUUGUAUGCGGCGUUAGGUGGAGUCACCUGAUUAAGAAUCCGUGGGAUCCCGACCCUUCCCACAUAUAUAUUUUUUAUUUUUACACACAUAUUACAAAAUAAUACUUUUGGAGCUAAAUAAGUAAUUUCAUUAAACAAAAUACAUUAUAAAUAUGAAAAAUUAAAGUUUAUUUAUAAGAUUCAUUUAUAGAUGUCAUGAUUUCUUUUUUUUAAGGAAACAGUUUAAUUAAUAUAGAACAUAUAUUUGUAAAAAGGUACUAUUUAUUUGAAUUUUCAUUGAUUUUGAAUUCUUUUAAUUUUCUUUUCCCGUAUUCUCUUUGCAUGUUCAUUUUUUUAUUGAGAAAAAAUCUUUAUUAAGUUUUAGAUGAAUAUUCAAAAUACAAAAUUAAAUUACUAUAAAUUAUUUUUUAAAACAAUUAAAUGAUAACCAGCGUGAUGCAAAUAUCUGUUAACUCAACCCUACUUUAAUGGAAACCCACUCAUAUACGGGAUGGUUAAAGGUCAAAAGAUAGCUGUCUUGCAAGGUACGGGUCUAGUCAGCCAAAUGAAGCAUAGAACGAGUACUACUUGACCUGUACCUACCCCUACCCAAAACAAAUCUUAAUAAUCAUAAAAUAGCAACCUGCACUUGCAAAAUCCAAUUUUCAAUUUUCUCCUCAAAAUUUAGCAUCAAAUUUUACAAAAAUUACACAAAAACAAUCCAAUCAACAAAUAAAUACUCAAGCAUUGAAUUGACAUUAUACUGUAUUUGUGCAGCACCGAAUUGACAUUAUCUGACUUGUAUGUAUGGCAAAAUAAAGGAACUAUGAAGAGGAUGGGGAGGAGGGAGAAGGAUGCUGAGAGUAAGGGAGGAGAUGAAUCGGAAAAUUUAGAUAUUUUUUCUUUUUAUAUUUUCUAUUAACCGGAUUUAUAGGUAACUAGAGCUGUUAAUCGAACCGAGUAGCUGGCGAGCCGAGCUCGACCCGGCUCGACAAGGGCUCGGAUCGGCUCGUUUACAGAGAGAAACAAUCCGAGCUCGAGCUCUACUCAGUAUUCGUUUAAUAUAUGCUCGGCUCGUUUAAGCUCAGUAGGCUCGAAGAGUAGGGGCAUUAACAUCAUUUCAUUGUGUAUGUGGUACUCUAACCUAAGUCAUUCUCCCGUUUGUAACCAUAAUUUUUCUUUCCUCUUUUGGUCUUACCUUCUCCCGUUCCACAGCCGUAGCCACAGUCGCACGCCAGCACCCUCCAUUUUUACCACCGUCACCGAGUCACCAUUCACCAAUUCAUCCAUCAUCUCACCUCCAUCAGGACCAUCACCUAUCCGUCCACUAUCUCACCGCCAGGCGUUAUCCCUAAUUUUUUCUUUCCUCUUUCGAUCUUUCCUUUUCCCGUUCCACAGCCGCAGCCGCACCCUCCAUUCUUACCACCGUCACUGACUCACCAAUCCAUUCAUCUCACCUCCAUCACCAAUCCGUCCACCAUCUCACUGCCAUCAUUCAAUCCACUUCUCGUGAAUCCGUGAGCAGCGCCAUACGGAGCCACCUCGGUAAAGCCAGGGGCCUCUACCAUAUCCCGAUUCCUUGCAUAAUCUGGUAACCAUUUCUUCUCAAUUUUUGCAAUUUAUUUUGGUUUUAAGAGGUUGUGUGGGUUUUGGUUAAUGGUGGAUAGCCCCGUAUCCCAUAUGGCUUCCCCGUAUCCGUUGGCUUCCUGUGUUUUAUCCCGAAUUUCACCUGCACGGAUUGCUUAUGCAUCGCUUAGUGGACUUUUGGUUUCAAAUAGCAUGUCUUUUACCCGUUAAAUAACCUUUUUUUUACCCAUUGUUCUGGAUUGUUGCAUAAGUGUCAAAUUUCGCCUGAAAUGCUCACAUAUUCUUCUAUGAGAUUACGUGUAUCACUACUGCGUUACCUUCCUUCGACACCUGAAGCUGGAGUUUGACGUUUCAUUUCGUUCAGACCAUGGAAUAGUUGCUGCGAUUAAACUUAUGUCUCUAAGAAAAUAAAGAAGGAAACAUCACUUUUUGUCUCUGUGCUCUUUGAUUUCUGCAUUUUCUAAUCCAUGUUAUAGAACUGACUGUUGAUGAUACCAAACAUUUUGUUAAAAGAAAACCAAAGUAUUCAAUUCCCAUACAUUUAACUCUUCCUGGUUAAAAUGUAACUUCCUCUAUUGAUGUCCAUAAAUUUCCUCGAAAAAGCUUGCGAAUUGCAAAAGUUUCCACCAGUCGUCUUAAAAUGGCACUCUAAACCGUCUGCUAUGAUACUUUUGAUAAGCACAGUUAUACUGCCAGGAAGGGCAAGUAGGUAUGCAUCAUGGACCAUGAAAAUGCCAAUUUCCAGAAAUCAAUUACAGCUUUGACGAGUUGCAAACUUCUUGGACUAUGAAAAUGCCAGUUUCUAGCAAUGAAAUGAUAGCUUUCACGAUCUGCAACUUCUUAUUGAUUAAUGAAUACUGAAAAGUACGUAUCAGCCCAAUCUUGCCUCUCUUCGUAGUACCUGGAAAAGAUUUAACAGUCAACCAUAAGUGACAGAACUUUAACAGCGCUAGCCAUAUAACAAACAGUGGACAAAACUUUAACAAAGCUAGUCAUUUUCUUUUCUUUAGCAUGUGAUAUUUCUUCAUGUUUUGCACUUUUGUUUAAGCUUGACAGUGAAAACAUUUUUCAACCUAGAAGAUUCUGCAAGGCAAAACUUUCUUCAUUUUAGUUUCUUCAUUUCAGCAAAAUUAACUUUUUGUUUGGACUGCCAUUUUAAGAGUUUUUCACUGUUAUUUCAUUAAUCUGAAUGUAAGCUUGAGAAUUGAGAUAGGAACAAGUUAAACAAAUGUUAAAACUGGCUUGAAGUGGGCAUUAUUUCUUGGAAUCUGUUUUAUUACUUUUGUACCUUAUUUUUAGAAAUGUCAUUCUAAAUAUCUAUUUUGGCUAAUCAGAAUCUGUAUUGGUUAUUAAAUGUGUUUUGAUUAAGGAAUGUACAGCUCUCCAUUCAACUCAUUUCAAGGUUCAUCAUCAAGUCCUGUGAUGGAGCAAAAUAAUGAAGUGUGAACAAUUGAACUACAACGAAAAAAGAGCUGAUGAGAUGAGUGAAAAAGAGAUAGAAAUGAUAAAAGAUGAGGGCAAUGAAGAACGACAGCAAGAGAUGGAGAUGAAGGAGCUGGUCCUUUUGAGAAAAAACAAAGGAAGAAGAAAUCUAGCAUAUGGGAUGAAAUGACAACAAUAGUGCUAGAUAAUGGGACGGUCAAAGUGAAAUGUAACAAUUGCAAGGAACUUUUUGUCAAGAGUGCAACCGAAGCCAUAUCUCAGCACAAGAGACACUUGAAUUCUUGCCUACAAAGAAAGAUAGCCAUUGGAAAGCAAAGCAAACAAAAGCAACAAGUGUUGUCAUUCAUCGAAGGCCAAAGUAAUGGUAUCACUUCCAUCACAAAUUUCUUGUAUGAUCAUGCCAAGGUAAGAGAGCUUGCAUCACACAUGAGUACCCCUUUUCUAUAAUAGAUCAUGUAGUUUUCAACAAAUUCAUGAAAGCGGCUUCUCCAUUUUAUAAUUGUUAAGAAAGAUUGCAUUAGUACUUAUAAAUUGAAAAAAGGAACCUGAAAUCAUUGUUGAAAGGUGCUGGUAGGAUUAGUAUUACCACAGAUUUGUGGACAUCUGGUCAAAAAAAUUCAAUAUAUGGUUGUGACUGGUCAUUUUGUUGAUUUUGAUUGGGUGCUACAAAAACGUGUUGAAUUUUUUAAUGUUCCUCCUCCUCAUGCUGGAGUUAUUAUAGCUGAUACUCUAAGUAAGUGCUUUAUUGAUUGAGGGAUUGAGAAUAAGGUUUCUAACAUAACUGUUGAUAAUGCUUCAUACAAUGAUGUGUGCAUUAGGAGACUUAGAGAGGAUUUUUCUCUAAAAAAGAGAUUAAGUAUUGGAGGAAAAAUUUUCAUGUUAGAUGUUGUGCACAUAUACUUAAUCUCUUAGUGCAAGAUGGUCUUGGUCAACUUGGUGGUGUGAUUGAUGUUGUUAGAGAAGGGAUAAAGUACUUGAACAAUUCUGAAUCUAGGCUUCUUGAAUUUGCCAAAAUUAAAAAACAGCUUCAAUUGCCCUCUAGAAAGCUAAUUUUGGACUGUCCAACAAGAUGGAAUAGCACCUAUUUGAUGUUAGCUUCAGGUUUAGAGUUCAAGGAUGUUUUUUCAGAUAUGCAGACAUUGACCCUGGAUUUCACUAUGUUUUUACUGAUUUUGAGUGGAUGAAAGUGAAAGAAGUGUGCAAAUUUCUAGGAAUAUUUUAUGAAAUCACUGAUAUGAUUUCCGGGUCCGAGUAUCCAACGGCUAACAUUUUCUUGUGGAGCUCUAUAGGAUUAAAGAGCUUUUAAAUGAAAAAGCUCUUGACCCUUUUUAGCAUCUUCGGGUUAUGGCUGGAAGUAUGUCUGCUAAAUUUGAUAAGUAUUGGGGGAAAGUAAUGUACUGCUAUCUUUGGGUGCAAUUUUGGAUCCGAGAUACAAAAUAUUUCUUAUUAAUCAUACUUUUCCGGUGAUUUAUGGUGAGGAUGCAGCUCCUAGAUUCGUGGCUGAAAUUAGAGACACUCUUUAUGAGCUUUACAAUGAAUAUGUUGAUUGUCACAUAGUUUCCCAUUCUGAACAAUAACAGAGGCAGGUUGUAAAAGGGAGACAAAAUGAAGGUUCUAGUUCUUCUAGUAAGAAACAGAAAAUGACUGGACCUGCCGUUUUAACUAGUAAAGAAAAGUUGCACAUGCAUGUGAGUGAAAUUAACAGGGCUCCACCACAAAAAUCAGAUUUAGAUGUUUAUUUAGAGGAAAGUAGGUAUUGUGACGCCCCCACUUCUCCUUAAGGUGAACCAAAGAGUAUCCACGGGACGCCUGCCCAACUCUUACCAGGACUGGUACAAUUCCCGUUCAACCUUAUUACAAUACUAGCUAUCACGACAAGAUGAAGUAAAAAAGAUAAAGUCGCUUCUAUAAAUAAUAUUCAAACUUACACCACGAGUUCCAAAAUACAUCAAAUUUCCAAAAUAUACAACUGCCAAAAGUCUAGUCGAUUACAUUUGGAACCCUAAUACAAAAGUACAACAAAAGGAUUUCUCCGAGUUUCACUCCAUAUCUAUGCCUGUUAAGGAAAAUAAAUCUACGGGGUGAUCAAUUGCUCGUGAGGCCAAAAAACACACAUACAAGCACGUUGUCCAAUUAACAAGAAAACGAUAAUAUUCGAGUAAUUAACAAUUCAAGCGGAAUGUAAACAGAAACAAUUCAAGGAUAUGGGAGCUCUCAGGAGCUAUUGUCCACUGGCACGAUCAAGAACCUCCACGAGUUGACACUCCGUCAAUCGGGUAGGUCAUAUCCGUAGAAGCUUCACUUACGCGUUCCUCGUCCACCAUACAUACCGCACCGGGCCCGAACAUCAUUUAUAAGGUGAUACUCCACGAGUAUGUCAAGCGAGAUCUUUCAAAUAGAUCAAACUUAUCAUGUUAUUCUCAUGACUCAUCGAGAUUCCCGACCAAACCCAUGCCGGCUCGAGUUCCAAGGUCGACCUAUGAGUUUGGGCCCCCAUGUAACAUUUGUGAGUGGAAGAGAUUCACUCCAACGAUGUAUGCAGCCAUAGCAUACUAUUUCAUGUCAUUCAAGCAUUCGAUACAUUCAAUCAUUCAUUUCAUCUCAUUCAAGUCAUUCAUGAUCCAUUCAUUUCAUUUCAAUUAAUUCAAUCAUGAGUCAUUCAUUUCAAAUGAGAACGAGUGCGGUAAAAUACACACUCGACUCCAUUUUCAAAAUCUCCAAUCAUUAAUAACAGUUAAGCAUGUAUCAAGUUCCCAUACACUUGACACUCACCAAGUAAUUCAAGAAGUAAAGCACAAGCGGUUGUUUAGGCGUCUCCUGUGAGAUCCUCUUGAAGGUCCUCUUGAGUGCCUGAGUAAUAAUAAUGAACUAUUACACACUAUCGUUUAAAACCCCUACUUAUCGAGAAAGAUUGCACUCGUGUACAAUUUAAGAAGAUAUUAUGAGAAUGAGCCUUAAUUACUCGUAAAUCGAGACUCAAAAGUGGGGUUUUAAUAAUACAAGGAAAUUCGAUUUUCAUCUUUGAAAUCAAAUGUAAAACGAUCAAGCAAUAUCGAGGAAAAAUGGUGAGUACUAAAAACUCAAUUUUCUUUAAGUUCGGAAAUUUCAGAUUUGAUAAGCAAUUUUUGAAAAACCGUAUCUCAUUCUCUGUAGGUCCAAAAUUAGAAAAAUUGGUACCGUUGGAAACUACUUCCAAAGUACUAAAAGUUCUUAGAAGACAUUUUUCCAUGAUUCCAAAUAGAUGACAUUCAAAAUUCGGUUCAAAGUUGCUGUUUUGGGCUACCAAGACAAUUUCGGGGUUGGUUUUUGGCCAACUUUGGAAAUUCGGCAAAAUUCACAAAAUGUGAACUAGCCUCUGCAAUUUGGAAUCAAUUAUAGUUACAAACAAAGUUUAAAACACAACAAACAGAACAAGAAUGGAGUUUUGAGUGCCAAGAUAUAGCAGCUCAAAUUUGCUGAAAUUUUCUCACUGAAUAAGGAUUUUCCAGAUUUGAAACAUGAAAUUUGGGAUUUCAGUUGAGCAUCGAAAUGGACUUGGAAUGGCACCAAAUUUGGUAGUAUUACCCUACCAUAGAAGGGCUAUUCCUCUGUCAAAUUUCAUGCAAAAAUUCAUAUGGAAGGUCAGUUAACAAAGCCGCUAAAGUUCCAAGAAUUUCCAAGGCAAAUCUGCCUUGUACUUCCGUUUUACUUUUUCAAGCAUUUGGCCAAUGAAAUCUUCUCAAACAUGGUUCAUUUAUGAAGACAAGAUCUAAGAAACAUCCAAAAUGUGUUUGGUAGGUGAUUAAUACCAAGAGUUCCAAAAUAACGACUCCCAAUUCGAGUUAAGGCAUUCAACUAGCCAAGAUUAGGGUUUCCUUUCACUGACACAGGUCUGGAAUUUGGCCACAACUCACUCAAUUCAACUUGGAAUUAGACAUGAUCAGUGGCGUUGGAAACUAAAUUCAUAGGGCUAUAAUUUCUCAGAAAAAAUCAUUUUGAAAUUCUGUCCAUAACUAGUUCAUAUUCUAGCAACAAGUUGCAGCACACAACAGGUUUUCUAACACAGACGAGAAACAGGGCAGGUGACUUUGAAAGGCUGGUACGGUUCACUCAAGUGGAAUCAGGGGAUGCAUUUUAUACUGUUAGAAAACUGGAAGUAUCUAGUUUCUAAUUCCUCAAAUGGCACUCGAUUUUGAUGUCGGAGAAAGAGUUAUUGUCGUUUGAAAUUCGCUGCCAGAGCAACUCUGGACAUGUUUUCCAACCAUGAAGAAAUUUCGAAAUCCAAACAUUUACCCAACCAAAUCAAGUGAUUUUUGGUGGAAACUUUUCACACAACCUAUAAAACAUAUAUACACCGAAAUCAAGUCAAUUAGAUCACAAAAAAUUGCACCAAGAGGUGCGGCAAUGACAGGGCAGAUCUGGCCCUUCUUCCAUUUCAACUUCCUUUGAGUUUCUUUCCACUCUUUCAACUUAAAUCCACUAGAUUAACACUUAAUCAACAUAAAUAACACUCAAAAUCAUCAAAUCAGAUGAUCAAGUCCAUUGUGGGAUUUCAUAGAGUCUACUCACAUGAUUUUCAACAAUCCAAAGCUACCCACAUGAAGCUACAAGCUUCUAAGUGAAAUCUAACUUACAAAAGCUAAGAUUUAAAGGGUGGAUGAUCAUUACCUCUUAGAUGUUGCUAGAGCAGAAAUUUCGGUCCUUAGAGCUCCAAGAAAACCGUGAGAAUGAAGCUCUUCUCCUAGCUGAAGAUGAUCUCCAAGUUAUUUGCAAGGUGUGGUAUGAAUUUGAGAGGAUUUGGUGCAAGAUUGAGAGACGAAAUGGUGAAGAAACUUGGUCUUCUUCUCCUUGUUGUUGCACGGCUGCUUGAGGGAGAGAAAGAGAGAGUUGUGGCUGAUGGAAAGCUUCUCUUGGAAGCUUAAGAGUUUGUGGCCAAAAUUACUCCAAAAGUCAACUAAGAAUAGUGCAUGUACACGCGCGUUUCGUGCUCGUUUCCUCUUGGAUUUGUUUCACUUGUGCACUAAACCUCUAAUGCACUUCCAUUCAUACUAUUAUUAUUCACUUUUAAUAGUCUAAAAAUAAAGGUCUAAAGUCCCUCAAUUAAUCGCGCGCGCGAAAACACGUACUUCCGUUUUGUGCGCGAUAGAGUAAAAUUUCUAAGAAAUUCUUACAAUGAUAUUAUAACUGACUAGUACUUGAGUACUUAAACAUAAAAAUACCUAUUUUGAAACUAAUGUAUGAGUCUUCAAUCUCCAAACUCACUGUACCCUCAAAUCGAUUAUUGUCUCCAAACGCACAUUCACUAUUCUCACUAAACGAGUUUCUAAAAAUUAAAUUUUUGCAACAAGUCAUUUUAAAUAUAUAUAUAAGUCAUAAUUCCAUGUAAUUGAGUCUAAAAAGGUUGGAAUAAAAUAUUCGGAGCAAACAGACAAUUAAAUAUUUAAAUAAGCUAGUAAUAGAAAUUUAAAAUAAGUAAAUUUGCGGGUCCUUACAGGUAUGCUUGUGAUGCAAAUGCAAAUUUGGAUGUUUUGGGUUGGUAGAAAUAGGAAAGAUUGAGAUUUCCUAUCUUGUCGAGGAUGGCUGCCGAUAUACUCUCCGUUCCUGUUACAACUGUGGCUUCAGAAUCUACCUUCAGCGCCGGAGGUAGAGUAAUUGAUGAUCGACGAGCUUCUAUGUCAAUUGAGACGGUGCAAAUAUUGCUUUGCGGCAACGAUUGGAUCCGCAGUCUUCAUGGCCUAAAGAAUAAGUCUCGCGUUAAGUAAUUGAUUAGAUGUUUUUGUUGUUGUUACAGUUUCUUUAUAUCUGAUUUUAAAGAAUUUUAUAACUUUCAUACUUUUGUUUUGUAGGAAUCACUUGAUGCGACCGAAUCAAUCACAUUUGAGGAAGUUAAACUUCCCGAAUCAUUCACAACCUGAUUUGGUGGCUGUUGAUGUUGCUUGGUGCAAACUGAUUCAUUCACAUGUUGAUUUCGUUGAAGACCUAAAGAAUAAGUCUCGCGUUAAGUAAUUGAUUAGAUGUUUUUGUUGUUGUUACAGUUUCUUUAUUUUAAAGAAUUUUAUAACUUUCAUACUUUUGUUUUGUAGGAAUCACUUGAUGCGACCGAAUCAAUCACAUUUGAGGAAGUUAAACUUUCCGAAUCAUUCACAACCUGAUUUGGUGGCUGUUGAUGUUGCUUGGUGCAAACUGAUUCAUUCACAUGUUGAUUUCGUUCAAAAGCUGCAUCGUUCACAAGUGUUUUCACCCAAGAAAGUUAUUUUUAACUCUUGGUCUAGAGUGUGGACAUUUUAGAAACUGCUUAAAACGUAUUGAUGGCUGAUCUUUAAUUGUUUGGACUCUUUUAUGUAAUUUUUCAUUUUGUAAUCUGAUCUGGUCUGCUGCCGAGUUUGGACAUUUUAUUCCUCCAUUUGAUAGUUUGAGCUGCAAUUUUAACUUCUUUUUUGCUACUCGUGCUUAUGAUGCUUCUGUUUUGCGUUGUCGAAUUGAGUGGAUGAUAUAUUAGGGAAUGUGUUGUUCUUUUUUGUCAAACUAAAUAUGAGUGUAGAAGAAGCUGAUAUGCUAUCUUACGUAAACGACUUAUGAAGCUCGAAUUACUAAUCGAGCGAGCUCGAACUGCUCGAUUAGAUGUUCGAGUCGAGCUCGAUUGUCGUGUGCUCGAGCUCGACUCGGCUAGUUUAACAGCAAGGUAACAUGCAUCAAAGCAGGCUUAUUCUCUUAGUACUUUUUUUUUUCUUUUUAUAAAACACAGGUGCAUUAACGCACGACAGAAGCACCCUAUCAAUCUAAGAUCCCAGCUUGCUUGUAGCUUUCGAUAGAGUCAACAAGAGUUUCUUCCACUGGCCUAUACCUCCAGCCCAGCCUCUCCAAUUUUUCUGAGCUAAUAUUCCAUCGGCUUUGAUCCUUCACCUCUAUAAGUCUGCGAAGAAAUGAGUUAUAUCAAAAAAUAUGCAGACAACAUAAAUGGUUCUUGUAGAGACUCGUAGAUGCCACACUUUUGGAAAUGGAAAUCAUGACGGACAUGAACAAACAAGAAAAUCAGGACAAACGGGGUGUCUGAAAAAUGAGACAAUUAAUUUCAAAGAUGGUAAUCCACCUCUUAGGGUACUUGUAGUUGGCAUAGUUUUUCCUCAGAGUUUCCACCAUAUCUUUUGUCGUGGUGACGUGAGGUGAACAUAUGUACCGGCCUUCAGCUUCAGGUCUCCCGUAAACCAAAAGCAGUGCCUCGGCCACAUCACGCACAUCUACUGUGUUGUAGAAUUUGUUUUCUGUUUCUUCACAUCCGUCUGUGCAGCCAAGGAGUGAAACAAAAGAGCAGUUUAAUCUCAAAAAAGGAGAUGUUAUCUGUGCUAAUCUCUGAGUUCUUUACUGCAUAUAUGAAACCUACAAUCCCUUUGACAAAUAGUACAGCAAUAAAUUCAUGGGACUUUUGAAUUGCAAAGGACCUACAGGUCACAAUGUUAACCUUUUAUAUCUUCAACAAUGCUCCAAAGCAAAUCAAGCAAACAGUUGAAAGAUGCAACCUCUUCAGAUGUUAUGCCUAUUGUCUGUCUCAUCUUCCAUUAGGUCAAACUCACACAAUUUUCACAUCAAUAAAAUUUGAAUCGCUUGUGCAUGUGUCUGGAAAGAUUACAUUAGCACAAUUUAGUAUUUUUGGCAGCACUGCUCGUUUAAAUUUCCCUGCCAUCAAGCAGAAAAUUUAAUUCCAUUCCAACAGUAAAAGCCAAACACCACAAUCUUAGUUUUUUUUAGAUAACUUUGCAAGUUUUUAGAGCAUUGCCAAAAUCAUAAAACUAUCAGAAUGGCAGAUAGCUUACAGGUUUAGAAUCUGAAAACCUCAGCUGGCUUGAAGAUUAAAUAAAAAUGCCAAAAGACGGCAAAGCAGUUAUCUCCAUGAAUGUAGUUUCAUUCCUAGAAGGUCAACCGCAACCAGAUAGACGGAUUUUGUGAAAUUUUAUUGGCAUCAAUUCAUUGUGUAUCAUGUAAAUAACACUGGAAGCCAGAAGCAUAAAAAUGAUGGGUUACUUGGAAAAUUAGCUGAUCAACCACAUGAAGAAAUUCAAUUGUUUGACCUUUCAAGUACAAAAAAAGGAAAAAAUUGCUAAGCUUUAGAGGUCAUCUGAGUUCUAGAGUGACAUCCAUGCUCACUUAGGCACAAACCAAUAUCAAGGAGAAAACUGUAUCAUUUACGACCACUUCCAUGCAGAAGGUGAAAGAAAGAAAAAUAAAAUAUAACAUAACGGAAUAAGUUCUCCAAUUGACUACAAAGCACUAAUAAAUCACCUUUCAACAGCUUUAUAAGAGCCAGACUGCUAGCAUUCACAUCAUGCUGAAGCAUGGGGCCGAGAACAAAGGAUGGGCAUACAGUUAAAACAUCAAGGCCAGUUUCUUUUGCAUAUUGUAAUGCCUCACUUUCAGCAACCGUCUUGGAGUAACAAUACCAGUUCUGGAGCAAUAUUAGUACUAGAUGGUCAGCCAGAAACAGAUAGUAGUUGCAAAAAUCUGAUUUCUCAGCAAUCUUAGAAACAGUAUGAAUAAGACAGUGAAUUUUCUGCACAAUUACAACACCAAGGUGCAACUGCAAAAAGUCAAAUUAUGUUGAUGCAUACAUUUGUUGCCUUGCAGUAUUCGCCGUCUGACCAACACUUCUCAUCUAUGAUUUCACCUUCAGGCAGAUUAGGACUCAUUACAACAGCUGCAGUAGAGGAAACAACUACAACGCGCUUGACAUUUGCUUCAGAACAAGCCUUCAGUACAUUAAGGGUACCCUUUACAGCUGGCUCAACAAGUUCAACCUGCAACAAAUCAUCAUGUUGGCAGAGGUACUAGCACUCAACUCUUCAUGCUGAACUGCUUGUUUUUGCGUAAAAUAUAUCCAGAUAGACAGCUAAGUAGUGUCAGUUAACCUGACAUCUUUAGAGUGAAUGAGUACAUAGUUAAAAGACUCAUGACUGCUUAUGCCUGUGAUUUAACUUGGUUACCAGCAUAGGUUAUUAUUAUAUGCAUUUAUUCACUCAUUUCAACAUUUGAAAAAUCCUUCCACGAAAUGAUAGAAAGACAAAGAGCCCCAGUGACUUCAUAAGUUUGUACAAACGCUUUAACAAGGUUCUAUUUUAAACGAUACCCAACUUUAGCUCAUGUUUGGCAAAACGCAAUAAAAUAUUAUCUGUUAUGACAAAAGCUGUCUCAUAAACAAAAGAUAUGUUAAAAAUGUUAUUCUGGGGAAACCAAAAGGAAGAAAUAUCAUAGCAAUUGAAACGAUUGAAAAUGGUCUUGCCUCAGGAUUGGGAACAGAGCCUGAAGGAACAGGACUAGCUACAUGAAAUACGCCAUCACAACCCCUGAUGGCUGCAGAAAUGGAGUUGUAAUCCAGCAAAUCAGCCUUAAAGAGUUUCAAAUUCUCAGCUGCUUUGUCAAGUUUCUUCAGAUGAACAUAUUUCUCAUCGUCUACAAAACAUACACAGCAAUGCCCACAUCAUCAAGUAACGAAGCACACAAUUCACAGCAGGUGCUUUUAUAUAUUUCUUCAAUUAAACAUAUUUCUCACCCUUCACAAAACAUUUACAGCAAUUCCCACUACAUCAAAUAGGAAACAGCCAAUUGACAGCAGGCAAAAAAUCAAUUGCGGUAUUAAAGGGAAUGAAACAAUCAUACAAUACCCAAAACAAAAACAAAAAAAAAACGAGUAGUAAAUCAGGAAGGAAGGGUUAUGAGGAUGAAAUACGUACUGGGAUUUCUGAGGGUGGCAUGAACAGUAUAAUGGCGGGAAAGGAGUAGCUUGACUACCCAAGAUGCCAGGUAUCCCCCUGCUCCUGUAACACACACUGUCCUGUCCUUCUUAGCCUCCCACGCUGCCAUGUCUGAUUGCUUACCAGUAGCAGUAGCGGGAUUAGUAUUUUAGCACCAAAUUCACUAUAGACUGAUCAAGAAGGUGGGUGAAGUUCUAUUCUUUUCUUUUUUAUGAAUAUUAAUUCUUUUUUGGUUGGACAAGGCAGAGAUUUCGUCGAUUCUUAAAGAGGAGGACUGAAGAAGAGGGCGGUUGGAAGAGGAGGAGGAGGCGGAGGUGGUGGUGUUGGAAUUUUGAAUAGACGAGUCCUGUAUGUAUGAGCUAGCUGAUUCCAGCAGCCUCUGUCAAUACUAGGAGUAAUCAGCAGCUGGCAGGCUUGGGGCUUAUAUAUAGCAGCAGACCAAUGGUCCUGUUGCGAUUUGCACGGCUCAUGGAAGACGUAUGGUUUCAACGCAGGGUUGGGCUGGGUGGGUGGGGAAACGGUACUAAUGAUAAAUGUAUGUAUAAUGAAAUUUGAGAUAUUCUAGCAAUCUGUUAGUAAAAUUUAUUUUAUAAAAAAAAAAGGAGUAAAGGAGCAUAAUAUUAUUAAGUUAUAGUAAAACUUGAUGCACAUAUCAAUAAAACAAGAUAUUCUGUGCAUUUGAAUACAAUAGUAUAAUAUGAUUUUACCAUUGUCGGAUGUUUAACAAAUUUAUUUAUUAAUGGAUAUUAAAGUGUUACAUUUUAUCUCAUAUUUUCCCAAUUUAUGACUCAGAUUUUAAAUUGAUUAACUCAUUAGAGAAUAAAAAACUCAUCCCGUUGCUAAAUUGGACAAGUGACAAAAACUCAUGUCCAUAAUGGGAUUUUGCUUCUGACUCAAAUCCUAUAAUGCGAACCAAACCCCAAAUCACUCCAUUAUAACGGAAACACAAACUAAACUAUUUAAUAUUCAAAUCAAGUUCCGCUCAAUAACAGUUUGUUCGAAUUUGAUUCGCAAACUAAUCUAAUCAAGUUAGAAUAACAUUUUAUUCAAAUCAAGUUCCGCUCAAUAACAGUUUGUUCGAAUUUGAUUCGCAAACUAAUCUAAUCAAGUUAGAAUAACAUUUUAUGUUUGAAAAAAUUUUAACUGCAGCUCAAGCUUAGCUCAAUAAUCAUAAAAUUGGAUUUUAUAGAUAAAAAUUACUCGAACUCGACUCAAUAAAAAUUCUUUUGAACGUGACUUAGUAAAUAAAAAAGCCAAUCUUGAAUACUAUUUCAAAAUUCUUUAAAAUAAAUAACAAGAUACUUGGUUUGAUUAGACACAUUCACACCCCUGUUUUUCAUAUGCUCGAUAACAUAUAUUUUUGCCAUUGAAUUUUGGGACAUGUUUAUCAUUUUUUAAAAUCUUUUUUUUUAUUUCUGGCUUUUAUAGGAAAAAAAAAACUAAAGGAUGUGUUCGGAUAGGAGACCGAUAAACUUUUCUCUCCCCCUCGCGCCUAAUUGCAGGUUAAAAGCAGUGUUUUGAAAACCGGACCGGACGGCCGGUUCGACCGGUUGGACCGCGAACCGGCCAUGAUUCCGGUCCGAUUCUAUGCUAUAGUUGACCAGGUUAGAAAAAGCCGGUUAAACCGUGAAAACCGCCGGACCGGAUUGAACCGGCGGUUUUCGGUUUUCGAGAUUUCCCUUUUUUUUUUUUUUUUUUUUUUUUUUACGUUUUGCAAAAUGCAGCUAUCAAGAUUCGAACUCAAGACUUUUGUAAUAGAAGACCAAUGUAGUAACCAUAGUAACCAUUGCACCAUCACAUCUUAUUAGUUUUUUUUGAUAACUUGUUUAUAUAAAACAAAAACUCAUAUUUCUUUUUGUCAUUUUUUUUACAAAAUCUAAUCCUCUCAUAGCUCUUUCUUUUUAAUCUUCAACACACACACACACACACUCUCUCCUCUUUUUUUUGUCACUCUCUUUUUAAUCAAACCACUUUAUUUUUAAUUUAUUGAUGUUUUCUUCCAUCUUUUAAUUUUAUUUUUGUCCAUUAAAUUAAAAAAGGUUAAAAAAGAAUUAUUUUUCUUUAACCCAAAUUAUUUAAUGCCACAACCACUCACUUUUAUCUCAUUUUUUAUUUCUUAUCAAGUUUGCAUUUCUAUUUUCGAUUCUCUUGACUUCUUUCGAGCUCCAAAAUUCCUUUUUUAAAUUGCAAUUUCUAAUCCCAAAACGUAAAUUAAAAUUUAAGUUCACAAAAUCUAAAUUCUCAUAGACAUGAAUUUUGUAUAAUUUUAAAAUAUUAUGAUAUUUUUGGGUUAGAUCUAAGAUUUUUUUGGUAGAUAUAAUUGAAAUUGAAAUGAAAUUUAUUUGUUUUAACUUAUAAUUUAAAAUUUUUAUUUUUAAAAAAUCAAGUUAUUCAAAAAUAGUAAACUUUUCAUCAUAUAAUGUAUUAAAUUAGUCCAUUACAUGUCUUAUUUUGUGCAUAAAUAUUUACAUAAAUUAUUUUUAAAAAAAUUCAUUGAACCGAGGUUGAACCGGUCCGACCGGUUAAAUCUCGACCUUUCACGUCACCGGUUCAAUUAACGGUCGAUUUUUAAAACAUUGGUUAAAAGGAAUAUCCAGUUCUUAGAUAACUUUUCUAGCACAACUCUAGUUGUCAGAAAACUGGUCUACUUUGACUGUGGGUUUUCCUUUAGUCAGGCCAUUUUGUCAUUAGUGAUGAUUGCUUCUUCUAAACCUUAGCUAACUGCACACGCCAUGCGCAUGAAACUUCUUCUAAACCUUAGCUAACUGCACACGCCAUGCGCAUGAAAAUCCAAACUUCAAAUAAAAUAAUUUGAACUCGUCAACUUGCAAAAUAAGAUAAUUUGGGUUUCGUCUGAUAUGAGUAGUAAGGGAAAAUUUAAUUACUAUAUUUAUGAUUCUUGACUAAUGUGAUUGCUCAUCUAUCACCACGCAUCAGUUUAAUACCUUAUCUUCAUUUAAAUGUGACGAUUGUAGAAUUGAUGGCUGAAACUGAAAGGAAACUGAAAAAGAAAUGUCAUGUGAGUGCAUAUGCAUGGUUAAAACAAUACUCCCACAAAUUAUAACCAAUUCGAUCCCUUGUUUUUAAGGUUUUGAUCGUUUUGGUUCCUUGGUAUCAUGACAAGCCAAUUUUGCCUCUUAAAUUUAAAAAUAUGGUUAAGGAGAUCCUUUUGAUGGAAAUUUGAGUUGCUAAUGAAGUGAAGAGACCAUUUAGUGCCUUUCGUGUCACAUCCGUCUCAACACUAUAUUAAAGUUUCAAAAAAUCUCAAAUAAGUCAUAAAACUCAUAAAACAAACCCCAAAACUCUUUAUCGUGAAGAAAAUAAAUUUUUAUAACUUUAAAAUAAAUCAAACACAAAACCUUAAACAUAAUUAUGGAAUUUGUGCCAUUUUCGAGUUGAAAUAUCAUGAAAAGGAGUACCAAAAGGUGAAAGAAAAAUGCAUAAACUUAUGUUUGACAUAGUAUUAAAAACUUUUAUUUCAUUAUAUUGAAGAGUUUUGGGUGAGUUUAGGCUUUUAGGAUUUUAUUUGAAUGCUUGGUGUUUUCUGCGAGAUGGCACGAAGUACCCUCUAAGGUCUCUUAACUCCAUUAACAACUCUAAAUUAGCCUUGACCAAAUUCUUCAAAUUUAAGAAAAAUUGGUUCGCCAUAAUACAAAGGGACUAUUUUGUUAAUACAUUGGAGAUAAGAAACCAGAUUAAUUAAUUUUUGUUGUUUGCGUAACUCAAGGGAUUUCUCCGUUAGCUUCCCACAAUUUUGCUACAUUAGUCUCUUUUGAUGGAGAUAGAGCACCAACUCACAGUUGUAUUAGAACUUCACUUACGCUAUAAUCGUUAGGAUUUUCUUAUAUUCAUCCGACUACUCAAUAAGUAUCCUAUUUUAUAAUAACUAUCCUACACCUCUUCAAAGCCUGAUAAGAUGAAGAAAAUCUCUUUACUAGCAUCUUAAUGCCUUAUAUCCAGUAUUGAGGGAAAAAAUUUAAUCACAUUACAGUCUGAGAAUUUGAAUCCAGCAAUUUCACGGUCUGAUGUAGUCACCCCAAGUAGGUUCUCCAGUAAAACAGGGUAGUGAGGCAAAAUGUACAUCAAAUAGGUCAAUUGUCGAGCCCCUCGGGGUUCGGUUCCGUGGUUGUAGCCCCAGUUGGGGGAGAGCCACGUCCAGGGAUCGAGUCCCCGUUCUACCGUGGCUGGUGAUGCUUGAGGCGGGCCGCUCCCAGCCCGCAGUGGAUUAGUUGGGCCGUACGGUAACCAGUCAUGGGUCCAGAUACCCACUGUGAUGAAAAAAAAAAAAUAGGCCAAUUGUCGAUCUUUGAUUAUGUCUACACUUUCAAAAGAUAGGCUUAAUCAUAUUAGUGGAAAUAACUCAUAGUUCAUCAUAUAUUAAUUUGCUAUUCAAUUUAGUUUGAAUACAUGAUCAAUGUUAUUGUAUGCCAAAAAAGAUUGAGGAUACUUUUGACCUAGUUCUUUGCACUAACUUGAAAUCUUCCAAUUGUUCUUUCUUUGAUGCACUUGCAAAAUCUCCUGCAAAAGUAAAAUAACUCAGUUGGUGAAUUUUGGCUAACUGAGAGGCCCAUCUUCUUUUUACUUCUUUAGCACAAGCGAAGAAUGAAUUUAUGCAUAAUAACCGUGUGAUUCUAAUGAGAUAUGAUUUUUUUGGUUUUGCAUGCUGGUUAAACAAUUGUUCAAGCUCUUAUCUUGGUUUUUGAUACUUCACCGGUAUGUGGAUGUUGCUGCUAAAGAAAUUUACAUUUGUCAUUAGAAGAAUUUUCUAUUUUAUGACUGGCAAGUGAUUUGGUAUCUUAGCAGUUCAUCGAUUUUGGUGCUUUGUUUACAAUUUAAUUGGCUUCAAUGGUCCAUACAUAUAGGAACUUGGAAUUUACCCUUUUAUUUCCUUUUGCAUGAGCAAAGAUUAGUAAUUUUUAAUCAUAAUUUUCGAUUCCUCUAUUCUGGCCAUAGUGAAGAAAUCUACCUUUUUGUACUUGUGUAUAUGCACACCAAACAUCAUUGGGCUGUCUACUUUUGACAUUAUUCUUGAAUUACUCAGUUUAGAAUGUGUAUUAGCUGCUAGCUGCAUCAUCGUUGGCAAUUACUAAACAGAAAAUAUGCAUGCCAUUACUAUUUUCACUGAAAUUAGCAUCUAACUUAUAAUGAUCUAAUUAAAGGUUAACCACAUUGGUUUUGACUAGAACUAAGAGAUCACUAGCCCUCUUAUUUUUGGAUUUGCAUUAAUCCAGUAUCAUCAAACUUCUUCAAAUGGGCUCUUUAGCUACUAACCCCUUCAAAAAUAAUUUAGGCUUACGGUUCUGUUGAUGUCGCAAUUGCAGGAGGUUCAGAAGAUAACGAAAGGCUCAUCUAAGAUUUCUUAAGGUGUUUGGCUUAUAUUGCUAGAUUUACUUAAUCUAUUUUCAUUCUUCUCCGAUGUCAUUAUUGUUAAAGUUCAAUUCAUAAGUUGGUUGUGUUAGAAAAUUGGCUUAAUUUCUUUUUAGAUAGGUUUUUGUUUUGUGCAAAAGUAACUAGUUUCCUAAUUGGUUUUAGUUACUCGGAAUAGUAGCCAAGAAAUUUCUUAUUUUGUUUAGAAUUAGAAGUUAUUUCUUAUUUUCUACAAGUCUAGGAAUUAGAAUUAAUUUCCUGUUGUUAUUUGGAUUUUUUGACCAAAUAAUAUUUUUAUAAAUAGGUGGGUUGGCAUACUAUAAAAGAGACACAUAAGGGCACACAAGGACGACAUGUAACCUUAUACAUGGGUGGUGAGAGAGAGUUCUUAGGAGAUGAGAAAUGGUAUACAAAGGUUGGACUUGAGUUCGAGUUGUAUUCUUGUAUAAGGUUUUUCUCUCAUAAUAAAUAACAAGUUUCUCUCCGUGGACGUAGGUUCAAUGGAGUCAAACUACGUUAAAUAUUGUGUGUUGUUUAUCUUUUAUACUUGUGGCUUGUUUCUCAUUAAAUUAUUGUGUACUUGAUAUCUUAAUAGUUAUUUAUUCUGCAUUUAGUUCCUAACAAAUGGUAUCAGAACUUGAUUGCGAGAUUGGGCUGCUCACAAGCACUUGGAUCCCAACAAACUGAAUAGUUGGAUCAAGAGUUUGGUUGUUCAAGGAUGGAUCCUAGUUAGCUAUUGAGAUCAAGUAGGUUGGUGACUGUUACCAAUUGAACAAUUUAAUGGGCGGUAUCCUUUUUCAAGAGUUUGGCAAAAAAGCAUUGACGGUGAAUGAUGAAAAGUCGAAAAGCAUGGAGAUACUUGACGGUGAAUCUAGGCAGAUGAUUCAAGAGUCAAGGAAAAGGUGGAAUCCAAUAUCGAUUUUGGACGUGAAUCGGUGGAGACUUUCUCACAACUUCAACGGUUGAUACUUCAUCUCGGUGAUUUUUAGAUUUCGCUUAUGUUUUUUGAGUGGUACGGCACCUGACCCAAAAAAAUAAAGAGAUUUAAUUUCUAUGCGCUAGAAGACUCUGACAGUUACGAGUCUUUUGUUUCAGGUGAAUUUUUGGAAACCACACGUGGCGAGAUAGUCUUGAGGAAGGGAAGAAGUAUGAUGAUUUUAUCACUUGGUUGCCUCAAUGAUUAAGGUUAGAGCUCAUAGAAGGAGAUUUUGGGUUGCAAGUGGUGGUGAGAAGAAAUCCUGUAAAGAAAAAUGGUGAAUUGAGGCAUCUUCUCACGAAUCAACUGGAGGUUGUACUAGGUGUAAAUACACAUAUUCAUUUGGCAAUUAAAUUAAUUUGGUAUCAGAACUGUAUUGAUUCGGGUGUGUAGUUCGGUACCAUAUUAUUUGGUAGUUGAAAGUAAAUAAUUGUUAAAAGAAAUUUUCGCCAAGAUAGAGAUUUGUUAGGAAAUUGAUUUAAUUUCUUUUCAGACAGGUUUUUGUUUUGUGUAGGGAUUUAGUUUUACUUGAAAUAGUAGCCAAGGAAUUUCCUAUUUUGUUUAGGAUUAAAAAUUAUUUCCUAUUCUAUACAAGUCUAGAAAUUAGAAUUGGUUUCCUAUUAUUAUUUAAUUUUUUGGCCAAAUAAUAUUCUUUAUAAAUAGGUGGGUUGGCAUACUACAAAGAGACACACAAAAGCACACAAGAGACGACAUGUAGCCUUAUAUAUGGGUGGUGAGAGAGGAUUUUUAGGAGAUGAGAGAUGGUAUACAAAGGUUGAAUUGGGGUUCAAGUUGUGUUCUUGUAUAGAAUUUUUCUCUUAUAAUAAAGAACGAGUUUCUCUCUGUGGAUGUAGGUUCAAUGGUGGAGCCGAACCACAUUAGAAAAUAGUGUGUCAUUUAUUUUUCAUGUUUGUGGCUUGUUUCUCAUUAAAUUGUAGCGUACUUGAUAUCUCAAUAGUUGUUUAUUCCAUGUUUGGAUCCUAACAGAUUGCUAAACCAAGAUUGAUGUAAUUGCGUCCUAUAAGAGAGUUUGCAAUUCAAUUGAUUAAGGGAAGAACAGAGAAAAUCCCUGAAAAUGGGAAUUAAAGGAAACAAAGGAAACCCUAAAACUAGUUUCCAAGAACAAUUCUGUCGAAGACAGAAAACAAAGAAAAUAGUAUCAAAGGCUAUAUCGUUAUUUAGGAAACAAGAAGCACUUGAAGGUGAAUGUUGCAGAAAGUAGAAGAUCCCACUACAAUUUACUAAUUCAAGGAGCUGUAAUUAAGAAAGAAAGAAGACAACUCAGAGAAUUAGGGAUUGUUAUUAAUUGAUGAAUGAGUAGGAAGAAUGUAGAUGAAGAUGAUAAUCAAUUACAAGUAAUGGAAAUCGGAAAUCCUAGAACUGCCUUCAACUUACCACCCUCCUCUCUUUUAUUCGGCUACUACACUUGUCCAAGUCAGCUAAUUCAUUACAACCAACUGACAUACAAGAAUUAUAAGGAUUUAUUCAUUAAGUCCCUAUCAUACUCGCUUUAUUACAAAAAAAAAAAAAACCCUAUCAAUAAAACUAAGGUAACAAAUACUUCCCCCUCAGAGAAUCCUUGUCCUCAAGGAUUAAAUUCAGGAAAUUGUUGUUUAAGGUCAAACCAGAAUUCCCAGAUAGCAUCUUCAAGAAAAGAAUUGCUUCACUAUGCCAAAACUUUUGUAGCAAGAGAGUUACCACAUUUCACCAAUUUCUGAUCAAGUAUGGCUAUAGGCUCCAUUAAUAAUUAUCCCUGUGUAUUGAUUGUGUAUUGAUUGCAAAAGGAAUGUGUGAGGUAACUAGUGAGUGCCCACUUUCUUCUUUAGAAGAGAUACAUAAAAAAUAGAGUGUAUUUUUGCCAUAUUAGGCAGCUAAAGCUGAUAUGCAACAGGGUGUACUCUUUUGAUCACUUGGAAAGGUCCAAAAAACUUAGAAGCUAACUUCUGACAAGAGUGUACCUUCAAAGAGUGUUGCCUCUACAGUUGUAGUUUCACAUAUACCCAAUCUCUUGCCGAGUACUGUCUAUCAGACCUGUGUUGGUCAGCUUGUUGCUCCAUCCUAUUUUGUGCCUUAUGAAGGUUGUACUUUAAGUGAUGCAAAACUAUCUCCCUUGCUGCCAAGAUUCUAUCCACCACUUCCACUACUGAAUUCCCAAGUAGACAAGGCAUAUGCAGAGAUGGUGCAUGACCAUACACCACCUCAAAUUGGAUAACCUUAGUGGCAGCAUGAAAUUUGGUAUUGGACCAAUAUUCAGCCAAGGGUAACUAGAUAGACCACUGCUUUGGAAAAUCUCCACACAUGCACCUCAAAUAUUACUCCAAACACCUGUUUACCACCUCAGUUUGACCAUCUGACUGAGGGUGGUAGGUAGAAGAGGUAUUAAUCUGCACUUUUAGUAACUUAAAAAGUUCUUGCCAAAAAGUGCUAAUGAAGACCACAUCCUUGUCACUAACAAUGCUCUGAGACAAGCCGUGAAGUCUACAGAUCUGAUCCAGGAAUAUGUGCAAAUAUAAAUGCUGAAUAAGCAUGUGACAAUGCCAAGAAGUGUGCAUACUUACCUAACUUGUCAACCACCACCAAGAUGGCUUGUUUACCAUGUGCAUUAGGUAAACCUUCCAUAAAGUCCAUGGAAAUUCACUCCAAACCUUUUGAGGCACACGUAAAAGUCGUAAUAAACCCAAAUAAGCAGUAUUGUCAUAUUUGUUGCACUGACAGACAUCACAUGCAGCCACAUAGUUGACUAUGUCUUGAUACAUUCUUCUCUAAUAAACCACUGACUUCAACUUCUUUUAGGCAGCAUAAACUCCUGAAUGCCUCCAACAGCACUAGAAUGCCACAAGUGAAUUAUAUUAUUCUUGAAUUGGCAGUCAUUUUCUACCACUAGUCUCCCCAUUCUCCUUAACUGCUAGUUGCUCCAUGUGUAAUAAGGUGAGACCUUAGAAAGAUCAAAUUGUAAUUGAGUGAUGAAGUUCUAUAGCCUUAUAUCUAUUUGCCAUCCCUUUUUAAUCACUAUCAAAGAUCACUGUUAACAAUGAUGAUGGCAAGAGCUUCUCUUGGUUCUGCUAGUUUUCUAAAGAGAGUAUCUCUCACCAUAUUAUAUGCUUCUUUCCUGUAGUGAAGCUCAUAAUAAAAUCUUACUAGCUUAGUCAUCCAUUUCUGCUGCAUAAGAGUAGGGCUGUCAAUGGUCUGGGUCUAGACCCGGAUCCGGACCGGAUAAAUAUCCGGGUAUGGAUACUAAUUUACAACCGGAUCCGGAUAUAAAUGGAUUACUAUAUUUAAAAUAUAUAUUUAUUAAUAUAAUUUGAUUAGGAUGAUGUAUUUGAGUAUCAAUAUAAUUGGACCCGGAUCCUAAUCAAUAUAAUUUGAUUAGGAUGAUGUAUUUGAGUAAGGUUAAUUUGAUUUCUUUUCUUAUUUGAUUUUUUUUGUAUUAGUUAGAAAUUAGUUUAUAAAUAUAUGUUUUUUCUCAUUUUUGUUAGAAAUUAUAAAUUUUGUUAGUUUUUUUUCGGGUAGACCCGGAUCCGGAUCCGGACCCGUCGGAUCUGGAUCCGGAACAUAGAGUAAAGACUCAUCGGGUAAACGGGUCGGGUCCGGAUCCGAUAUAGUGUGCCGGGUCCGGGUCUGGAAUAAUGAAUUCCGGCCCGGACCCGCCCGUUGACAAGCCUACAUAAGAGUGUUCAAUCUUUGUUCCAUCAUAUAUUCAAUGCUCUAAUGGUCAUUUUUAAUGAUAACGUACCUUCCAGGUAGAUAAGGUCUCCACUUCUAUACAGCAGCAACUAUGGCCAAUAUUUGCACUUUUCCAAUAUACUAUCAUAUGCUAUUCCCCCACACACCUAAAUCUUAUAUUGUCCCCAAUGUAAAAUAAAGAAUAAAAGAAAAGUAAUGGGGAUAACGAAACUUCCUUGAUAACUGAGGGGGCCGUCGACAGCUACAGGUGAGGGGCGAAUGACUGUGGAGCUCGACGUAUGUUGAUGGUUGGUGGCGGUGGAGUUCGGAUGGAGAAGGAGGAAGAAGAAAGAAGAGAAGAAAAAGAAGAGAGAAAGAAAGAAAGAAAAAGAAAAGGAAAAAGAAAGGAAAAGGAAGAGAAAAGAAAAGGGAAAUACGAAUGGGAAUUGCUCCAAUCCGAGCUGGUUUUUUGUACUACUACUUUGCUUCUUGUACGAAGCUUGAAGAUGCAGCAAGCGCGGAAAUUUUUUUUUUUUACAUCUGAUUUUGAUUUUUUCUUUUUCUUUUUCCUUUUCUGUAUUUCCUUUUCUUUUCUUUCUAAUUUUUCUGCAAAAACAAUCAAAUAGAAAUCAAAUGAGAUGGAAUGAUUUUUUUUAAAAAAGGUAAAAAUAUAAAUAGAGAUAAAUAAAUAAUAAUAGUUAUUAACAAAUCAUAAAAUGAUUUAUGAAAUUUUUUUGGUGUCUACAUAUAUUACUAAUAAUUUUUAUAUUUAUAUAUUUUUCUAUUUAAUCUUACCUAUAAUUUUCUUAUUUUAUUUACUUUUCUAAUUAAUUUUAUAUUUUUAAAAAUAUAACAUCUAAAAAUAUAUAUUAACGAAGAGGACAUCCGUUAGACAGGUCCUAUUUUAUGUAGCAUAUAUGUCUCUACAUGAAAAAAACUUUUUUAAUAGGUAUCCCGUUUUUUGACAUGAAAAAUACCUUUUGACUACAUUCUGACUAGCGCCAAAAGCUAUCCACUUUUGACAUGCUGCCCAUGCAGGCCUAAUUUUUUUUAGUACUGAAUUUGUUUUGGAUACGUUAGUAUUUCUUGAAUUUUAGAAAAUGCUUCUCUUUAAUAAAUGUAAGUUCAUUUUAAUCUUGAUUCGCAAGCUUUUUCUUGAAAAUGGUUUGCCAUUUCUUAUUAGUUGUUACAGUAAAUUUAGCAUGCAUAUAUGCUUUUUGUCAAAAUUCAAUCAUUUCAAAAUCUAGAAGGGAACUUCUAAAAUACCUGCAUCCUCCUUUUUCUUUUUUUUUUUAUUCCCCCCCCCCCCCCGGCUUUGUAUUCAGAAUCAGAUUGUGUUCAAUUAGUUGGAAUUUGGCUUUGGAGUUAAAAGGGAUUUCCAUUUUUUCCUAGGUAUUCCACAGCUUGCAUACCAAAAGCACAGAGGCGGAAGAAAACCUAUGAUUAAAUCAUACAACAGGCUUGUAAGAAAAUGCCCACUCUGAAAAAAUGAAAAGUUGAAUUUCCUAUUUUCAAAUUUACAUGCAAAAAAUCAAAAUGACAUGCAAGAAAUAGUCUGCUAUUUCGCCAUGUUUCACAGUUUAUGAGAAAUAUAUUACAAAUAAAUCCACAUAAAUGGUGGGAAUAAUAACUCAAAUAUGGUGGGACAAAAAACAUACAGGGUGACCCCUGCCAGCUGAGAUAACUAGCUGGUUUAUUUAAUUUAAUACUUUGAAUACAAUAGUAAAUCAAUGCCAUAGCUCAGAUACUGACUAAAUUUUUCUCCCUGAAGAAUUCAACAGCAUCUUUUAGGCUGACCUCCAAAGGAGUGAAUUGAACUCCCAGCCUUUUUGCCUUCUCAUUGGAGGCUCUGUAGUUUGGGCUGAUAAGGUUGGUAUUGUUUGACAUUCUGCUGUAUGCGGGACAAUACACAAUUAUGGCAAACAUAAAUAAAGCUUAGGUAAUGAAAAUGCAAAUGUAAAUUCAAAUGCUUGAAAAUCUACUGGACAAUUGCCUCAUAUCUACUGUAAAUUGUGCCUUUUUACGAAGUUUCAAAAGACCUUUUAAAAGAUAACUUUAGUUGUGAUAUGAAUGAAAUUUAUUUUUUUCUAAAAAAAAGCCUAAAACGGAAUUUCUAUUUUGGAGACAAAGCCAAUUUGGUGAUAUAUCCUAGUCCAAAGAAGACCAUCUUCUAGAAAUCAACCUGAGAAAGAGCUCAUUUUUUAUGGAACAUGAGACCAAAAGAAAAAAAAAAAGAAGGCAGAAAAUUUAGGAUUUAGUGUCCUUUAAAAGAGAGUAUAAAAAUAUGUGAUACAUUUUGGACGUAUACAAGGCCAUCAGCAAAAGCCUGUAAAGACCUAAACAAGGAAAACAAGACUUACUUAUCAGGAAAUUGGUGAGUUGGGUAAUGCUCAUGCAAAAUCUUGAUGAUCUGAGAGGCAUUUGCACAUCUUUCAACCAGACAAUAUCUUCCACUUGCAGAAGGGGUUUCAAGGGCAAGAACAUGUGCAUAGGCAACAUCUCUAACAUCAACCCAGCUACAUGUUGCCUUAGGAAAUGGUUCAACCCCUGCAUUUGGCACCUAAGAUCUUUAAACACAUUUUUUUGCAGGCUCUUCAGCAAACAUAAGUGAAACCAUAUUUGGUUUGUUUGGAUCAGCAUGAUUUCAGAUAAAAUAAUUUGCUUCCUUCCAAAUUCCAAUCACCUUUUUAUCUCACAUACAGCACAUCACAAAAAGUGUUACAGUAAUUAUCUCAAAUAAAUCAUCCAAAUAAACUUCUAUCCAAACAAAAAUGUUGUUUGCCAUGAAAAGAGUCAAAUUUAGAGGCCAUGGCCUGCCUUCCAGAAGAAAUGUGUGGUAUGUACUACUUUGUUCUGUUUUAGUAUCAGCAAAGCCACAGAGGGGAGGGAGAUGUGAGGAAUGAACUAGUUGAGACAAUUCAGAUAAUUGGUGAAUAAUAAGAAAGAUUAAUCCCAACAAUCUACUAGUUAAUCUGUCCCUGGAAUUUCACAGAUUUAGAGUUAGGUUUCUCUUUCAAAGGAUAGUUUAUUUAUUUUCUUCCAAAAAGGAUCAAUUACUAGACAAAAGAAUAAACUACAGGCAUGAUAAUACUAGUUGUCUCGUACUUAAGAGUUAAAUGGUGAGAGUUGAAGAAACUUGUCCCUUCACUCUCAUCCAGAUAGAAAAACAGAAUUUAUUCCUGUUGUUUUGUUCAGAGAGUGAAAUAGUAAUCAAUUCCUGAAAUUUGUUUCUUGCCAUUGUUGUACAAAGUGGCUAUUUGGGUCGAAGGAGUCCUGCGAAUUGAAAGAAUAAUAAACAUGCUUUAGCAAGUCUGUACAACAUAAACAGUGACUACUCCUAACAAAUUUUUCCUCACAAUUACCACCCAAAAAUUUCUUUUCCUUCCUGUUAAUCACAUAGAACCUCAAUGUUGUUGAAAGGAAGAUGCACACAACGUGAAUUUCAGAUGAAAGAUUGUACUGCAAACCUUUAAAACAUCAUAAGCUGGUCAGAGUUUAUAGCUUGAUAUAUCAGUUCACAUUCUGACCUAUGUCUGUCAAUCAUGUGAUAGCCAGCAGUGCCUUGAAAUGUUAUUAGUCAUAAGUUUUUUGUUCUACUGUAACAAAGAAAGUUGUGGUGCAUAAUAAAGCUAUAAGUAACAUAGAUGGAAGAGUCAGUUAGACAAUGAUUACUAAGGUGAUUCAAUAAAUUUUGAAACAAACCCUUUAAUAGGUUGAGGAACAAAACAGCGCUCGAAUUAACAGAUGGCUGCAAGAGAGGACCAAUGACCAAUCCUGGAUGAAUUGUAAUCACGUCAAUGCCAUGCUCCUUUGCAAAUUUCCAUGCAGCAUUCUCGGCCAUGGUUUUUGAAAGUUCAUACCAAGACUAUCAACACCGAAAAAUCAGUAAAUGUUGGUAAGAUGGUAGCAGAAAGUAAUUAGAUUUGUAAACUUUAAGAAGUAACAUUAUAAAUUUCUACAAAUUUGACAAAACCAGCAACUUACAUCAGUUGAAACUAUUAUUGCUGUAGCUACAAAGCACAGAGUGAAAGCAUCCACAUUUCCCAGGACAAGCUAUGCUAUAAGUGAAUAAGUAGAUUUCUCAAGGAUCCUAGGAAUGGUGUAAACUUUCUAUAUUCAAGGAAUGAUGCAAAGCACCAGUGUCGACAUAUCCUGAUCAUCUGAUCUCUUAAUCCACAAGCUAACAGCAAAACUACAAGGGACCUUGACACUUUAACACAAUAGCCAUAUUCAUAAUAUUAUAGCAGAAGUUCCUUUCCAACUGACCGACCAAAUAUUGCUCAUCUAGGUGUGUAUUCUCAGACAAUAGUAUAGAAUUUGAUCAUGCAAGAGAUGCAUAAUUAAGUAGGAAAACUUUCAUAUUGCUCUUUCCCCGACUAUUCCACACUACAUUAUUAAUUUUUCAUUAAAGUUAAGUUGUUACUUAGAUAGAAGGAAAGAAAUGGACUGACCAUUCUGGUUACAAAAAUAUCCUUUUUUUGCCUAUUAAAGUACCACCAAGUCAUGAAGAUCCUAACUUAAUUAUCUCCACAGCUGGGCUAACUCCUCAUAUGUGUUCCAACAACAAGUUAAAACUAAAGAAUUCCAGCAUUCCAUAUUAGAUUUUACUGGAAGAAGACAGAUAAUAUAUGUACCUUUUGCUCCUCACAGUAUGAUGGAUCGGAAAACCAACUUUCAUCAACUACCACAUCCUCCUUUAAUUCUCUGUUUUUUGAAACUGCAACCAUAGAGGAUGUUAUAACUACUCUUUUGACAGAAGAAGAAUUUGCACAUGACCGCAGCACAUUCAGUGUUCCGCUUACUGCAGGUUCCAGUAGUUCUGCCUAUGAAAUCAAACCAAGUAAAAAAGGAAGUCAUUACCAGUCAUAGGUAAGACUAUGCUUUUAACCUGCAAAAAACUUAUCAUUCUGGUAUUAUGUUUGAGAAUUUCACCACAAAUGCUGUAAACCUACAGCUUUAGUUACUUAGCUAAAGGAUGCAUAUUGUUGUCUUAUCUCCUCUUGCUGCUAAAAUAAGUUCUCAGGUCCUUUAUUGUUGUUUUUUCCCAAAUUUUUUCAGCUUUCACUGGGUGACAGGAACUUAAGACCAAUAGAGGAACAACUGAAAUAAGUCUCAGAUGUGGUCACCAAUUAAACCGUUUGCUACCAAAUAUCAACCGAUGAAAUUCUGUUCUGGCUUGAACAGGACAGACAGAAAAUAUAAAAGGUGUAGCUCCCAUGAAUCCUGCGAACAGAUUUUAGCGUGAACACAUAAUGCAUGUUGCAAUUUCUUUUAGUGUCUGUGAGUCAACCUUGUUCAUUGAAAUGACUAAAAUCAAAGUUCUACAAAGUUACUUAAAAAAAAUCCAUAAACACAAUUUGAGAAACAGACAAGGAUAGGUGUACUGCAUAAAAUUAAGGCACAAUCAUUAAUAGAAGUUAAUCAACUUACAAAUGAAGAUACAUAUAAUUUGCAGAUGCUUGAACAUAUAUUGUAGUUUCUAUAAGCUUCUUAUUCAUUCUGGUAUGGGCACGCAAAAGCCAUUGGCUCUACACUGGCUGAAUAAUUAGUUGGUCAAAGCAGGGAUUCAUUUGCUCCAGGACAAGCUUAUAGCUUGCUCUAUAACCUUACCCUGACUGACUUACCCAGGAAAAUAGUUAGUCGGACCCAAUCUACUGCCCAAUUGUGGACCAUUUGCUAUGUUUAUGGCUCUUAAUGUUUUUAUUUCACAACAUUACACCCUUUGAAUUGUUUCGCUGAAGUACCAAUUUCCAGAUCAUUUCAUAGAAACAUCAUGUAUACUGAUUAAAAAGAGACUAAAGCACAUAACACACGACAGUCUUUUUGUGAAUGACCUGCUGGAACAGAUUAGUUUUGUAUGUACCAAAUGUAAAGAAAUAUUCUUCAGGUGUUUGACCUGAUUGCUACAUUAAUCUCCUCCCUUUGGUUAAUAAAAGAAAAAGUAGAGCCAUAGAAUUGGAAACAUUUGAAUCUAACUCUCUUUUUUUUUUUGCCUUUACAGUUAUAACCUUGUCAUAAAUCACAUAUAGAGGAGUAGACUAUCACCCAAAAAAGCCAGUAAAAAUGCAACAGAGGAAGAUACUAAAAGAAGUCGUACAAUUAUAAAUCAGAAAAUAUGCUACGAUUUCAAACUUCACUUGAUAAAUAGCAGAUUUUGUAGACAGUAGAGAAUUUUCAAUCUUGUAAAGCAAAUGUACCUCUGGAUUGCUAAAUGAAAGUUUGAUUGGAGAUGCAGUAUGGAAAACCCCUUCACAUCCCUCGACUAUUGCAUCAAACGAUCCCUCUUCCAGUAAGUUUGCCGAGUACAACUGAAGCCUUUCCUUAGCUCCAUCAAGUGAUGUCAAAUGUUGUGUCCUUUCCGGAUCAUCUGUGUCAUGAUUGUAUCAGUAGAAUGUUCAGACAGCUAUAAUCAAAACCUUGCCGCCUUGGUAAAGUGUACUAUGUUUUCACUAUGGUGAAACUCAAGAAGAAAUGGACAUAGAGUAAUAAUAAACGAAUCUCAAAGCAAUGAUAAAUUUGACUAGCUAAAGGCAAGCGGGGAAAAACGAAAAGAAAUUGACGGGCAACAUAAUAUGACCACAAUAAUAUCAUAGCCCUAUGAUUUCUGGUUUUGAGAUGCGUACAUUUGUAACUUUCUUGAUAACAAUUAAUUCUUGAGAUAAUUAUCAGAGGGACAAUUGUAUGCCAUCUACCACUAUUUUUAUAACAAACUCAGUCCUUCAGAAGAAGGAUAUAGAUUCGAUAGGCUAAAGAUUUUUUAUUAUAACUUGAUCGUUGUAUCUGGAGCAUGAAACAAUUAAGUUGGUCCACAUCAAAAAUAUAUAUAUAUUUUGCAUGUGAUUUUCUUUUGAGCAAACAGAACAUGGGGAGCAUUUAGCUGUUGCAAGAAUAUCAUCUGGAGCUACAAGACAAUUUCACACUGCAGAGUUGAAUAAAAAUAUUGGGCAAAUUACAUAUAAUCCUCCUGUGGCUUUGUCUGUUGCCACAUGACCCUUCUAACAUUUUAAAAUAUCCAAUUCACCCACUAUGAUUUUAUGUAAAGCGGAAACUUGAUGGAGAAUAGCCUAUAUAAUGUCGUUAAUUGAAAUACCAUUAGUACUUUUACUUAAAUGCUAAAUCAAUCGACGAUUUAAUUACCUUAUAUAAAAAGUAUAAGGGGAUUAUAUGGAUAAUAUAAAAAUCACAGGAGGGAUAAAGUGGACAAUUAUACAAACUAUAAGGGAAUUACAUUGAAAUUAAGACUUUAUCACACCCUUUUAGAGCGCGUUUGGUAUAAAUGCCGUAAUUAAUUGUGCAUUCCAUCAUUUUCCGCUUUACAUAUAACUAUAGGGAAUUAUGUGGCUAUUUUGAAAUUUUAGAGGGACCAUCUAGCAUUAUAUAAAAUCACCCUAAAAUAUAGUUAUAAGUAAUUUACCCUAAAAUGUUAGAUUCCAGGGGCAAUUAAACAACAAUCAGAACAGGGCAUCAAAAACUGCACAAGCCACUAAGAUAGUUGAUCAAGAACAAAAACUGGACUUACAGGCAUCUCGAACUGAACCUUUAACAGUAUAACCGCGCUCGAGCAGCAGCUUCACCAGCCAUGAAGCUAUGUAACCCGAAGCUCCGGUCACACACACCAUUUUCCCUUCUCCUGCUCCACUCAUUUUGUUAAUAUUUUUGUGUGUGAACCUGUCACCUGUUUGCCUUACUUCUGGACUUAAUGGAGGGAUGCAUAUAUGGUGUAUAUAUAGCUAUGGUGAAGAAGACGAAAGAUUGGAUAUGAGAUUACGUGGGAGACUAGGGAGAUCCAUAUGUAUUCUUGCAAUUUGCAUGCAUCAUCGCUGACAUACGUAUGGUAUAAUCGCGUCACAUCCCAUUUUAUCAAGGUCAAUUGAUCAGUGUAAAAUAGAAAUGAACAAUAAAUACAAUGGUAAAUUACCUUCUACACCCUAUGGUUUGAUGUUUUAUCACACUCCCUAUGAUUUAAAAACCUAUAUUUGACCCUUUCAUAGUUUGGAUUAUUGUGUCACUUUAGAUUUUUCCGUUAAAACUAACGGUCAAUAGUAAAAAGUCAAAUUCAAACUACUAAAUUGAUAAAUUCACCAUUUCACUACUUUUUUUUUCUUGUUUUCCUUUUCUUUCUCUCCUUUUUUUUUUUUUGGAAAGAGAAGAGAUGACUUUGAAAACUUGUAUUUUGGCUUACAAAACCUUAAUUGUUUCCAAAUACAAAAGAGAUAGAAGGGAAAUAAAAAUAAAUCAACAAGAAACAAAAUAUGGAAGGUAAAGAUAUAACAAAUAAAUAAGAAACAAAAAAACACCAAAUCUUUUUUACUAUGAAUAUCAUUAUAGGUUUUUAAACCAAAUCUUUAAUAGUAUUUUCUAGUUCUUAUUUAUCUAUAUUUUAUUUCAAUUUCUUCUUUUUGAUGUUUGUAGGGGAAAAAAACAAGUAAUGAAGGGAUAAAUUUGUCAAUUUAUUAGUUUGACUUUUUAAUAUUAACUGUUAGUUUUAACAAAAAAAACUAACUAUUAGGGGGUUAUGUAUAGUUUUUAAACGAUAGGGGUUAUGUGAGAAAAUACCAAACUAUAGAGGUUAAAAGGCAAUUUAUCCUAAAUACAAAAUCAGGCGGUUGCAUAUGAAAAAAUACCAAGGUUCUUGACUUUGCUCAAUACAAUUCCAAGUCUAGAGACACAAUUUUUAAAUUCACUACCAGGAUAAACCAUUCUCCUUUUUUUUUUCGGGUUAAAAAAUACAAACUACUUGAACUAGAAACUAGUCCUGACAAAGUUUGUGGGUUUUUUGCAAGAGUUUUAGUUAAAUAUUGGUUACUUCGCCUAAUUUGCACCUAUUUUAUCACGUAAAUGCACACACACUUUUAAAAAAAUAAUGCAUGCACUUAUAUUAUUGCCUUUCGUACAUUUAAAUACUUUUUUCAAUUUAAUUUUACUUUUCUGGCAAAAUUAAAUCUGAAGCCCAUUUCAAGAAAUAUCCACCGAAUACCAGGUCAACAAAUCCCCUUCGUAAUAAAGAACGAAAAGAACCGCAGCGUUCUUAACACGCAGCGGUCUUUUUGCAUCUAAGAAAGCUUUUGAUUGGCUAGAAAUCCUUCUCUGAUUGAGAAAUGGGAAUUGACUUGAUGAUGGCAACUCCAUUUAGAAAACUGGUCCACACCCUUGAAUGUGGUUUAAAUUUAAUAACACCAUUUCAUCAUUUCUGACGACUGCUUCUUCUAUAUCGAUCCUAGCUCACUGCACACGCCAGUCGUGUGAAACUUGGCAAAAGAGUUACACCCGCCGUCCUAAAAUUGUUUGUCGCAUUUCGAAACCCAACUUUUUAAAAAUAGCAGCUUGAUGAUGAUAUUUGUAGAUUUGUCUCAAAAAUUGUCAUCAAAAAUUCAAAUUUUAAAUUGAAUUUAGUAUGAAAUAUAGAUAAAGUUAUUGGAAUAAUAUUGAAAAAAGAGAUUAAAAGUUAUUUUGAUUUUGAUAAGAUAAUAAAUAUUUUAGAACGUUUCAAAAUAAAAAAAAAAAUAUGACACUUUCAAUGAGACAAAAGAAUGGAGAGAAUAUAUAUAUAAGAUACUGAAAACUAGCGUCCAUCAGAAGCAGUCAAAUCAAAGCCAACAUAUUACUUGUAGUUUGGUUAUAACAAUAUCUCAGCUUGCUGGUAGCCCAAAAAUUUAGCAAAAUAAAUUAGGAAACCAAGUGCGAUAGAGCAUAUUUCACCCAAAUAUAUUAAAAGUGAAAAAGAUUUAUUUUUAUUUAGUCAAUGUGAUUUUUUGUGUCCGCAUGCCCAUAAAGCUCAAGGACCAAAAAGCCAAACAUACGAAGUGAAAAUGUGAAGAGCAAUAAUUUGAAUAUAAAAAAAAAAACGGGUAGAUGGAUAGAAAACCAUGUCGAAGGUCUCUUCUCUCUCUUUUUUUUUUUUUGGUUUGACCAUGCAUGGUGCAUAUGAUAUGAAGGAUAAUUGUAAAGCACACCAUAUACUGCCCAAGGAAAGUAGAUUACACAGUGGGAACCAAAAAUAGAAGAAAAUAAAGCCUCAUAUGAACCGAAUCUUUCCCCUUGCUUUUUUUCUGGGAAUUUAAAGGUAUAAUGCAAGAAAUAACUCCUGGUCAUGCAAAAUUGCCAACAAAAAUGCGUCUUUGGUUUUAAAUUCCUUAAUAACAUACUAUCCAGCAUACUAUUUAGCAUAAUAACAUACUAUCUCAGAUGCAUCCACUCAAAUAUCCUGGCCGAGAUGGUAUGAGGCCAAUUUUCUAUCAAAAAUAUAGGUCUGUAGCAGGUAAUGACGUUACCUCACUACAACAAAAAUGGCCUUUAGCGGCAUUUAAAGGUGUCAGUAUAGAAAAUCUAACCUGACACUUUAUCUAUCCUGACACCCAUGGCGAGUGUUGUCCCUUCCAAUGUGGGGAUAGCCUCAAAUCUUUAGCAGCAUUCAAAUGUGUCAGGCAAACCAUGCUGCUAUAUCUUUACCUCUGCCAACAAAUCUUUUUUUUGUGAUAAUCGAAAGUGUCUGUAUAGCGUUAGGACAUCAGUAGGGAAUCAGUAGGAUAUCAAAUUUAUGAAGACAUCUUGAGUUGUCUUAAUAUAUGGCUUUAAGGACACGUAGCCAUGUGAAUUUACAAUGUGUUGGACGACAUGCCCAUUUGUUGUUAGUGUUUUUCGAAGCUACAUAAUUUUAUCAACCCAUAUGACAAGGGUUUAUUUUACGUAUUUUUAGUGUGUUUUAUUAGUUAAUUUUGGUUUGAUUAUUUAGUAUUAUAACUAAAAUAACUAAGGUUUUGGUAAAAAACUACAUUUUAUGUUAAAAUGGCUAAACAUUGCAUUUUAUGGAUUUUUAUGGUAAAAACUUCAUAUUUUGUAGGUUUAAUGAUUCAAUCAUCAAAUGAAGUGCAUUGAGAAGAUAUUUGGAUGAUUGAAGAUGGAUUAAAGUGAGGAAAAUAAAAUAUGAAGUGUAAAAGGAAGAAAUGCAAUUUGAGGACAAAAAUCAAGAAAAGUCAGCUUUGACAACUCAGACAUAUUUUCGUAUUUUGACUAUAUCAGGAGCUACAAUGAUCGGAUCAAGGUGAUCUUGGUACCAUUUUGAAGUUAAGAGAUAUAUCUACAUUUGGUAUGAAGACAUCAAAGUCCAGUUCAGCCGUUUUCAUAGUCCAAAAGUUGAAAUACCGAAAUUCAACUCAGCUGUCCAAAGUGGAAAACAGAGUUCCGACCAGUGUUUAGUAUUUUGAUCAUAUCUCAGUCUACAAAGCUCCGAUUUGGAUGAUUCUUGAAGCAUUGGAAAGCUAACUCAAAGAUAUACAACUUUGAUGUUUUGCACAAAAGCCAGUUCGGCCUGCAUCAUGGAGAAAAUCGCAGUUGAAGUAAGGACAAAGUGAAAACGCGAGUGCACAAAACGCGAGUUGUAGACGCGUUUUGUAAAGGCGCGUUUUCUGGCCGAAAUUCUGCAAUUUGCUCAGUCAAUUCUCUUGUGUUCAUACCACUUUCCAGCUAUAAGUUGCAAGAGAAUUCGGUGCACAUGCUUCAGAAGACAAAAGGGCAGACAAGGUGGCUUAUUUUCAAGUCAAAAACAUUUGUUAUUGACUAUCCUAACAAAGUUGAGAUUUGGGAAUCAAAACAUUUGUUAUUUUACUUGUAAAUUUUCUCCAUUUGCUGCCAUUAAGGUUUCCUUUGUUCUUUCACAAUAUUUAGUAGAAAUUAUUCCUUCUUUAAUACAACUUGAAUCAGCUCCACUAUCUAUUAAAGCUACAUAUAUUUCUUUGAAAUCUUCUACUGUAAUAGUUACUAAAGCAUACCAUUUUUGAAAUAUCAUUUUUUCUAUGGUAUUUAAAUAUUGAAUUUCAUCUGUUGGUCUUUCUGAUAUACUUAUUUCUUCUGUUUUAGAAUUGGAAGUUGAUGGUUGAUUUUCUAGUAAUGUUAUUUUUGCUUCUAUUUCUAAAUCUUUUGUUUUUAAUUCUAUGAUUUCUCUUUGUAAUUGUUUUACUUGUAUUUUAAGAUCAUUAAUUUCUGUUUGAAGAUCUUUAGUGGUUUCUUUUUUCAUUAUAUUUAUGUUUAGAUAUUUAUCUAUUAAUUUAGAAAUACUAAAAGGUUCUAUUAUUUUUGGCAUUUUGUCUUCUUGUAUAAUUAGACUUUUUAAUCUUUCUAAAUACUCUUUUUUAGCUACUGGAUCAUCAAUUUUUUCUAUUAUAUCUAAUAAAAAUUCUUUAUCUUCUUUUUUGGUUAUAACAUUUAUAUAUUUUGAAGUGUUAGAACAAUUACAAUUUUCUUCACUUUCUGUACUAGAUAUAUCAUUAUAAUAAUCAUCUUCAGAAUUUUGAUCUUUUUCAUUUAUUAAUUUAUUUUUAAUUUCUUCUUCUUUUGCACAAAUCUCUGUAAUUUUUUCUUUUAAUUUACAUUUGUUUGCUUUAUGUCCUAUUUUUUCACAUUUAUAACAAACAAUUUUUCUUUUAAUAAAUUUUCUCUUCUUUUCUGGUUUAUCUUCUUUAGAUCUUUUAUACUUUAUUUUCUUAUUAUAUUUUUUAACUUUUUUGUUAUAUGCAGAUGGUGAUUUAAUUCUUUAGUAGCAAAUUCUAAAGCUCUAUUAAUUGGUUUUAUUGUUCCUUGAUAUAUAUCAUGUCCUAAAAAUCUUAUUUUUGUUUGGAAUAAUUUCAUUUUUGGUGCUGAAACAACUAAUCCAUUUUUCUUAACUACUUUUAAAAAUAUAUUUAAAUGUUUGAAAUGCUGUUCUAUUGAUUCAGAAAAUAUUAAUACAUCAUCAAUAUAAACUAUGCUAAAUGAACUAUAAGGAUUGAAAAUAUCAUUCAUUAUAUUUUGAAAUUCUGAUGGUGCAUUUUUUAAUCCGAAUGGCAUUACGUUCCAUUCAUAAUGACCAAAAGGUGUUGUGAAUGCUGUUUUAUAUCUAUCUUUUGGUGUUAUUAAUAUUUGCCAAUAUCCUGAUUUUAGUUGUUUCAGCACCAAAAAUGAAAUUAUUUCAAACAAAAAUAAGAUUUUUAGGACAUGAUAUAUAUCAAGGAACAAUAAAACCAAUUAAUAGAGCUGUAGAAUUUGCUACUAAAUUUCCAGAUGAAAUAAAAGAUAAAAAUCAAUUACAAAGGUUUUUAGGAUGUUUAAAUUAUAUAGCAGAUUUCUUUCCUAAAUUAAGACAAGAAUGCUCUAUAUUAUUUAAUAGAUUAAAAAAGAACCAUUUCCACCAGUGAUUGAACCAGAUUGGGAAUUCUCUACUGCAACUUUUUUGAAUGUGAAGAACCAUGAAUGAUUGAAUGGUCUAUACAAAAAAAGCAAAAGUCUAAUUAUACAAGAAGACAAAAUGCCAAAAAUAAUAGAACCUUUUAGUAUUUCUAAAUUAAUAGAUAAAUAUCUAAACAUAAAUAUAAUGAAAAAGAAACCACUAAAGAUCUUCAAACAGAAAUUAAUGAUCUUAAAAUACAAGUAAAACAAUUACAAAGAGAAUCAUAAAAUUAAAAACAAAAGAUUUAGAAAUAGAAGCAAAAAUAACAUUACUAGAAAAUCAACCCUCAACUUCCAAUUCUAAAAACAGAAGAAAUAAGUAUAUCAGAAAGACCAACAGAUGAAAUUCAAUAUUUAAAUACCAUAGAAAAAAUGAUAUUUCAAAAAUGGUAUGCUCUAGUAACUAUUACAGUAGAAGAUUCAAAGAAACAUAUGUAGCUUUAAUAGAUAGUGGAGCUGAUUCAAGUUGUAUUAAAGAAGGAAUAAUUCCUACUAAAUAUUGUGAAAGAACAAAGGAACCUUAAUGGCAGCAAAUGGAGAAAAUUUACAAUUAAAAUAUAAAUUUACAAAAGGAUCAAUAUGUAACAAUGAAUAUUGUAUUAGACAUAAUUUCAUAAUUGUAAAAAAUAUAAAUCAUGAUAUAAUAUUAGGAACACCUUUUUUAAUUCAAAUUUACCCAUUUUCAGUUAGUCAUGAAGGAAUUUCAAUAAAUAUAAUGGGAAAAACUGUUAUCUUUAGAUUUCUAACUCCAGUAAAACAAAGAGAAUUACAGACAUUACAAACAUCCUCUAUUUACAAAACAAUAAAUAGUAUUACUAAAGUACAACAACAAAUAAAUUAUAUAAAAGAAAAAAUCUUAUUUAAAAAUUGAAGAACAAUUAAAAGAAAGUAAAAUGCAAAAAGAAUUUCAGAAUUAGAAGAAUUAUUACAAAAAGAAAUUUGUGCAGAUAUUCCUAAUGCUUUUUGGAUAGAAAACAACAUAUGAUUGAAUUACCUUACGAAACAGGUUUUAAUGAGAAAAACAUUCCUACUAAAGCAAGACCAAUACAAAUAAUUCUAAUCUAUUAGAAUUUUGUAAAAAGGAAAUAAAAACAUUAAUAGACAAAAAAUUAAUAACACCUUCAAAAUCACCUUGGAGUUGUGCUGCAUUCUAUGUAAUGAAUCAAGCUGAAAAAGAAAGAGGAGUUCCAAGAUUAGUUAUAAAUUAUAAACCAUUAAAUAAAGUAUUACAAUGGAUUAGUGAAUAAUACAAUAAAUUUAUAAAUUUAGAAUUAAUAGAGGAUACAAUAAAUUAAAGUAACCAUUUUUAUAAAUUUAAUAGAGCUCAAAUGCAAAUAAUACAAUAAAUUUAGAAGACAUUAAAAAAGUUUAUCAACAAAAUAAUUAUACAAAUCAAAUCCUUCAUACAAUUUCUCAACAUAUGGAAGUAUUAAACACAAAAAUAGAUACUAUAAAGAAACCAGAAUUAAAAUUCCCUAAUAAUAUUUCAGCACCUCAUUUUCAACCUAGAAGUUUGACAAGAGAAAAAGAACAAGAUUUAGAUUCAAAAUCAGAAGACAAAGCAUCGGCGAAUUAGUGAGAAAAAGAGAACAAAACACUCUCAUGUAAAAAUCCUUAGACAAAUCUCUCAAUCCCUCUUUCCAACUACUCUUGUAUUCAAUUACUUUUGUUUCCUUCCUUCUCCAAAUAUAAUAAAGAUCAAGGAUUCAACCAUUCAUCAAGCUUCUGUUAUCAAAGGCCACUCUAAAUUUUCAGUAAGUCCAAUUUUUAUACUAAAUUUUCUAUGAACAUUUCAAUAGAAAGUAGCCUGGGUAGAAGUGGUAUCAGAGCCACUUAUCACAUUAUCUUUACAGUGUUAUUAAGGAAAGUAGAUUACACAGUGGGAACCAAAAAUAGAAGAAAAUAAAGCCUCAUAUGAACCGAAUCUUUCCCCUUGCUUUUUUUUCUUGGAAUUUAAAGGUAUAAUGCAAGAAAUAACUCCUGGUCAUGCAAAAUUGCCAACAAAAAUGCGUCUUUGGUUUUUAAUUCCUUAAUAACAUACUAUCCAGCAUACUAUUUAGCAUAAUAACAUACUAUCUCAGAUGCAUCCACUUAAAUAUCCUGGCCGAGAUGGUAUGAGGCCAAUUUUCUAUCAAAAAUAUAGGUCUGUAGCAGGUAAUGACGUUACCUCACUACAACAAAAAUGGCCUUUAGCGGCAUUUAAAGGUGUCAGUAUAGAAAAUCUAACCUGACACUUUAUCUAUCCUGACACCCAUGGCGAGUGUUGUCCCUUCCAAUGUGGGGAUAGCCUCAAAUCUUUAGCAGCAUUCAAAUGUGUCAGGCAAACCAUGCUGCUAUAUCUUUACCUCUGCCAACAAAUCCUUUUUUUGUGAUAAUCGAAAAUGUAUGUAUAGUGUUAGGACAUCAGUAGGGAAUCGGUAGGAUAUCAAAUUUAUGAAGGCAUCUUGAGUUGUCUUAAUAUAUGGUUUUAAGGACACGUAGCCAUGUGAAUUUACAAUGUGUUGGACGACAUGCCCAUUUGUUGUUAGUGUUUUUCGAAGCUAAGCUAUGCUGACACUUUUAAUUGCCAGGAGAAUUUUCCCUGGUUUUUUUUUAUAUGGAAGCAACCUGCAAUUAGUCCUCCUUGCUGUACAUUCCAUCAAUCAGAAUCCCAAGGGACUUGUAAAAUUAUCCCAAAGAGCAGAAUGCAUAUGGCAAUGUAAAGAAGAAGUCGAUACUCAAAUAUAAUUCAUUGAAUUAAAAGUCGAUAACAAGUACAAACAUAGCAAAUACUAAAACGCAAACAAGUGCUAAAAGCAAGUACUAAAAUAUCAAACCAGUACCGAAAGAUUCUCAUUUACAAUAACUUAAAAGCUCUAUCGGAAGCACAAAAUAAAAGACUCCCAUCCCUAAUAAGUUGAAAGAAGUAGAAGUAGCUUCCAAACUUUCCAUUUUGUUGAGAGUCCUCAGGCAUAACCACGAAGUCCCCAUCAUUCUUCAGCUGGUUCCACCUGUGCACAAAGACCAAGGGGAUCAUUAGAUCAUCAUAACUAAAACUAAAAUUCCAGAAAAUCCGCAAUGUAUUUAAGUGCAUAUCUCACCAAAUGACAAGGCCAAGCAACUGGUGCACCAAGUGCAUCUUGAAUCGUUUGUUGUAAACCAUAUGGUCUAAUCAAUUGCUCACGUGGAGUCAUUGCAACUUGUAUCUGUAUUUCACACCAGUUUGGCCCAAGAGCUUGUCCCCCGACCUCAUCCAAUGGAUUCAGACUCCGUAAAUAUCCCUUUGCCACGAUUUUUGUUGGGUCAAACAAACUUUUUAGUGAAACCAUAUUCCCUACCUAGUAAACAUCCAACAAGUACAAGAAUCAAACUCAUGCCAAAUUCCAGAUUACAAAUGCAAAAGUUUAGAAGUUGUAAAUACUUACUCAAAUAGGUCGCGUGGCUCGCGAUGGAGCAUGGCUUGACACAUUGUUAGAUGAUGAUGAAGGAUGUCUCGGGCUGUCAAUUGGAGAGCCCCUUCCAUGUUGAACUAAAAUCAUUUUCUUCAAGCUGGCUAUUUCAUCAUCUUGUCGCUGAAGCCUUUCCUCCAAACGGACUAAUGUUGACUGUUGUUGAACACUUAUACGGUAGCAUGUGUUACGACUAGGAAUGUCUUCCCAUAAGUCCGUUGGAUUCACACCGUCACUAAGCAAGCGAACAUGACCAUAUUUGUCUUGCCCAACCACCUGGGCAAAUAUAUCAUCACGACCAACUGGAUCUUGCGAAUCCGAUGGAAGCUGAUUUUUCAGCUCAGUCAUUUUUUCCUACAUAAUAAAGGAAAACACUUGUUAUUGCAAAAGACUGUCUGAAAACAUCCAUGGUAGAAUUGAUAGGCUUGUGUUCUCGGAUCCUUACCAAAUUCUCAGCAACUAUGGUACUUGAUGGAGUUUGUUGACCUUGGUCGAUCAAUCCUUGGUUUUGAUGAUUAACAAACCAAAAUGUAGAUUUGGGCUAAUGUUUUUAUGUGAGCAAUUUGUUAGAACAGAUUCUUGUGGCACAAAAGAAGAAGCAAAAACAGGGCACUCAUGUGAGACGUCCGAAAGGAAGCUAUCGGACGUCCGAAAGGAUGAAGAACAUCAGGAAGGAUAUUCUGUCGGACGCUCGUGAGAAAGCAUCGGACGUCCGGAUGGAUCGGACACACUCUUCGGACGCACAUCGAUCGUGUCGGACGUCCUAAAAAUUUCACGAAGAUUUGAUAACUCUCUGGACGACGUUCGGACGCAGGGUUCGGACGUCCGACAGGUGGUUUGGACGCAGGGUUCGGACGUCCGACAGGUGGUUCGAACGUCCGACAGGCCAACGGCUAGUUUUGACAGCAUUUAAUAUUUGACCGUUGGAGAGCCUUUUGGAGCCAUUUCUCACAUUCUAUAAACACCCCAAAGCACAAGAAGACACGGGACUUUUGCCAACACAAUAUACAAGCUUACAAGUGAGAUUUUUGAGUAGAAAGAUUCUUUGUUGGUUGUAUAAGGGGUUGGGGAAGUUGGGUUGUGAGGUUGCUCAAGUGAAGGUUAUUCUCUAGGAGGAGUAAAACCUUGGUGAAGGUGAACCUAUCACUUGAAGUGGUAAAACCUUGGUGAAGGUUGCCUCAUUUGUAUAAAAUAGUUCUUAAUUGGGUGAGUGAUCUUUCAAGUGUAGGUUGUUGAGGGUUAACUAGAAUUGUUGUAAAACUCCUUGGCUCAACCAAAGUGUGUUUGGCGUGAGGAAGGAGUGAGCCUUCACUUGUACAUCUUGGUUAGCAUCGCCAUCAAUUGAAGAGGCUAUUGGUUUGAUAUUUGGUUUGCAUUUCUUAUCCUUUCUCUUUAAUUAAGUUUUCUUUAUUGUGCUUAAAUUUGAUAUAUCUUUGUGCAUCAUUGUGAAUUUGUUUGUACUCAUUAGGUUGCACCGAGCACUUACAAUUGGUAUCAGAGCUUGGUCUCCUUGAGACUAAGCUCAAUCGGCUUGGAGUAAAGAUCAUGGCAACCAUAAAAGUUUCCUUUUUAGAAGGGCAAUCUAUUGAUAGACCACCUAUGUUUAAUGGUUCUCAUUUUAGCAUGUGGAAACAAAGAAUGAUGAUUUUCUUACAAUCCAUUUAUAUUGAAUUAUGGUAUGUGGUAGAAGAUGGUCCUUAUGAAGCUAGAAUAGUUGACUCUACCAUCAAUUUGAGUAGAUUAAAGACUAGACAAGAAUUGAAUGAAAAAGACAAGAGAUACCUUUCUUUGAAUGCCAAGGCCAUGUGUAUAUUGUACAAUGCAUUAGAUGUAAAUGAAUCUAGUAGGAUUAAAGGUUGUAAAUCAGCUAAAGAUAUUUGGGAUAAAUUGUGUAUUUCAUGAAGGUAACCAAGAUAUUAAAGAACAAAAGAAAUCUUUGCUUGUUUCUCAAUAUGAAUUUUUCAAAAUGCAUCCUCUUGAAAAUGUUGAUAAGAUGUGUAGUAGAUUUUGUGACAUUAUUCAAGAUCUUAAAUUGCUUGGAAGAGAAUAUUCUUUGGGUGAGAAAAAUAGAAAGAUUUUGAAUGCCUUGCCAAAAGAAUGGGAAAACAAAAUAAAUGCUAUAGAAGAGGCAAAGGAUUUAAAUUCUAUGUCCAUUGAAUCUCUUGUGAAUUCCCUAACUUCUUAUGAAUUAAAGCUGCAAUUCAAAGUGCAAGAGAAAGAAAAUGCAAGAAUGUAUAAGAGAGGCAUAGCUUUUAAAGCAUCUCAAGUGGGGGAUAACCCAUCUUUCAUGGGUAAUGAAAACAUGGAAGUGGACAAUGAUAUAACUCCUCACAUCAAAAGUUUCAAGAAGAUCUUCAACAAGAGAAGUUCAAGAGGAGAUUGCAAAAUUACAUGGGAUGAAUACAAUUCAAAAAGAGAAAAAGAAGAGUUGGCACAAAUGGCACUAAUGGCCUUUGGAGAAGAUGAGGUAAAUUCUUAUCACUCUUCUUGUGAUGAAGAUAAUGAAGAUGAUGAUGUGAAAAUUCUUAUGAUUAAAAUGCAUAAAAGUUUGAGAAAAUCUUAUGCUAAAAAUAAAGAUUUGAAAACAAAAAUAAAUGAUUUGUUGGAAGAAAACUCCAAACUUUUUCAGGAAAACAAAUGUUUGAGAAUGGAAAAUGAUGAUUUAAAAAAUCAAAAAAAUGUUUUUGAUUGCAAAAAUAAUUUGAAAAGGAAGUUGGAAGAGAAAACAAAGUUUUAUGGAAAAAUGUUGGAUGAACAAAAUUUGUUAAAGAAAAGAAUUAAUGACUUGAACGAGUUUCUCCAAAAUGAAAAACAAAAGUUUUCUCAAACAAAAGAAAGCAAAUCUUUUCAAGGCACAAAUACGUUUGCUAUGAUAAGAAGUAAGAAAAUUAGUUGCAUUAAAUCCACUUAUGUGCAAAAUACUUCUAUCAUGUGUCACUUUUGUUGUCAAUUUGGACAUAUGCAAAAUGAUUGCUAUGUAAAGAAAAAUAUGAGAAAAGGUAUGAAAUCCAUGUGGAUUGCUAGAUCAUGUUGUACUAACUCCCAAGAACCCUAUAAAAACUUACAAUUGGUAUCAUGAAAGUUUUGUCAUUCUAUAUGGUCUUGAUUUGGAAAAUAAAGGGGGAGUUUACUUUUUGAUUGAUGUCAAAAGAGGGAGUAGGAUUUAUUGAAAUUUCUUUGUAUGUUGGCAUUUUCUAAGGGAGAGUUUUAUUUGAACUUAUUUGAUCAAAGAAAUCUUCAUUUUGUUUGUCAUCAUCAAAAAGGGGGAGAUUUUUGACCUUGGUCGAUCAAUCCUUGGUUUUGAUGAUUAACAAACCAAAAUGUAGAUUUGGGCUAAUGUUUUUAUGUGAGCAAUUUGUUAGAACAGAUUCUUGUGGCACAAAAGAAGAAGCAAAAACAGGGCACUCAUGUGGGACGUCCGAAAGGAAGCUAUCGGACGUCCGAAAGGAUGAAGAACAUCAGGAAGGAUAUUCUGUCGGACGCUCGUGAGGAAGCAUCGGACGUCCGGAUGGAUCGGACACACUCUUCGGACGCACAUCGAUCGUGUCGGACGUCCUAAAAAUUCCACGAAGAUUUGAUAACUCUCUGGACGACGUUCGGACGCAGGGUUCGGACGUCCGACAGGUGGUUUGGACGCAGGGUUCGGACGUCCGACAGGUGGUUCGAACGUCCGACAGGCCAACGGCUAGUUUUGACAGCAUUUAAUAUUUGACCGUUGGAGAGUCUUUUGGAGCUAUUUCUCACCUUCUAUAAACACCCAAAGCACAAGAAGACACGGGACUUUUGCCAACACAAUAUACAAGCUUACAAGUGAGAUUUUUGAGUAGAAAGAUUCUUUGUUGGUUGUAUAAGGGGUUGGGGAAGUUGGGUUGUGAGGUUGCUCAAGUGAAGGUUAUUCUCUAGGAGGAGUAAAACCUUGGUGAAGGUGAACCUAUCACUUGAAGUGGUAAAACCUUGGUGAAGGUUGCCUCAUUUGUAUAAAAUAGUUCUUAAUUGGGUGAGUGAUCUUUCAAGUGUAGGUUGUUGAGGGUUAACUAGAAUUGUUGUAAAACUCCUUGGCUCAACCAAAGUGUGUUUGGGGUGAGGAAGGAGUGAGCCUUCACUUGUACAUCUUGGUUAGCAUCGCCAUCAAUUGAAGAGGCUAUUGGUUUGAUAGUUGGUUUGCAUUUCUUAUCCUUUCUCUUUAAUUAAGUUUUCUUUAUUGUGCUUAAAUUUGAUAUAUCUUUGUGCAUCAUUGUGAAUUUAUUUGUACUCAUUGGGUUGCACCGGGCACUUACAGAGUUCCAUCGGCAUGGGUAUAAAACUUAUUGAACAUUUCUACUCUAGUAGGAGGUCUUCCCAACUGUUUGGCCUAUAAGAAAUUGAAUCGUUUUAAUUAUAGUUUUAGCAUUUAGCAUAUAAUUAAAAAACAAGCUAACAUAAUGAAACAUGUACGAGCAAAAAAAAUUAGCAACUAAAAAGUGGAUGAGGUAUCACCAAGUGGUUCCGAAGAUGAGCAAAUGACUUUUUUCCGGUUGUGUGGUUCAUCUUCUUCUCCCCUCUAGCUUUCUUGUUCCUCUCACUUAGUUUCUAAAUUUCAAAAUCAAAAGCAAGAUUACAGCAUUGAAUGAACACAACUUUAUGAAGAAUGUUGUAGCUGAUUUGUACCUUUGCUUCUUCACUUUUCCAAUAAGCCCAAAGUUUGAUCCAUUGCUCUUCCCGUACCCUUAUGUCCUUUUGAAACCGAGCUUCAGCAUUUGGCACGGCAGAAUCAAAAUAGUUAGCCUUUAAAUCUGCCUUCCAGCUUCUCCAUUUUUUGCCAAUAGAUCUUAAGGUCCAAGCUUCCAGUCCCAUAGGCAAAGCAAACCUUUCCUGAAACGUAGUUAGCAACAAGAAAAUCAACACAACUUCACAGUAAUUUUUGUACAAAGCAUACAUAAUACAAAAGCUGCCAUUACCUUUAUCACUUCUAACAUGUCCAUUUUAAGUUUCCUUGGCAUCUUAAGCCAUGUUUCAACAUCUAUUGGACAAUACAUACCAUUCCUAGCCAAACUGCCCAAGAAUUCAGAGAAAGAGUUUUUCUCACUUAUUGGGAUCCCAUUGUCAUCGAGUUUAAUCUCAAUCCGUGGAAGUUCCUUAGGCCGACCCCAAAUUUCUUUCAUAAAUAUAGGGCCUCGGGUUUUAUGAUUUACUUCACUUGAAUCAUUUGUAGUUUCUUUUCCUGUUUAAAAUAAGAAAAAGGUGCAAGUUAUGAACAUAACAAAAUGCACUUCUGGAAUUGGUUCAAAACAGUUAGUAAUACCUGCAUUGUCCGAGUUGCAUGACAUGAAGGUGGUGUCACUGGAAUGUGGACCUCGAGAAUCCUGAUUUGGACUUUCUUCGGUUGCUUCAUGCCUUGUUCCAAGUGGAGAUUGUUGAAUUGGAGAGUUCUGGCACUGCUCAUGCGACUUGGAACCUCCAUCAGCUUGUUGAGUAACUUGGUCACCUGAUUCAUGCAUUAUUCCCAAUGUAGAAUUCUGAAUUGCAGAUUGAGGUGCCCGAGCAGCUUCUCCUUGCACUUGUUCAAUUACAUUUUCAUGGCUUGUUCCAAGUGGAGGCUGCUGCCUUGUUUCAUAACAUGAGGGAGGUUGCUCAAUUGGUUCAUCUCUCAAUCCAUUUGCAGCGCGCUUACAUUUUCGACCUCUACGGGCCAUACCUGCAUAAUAUUUGAGUGAAGAAAGGGACAAAUGUAAAUGUUUAAAAUUUAUUGAAGCACACUCUCUACCUAUAGUUUCUUUAACUUACAAAUGCUAUUAUAAAGAAGUACUACUUGAACAAUAAACUGGCAUGACAAGUAACAAAUGGCAUUCUGCAAGAAUAAACCAGGGGAAGACUAUGGAGCUGUCAACAGAACAGAGAAACAAAUGGAGAAUAUAUGAUUCAAUGCAGCAACUAAUUGGAAAUGAAAUGAAAGCUACAUGCUUAAGUGACUGCAAGAAUAUACAUGGGAAAUGCUUUGAUCUACAUCCUUUCAGCAUGAAAGAUAUGCAGAAUUUACUACCGCUAGACACGAAACUUUUUCCAUAUUGUUCUGAGAAUGAUGCCUAUGAUCAAAAGUUGGUAUGCUUAUGCUCAAUGAGGGUGUAAGUAGAAGAGUCCACGUAAUUUUAACUUCAGUAAUGGAGCAAACUAAUAAAUGAUUGUCUUGAAUUAACGAAAUAUACUUGGCCAUGUGAUAACCAAAAAUUGCAGAGGAUAAUGUAUUCUACCAACAAAUACAAGUCUUGGUUUUGUAUGUUUAGGGUGGCAAUCGGGUCGGUUAUGAAGCUCUACUGAAUACUUUUAUUUCCAGAUUCUGACAUGGUUCUGCAUUUAUCAAGAACUUGUCUCAUCUAAACAAGAGCUCAAGCUUUACGUAGCAUUGACGAUUCCAAACCAAAUUACUUCUCUUUUUGCCAGAGCCACAUCCACAGUUAUGGGUUGACACUUAACAGUAAAUGCACAAACACUUUUCCAAUACAAUUGUAGCAGUACAAACAAUACAGUUGUAGAACAGGAAGGAGACGAAGAGCAUCACGGUGAAAGACUGAAAACGAGAACCCAUCACCAAAAAUAGAUGGUUGAAAUUGUACAUUCAGUUCACAGUAGCAGUCUCCAUUCGACCAGGCUCACCUAGAAAUGUGCUUCUCAGAAAUGUGCUUUUCACACCGCCACCACCCCAAAAGCUUUUCACACCACCACCACCCCCCAAAGCAAACAUUCUACCUAGAAAUGUGCUUCUCAGAAACGGAGAAGGUGCUUGUCAGAGAUGGGAAUCGAAUAGCCUAAAAACUAAAUCUACCAAGCAAUGCAAGAACAUGUCUACCAUGCAAUGCAGAAUUAGACACAAAAUACUGAAAUUACCUCAAACUAUGGCUUGAAUCCCUAAUUUCUCGGUUUCCCAAGCUUUGAAGCCCUAAUUCUGAUUUCUUCCCACCAAGCCAACACAACAGCCGAAUUAGGGAUUUGCCUGGUGCGAGCUCAACCAAGUUACCCAAAAGGGUGCGAGUUCAUGGACGGCAAUUGACUCAAAUUGGUUGUGCGAGCUUGAAAGAGAGAGAGAGGACAAAGGCAGAGGACAACGAGAGAGGGAGAAGAUGUCUGAAAUAAAGGCAGUACUAAUGACGCCAAAGUAAAUUAGUCAAGCCUCUUGAAUUUUUCAAUUUGCCGCGCUACUAAUGACAAUUUUUGUGUGUUUGGGCAAAAUUUUGUUAAAGCUAGAUAACAACUAAAAAUUUGGUUAAAGCUAUAUACAAUAUAAUAUAACAACUAAAAAUAUAAAGGCUAAAAAUCUUGUUAAAGCUAUAUAACAACUAAAAAUAUAACAAAUAAAAAUUUUGCAAGAGCUAUAUACAAUAUAAUAUAACAAUCAAAAAUUUUGUUACAGCUAUAUAACAACUAAAAAUAUAACAAAUAAAAAUUUUGUUAAAGCUAUAUACAAUGUAAUAUAAUAACUAAAAAUAUAAAAAUAAUUAAAAAUUUUGAGAAGCUAACAAAAAACAUUCUUUUAAUCAAAAUGUUUUUUACUCAAUUUAUUUUAUGCUGCGAGCAAUUAUGUACGGCUUGUAGUCUAACAAGCCAUUGGAAGGAUCGAAUUAGUUUAUGAAACAAGAAAAUUAACUUGUGAAUGCAUGAACUUUCCAUUGAUAAACAUUGGGAUUAGAAUUGAUUGAACAUAAACAAUGAAUAUAUAUAUAUAUAUAUAUAUAUAUUCAAUGUUUUCAAUUCCAAAGCAAUUGCCAUUGAACUUUGUGUUAAUUAGAAACUUACUAUCACUUACAAGAUCUUACUAUUGAACUUUUCAAUGAUUAACCUUAGGCUUACACUUACAACGCAUUAAUUGAACAUAAACAUAUAUAUAUAUAUAUAUAUAUAUAUAUAUAUAUAUAUAUAUAUAUAGGGUAAAAAAAAAAAAGGCCCCCUGUGUAGUUAACCUAAUACACAGAAAAGCUCCCCAUGGUUUCAAAAUAUACAACACGAUCCCUCAUGCUUUGAACUAAAUUGUAAAGGUGACGGAAUCCGUUAAACUUAACGGAAAUGGACGAAAUGACCAAAAUGCACUGAUAUAAUUAAGCAAAAGACAGCUCAAAAAAAUCAUUUGUUUCAUUCUCUAAGUAGAGAGAAUUGAGGGUUAAGGGGUAGAAUAUGCAUAUUUGAUAAAAAAUAGGCAUAAAAAUUUUUUUUAGGUUCCAAUAAGUCAUUUCCGUUAAGUUUAACGGAUUCCGUCACCUUUAUAAUUUAGUUCAAAACAUGAGGUGUCGUAUUGUAUAUUUUGAAACCAUAGGGGAUUUUUCUGUGUAUUAGGCUUACCACAGGGGGUUUUUUGUUUUUUACCCAUAUAUAUAUAUAUAUAUAUAUUCAUUGUUAAAAAUUCCAAAGCAAUUGCCACUGAACUUUGUGUUAAUUAGAAACUUACUAUCACUUACAAGAUCUUACUAUUGAACUUUUCAAUGAUUAACCUCAGGCUUACACUUACAACGCAUUAAUUGAACAUAAACAUAUAUAUAUAUAUAUAUAUAUUCAAUGUUUUCAAUUCCAAAGCAAUUGCCAUUGAACUUUGUGUUAAUUAGAAGCUUACUAUCACUUACAAGAUCUUAAUAUUGAACUUUUCAAUGAUUAACCUUAGGCUUACACUUACAACGCAUUGAUUGAAGGAUAAUCUAAAAUUGCGACUAAACCGAUUAAAUUCGAUCAAAGAUCAGUUGGACUAGAAAGCUCUAUCGGAAUUAACUUUUUGUAUUGUUAUUGGUUUAAAAAAUAAUUUUUUCAUGGUAUUAAAAAAUUAUUUAAGAAAUUUAUAGAUUAAAGUUUCAAAAUAUUUCUAUUAAAAAAUUAGACCUCGGUUAUUGGGAAAAAGAAUUGGCCAUAAAAUAAUGAUUCACAAAUGUAAUAUUACAGCUUACAAUUAAUGGAAUUGCUUAUAAAAUAAUGACAAGUAUUUAUCCAGCCCAUUGGGCUCUUAAAAUAAGUAAUGGGUUCCUUGGAAAGUUGGAUAGUUUUAUGUUUGGUCUGAAAUGAUUUGCACAUUCCGUACGUUGCCAAUUGUUCUCCCCAAAUCAUAGCCUCGGUUGCCAAUUGUUCUCAUGCUAUUAAAAGAAAAAUCAUUCCAAUACCAUUUUUAUGAAUAAGACUGACGAUUACUAACCAAGACUAGAAAUCCAAAAACUGGACCAUGGGAGUAUCAAUGAAGAAAGGCCUUAAAGAGGCAAAUUAAUACACAAGUUUUAACUAAUAGCACCAACUCUUUUAUCACAUCUGUCAGAAGGCUUAACAUGACAUCGAGAGCACUAAACUCAAAAAAAAAAAAAUGCAAAACCCAUCGACAAAAGGAAAUAAAGCCUAGGCCUCGCAAUUGAAACAGAGAAGAAUAAGGCCAGUAAGCUUUAAAGCUAUAAAAGAUUCUAAAUCAGAUUAUAUUGGGACAAAUCAACUUCAAUCCCAAGUCCAUUCUCACGAACCCAACUAAUUUCCUCAUUUUCAUUCUCAACAACAGGAUUGCCAACAUCACUUUGCAAAUAUGUCUCAACAUCCAUGGUUGUGCCCAUGUUAUAUCCAGCUCUUGCAGUGGUAGAGAUAACCACUUGCCAAUCCUUAUCAGUUGGAUCUUCCACAUAAAAAACCUGUGAUGCUUGUGAAGCAAGUAUAAAUGGCUCAACAUGAGGCCUCACGUUUGCAAAAUUGACUAAAGUAAACCCAUCAGCAUCUUGUUUCAUUCUCGAACCAUUUGAUAUCCAAUCACAUUCGAAUAACACCACCCGCGACCUCCGUAAAUUAAUUCAAUCAUAUUUUUCAAGAUGCCGAAGUAAACUAGUUCACUCAAAACUGGAUUUUGAUCCCUUAUACUUGCAAAACUGGAUGUUGUUGCAUUGACUGUAACACCACUAUUCUGCGUUUUUCUUUUCUUCUCAACUUCUUUGGUGUGAAACCGAAAUCCAUUAACAACAUACCUGCCAUGUUGGAUUCCAACAACAUCUGGACCUUUAGCAAGGAACCUCAACUCUCUCAACACCGAAACAUUUUGAGGAAGUUCUAACUUGUCAAUCUGUAAAAAAAAAAAAAAAAAAAAGAUGAAACUAUAUUUGAAGUCCUACAAUUCAAAUUGUACUUAAUAUUCAGAAUUUUACUUACAUGUUCAGCAAACCAACAUGCAAAAUUUUCACUGUGCAAGCGCUCUUUUAGAUGCUGUGGAACUUGAGGAUGUCCUUCUUCUAUCAAUCUACGAUGCUGCCUAGAAGUACAUGAGUCAAAAUUGUAAUCAUACAUUGAAUUCUACAAUAAAAUUUUAAUGCAUCAAGUUGUAGUUGAACUUACUCUAUGUAAGGUGUGACAGCAUCACAGUUAAAUAAAAUAUACUGAUGUGCUUUACUCAAGAUAUGAGCAUCAAAGACUGUUGGCUUGCCCCUCCCCAAAGGAUGUCCUGAUUCAGAGAAUAUAUCUAAACCAUCUUCAAUUUCCUUAUGUACUUCUUCAUUUCUGCUUGGACGAUUGAAUUUUGUCUCAACAUAGUCCGCAAGAUACAAUGAGCAAAAGUUAAUGCAUUCUUCUGCCAAGUAGCCUUGAGCAAUCGAACCUUCAGGCCUACUUUUAUUUCGAACAUAAGAUUUUAAUGUUCCUAAGUACCUAAAUUAUCAUCAUUCCAAACUCUCUAAUUAGUUCCACAAAUCAAAGAAAGCAAAAAAGGAAUAAACAUUUAAGGCAUAAUGAGAAUUACAAGCAGUACCUCUCUACAGGAUACAUCCAACGAUAAUACACCGGCCCACCUAAUUUCACUUCAAUUGCCAAAUGAACAACUAAAUGCACCAUGACAUCGAAGAAGGUUGGUGGGAAGCAUUUCUCAAGAUCGCAGAGUAUGACGGCAAUUUCACUUUCCAAACGAACCACAUCUUGAGGACAAAUAACUUUAGAACAAAGCUGCCUGAAGUAUCUACUCAAUCGAAUCAAAGGAUAGCGCACUGAUUUUGGUAAAGUCUUUCUCAAAGCUAUAGGCAUCAAUUGCUGCAUUAGGAUAUGAUUAUCAUGACUUUUAAGCCCUGAAAUUCUUGGUGGUUUUACUCGAACGCAUCUUGAGACGUUAGCUGCAUAACCAUCUGGAACUUUCACCUUUUUUAGCACAUUGCAAAACAUAGUUUUCUGUUUUUUAUCCAUUGCAAAGGAAGAUGGAGGUAAGUACACCUUUCCAGGUUCUGUCUCAAUGGGAUGCAGCUCUUUUCUUAGUCCCAUUUCUCUCAAAUCACGGCGGGAAUUAUAAUGGUCCUUUGUUUUAUCCUCGGUGUCCAGCAAUGUCCCCCAAAUGUUUUCACAAACAUUUUUCUCAAUGUGCAUGAAGUCAAGAUUGUGUCUUAAGACAUUAUCUUUCCAAUAUGGCAAGUCAAAGAAAAUACUCCUCUUUUUCCAAUUGAAAGGCAGCUUCGGAUUACCUUUCACAAGUUUUCCAAAUUUAAUUUGCAAGUCUCCCAAUUCACUCACAAUCAUAUCCCCGGUUUGCAAAGGUGGUCGCUUUCCAUGUUCUUCGGUGCCAUCAAAGAAUUGGGCUUGCUUUCUAAAUUUAUGCUUACUAUCUAAGAAUCUCCGAUGACCAUGUAGCAAUAUUUGAAACUAUGAGUCAACCGUCGUGCAUGAGUGAACUUGUGACAAACAGGACAAGCAUAUUCACCUUUAGUGCUCCACCCAGAUAACAUUGCAUAUCCAGGGAAAUCACUAAUGGUCCACAACAGAGCCGCAUGCAGUUGAAAAUUUUCUUUUUGGGAUGCAUCAUAAGUUUGAAUGCCAAAAUCCCACAAUUCGGUCAGUUCUUUAACUAGAGGCUGUAGAUAAACAUCAAUAUUAUUCCUAGGAGAGGAUGGUCCGGGUAUUAACAAAGACAACAUGAAGUACGGUUGCUUCAUACACAUCCACAGAGGUAAGUUAUAUGGUAUUAAAACUACAGGCCAAGUACUGUGUGUAGAACUCAUGUUGUUGAAUGGAUUAAACCCGUCAGAUGCCAACCCCAAUCUAACAUUUCGACAAUCCUUAGCAAAUUCUGGAUGUAGAUGGUCAAAAGUUUGCCAAGCUGGAGAAUCAGCUGGAUGUCUCAUACAACCAUCUUUUGUACGUUUUCCUCAUGCCAUCUCAUUUGAGAUGCAAUUUUAGAAGACAUAAAUAGUCUUUGUAAUCUAGGUUUUAAGGGAAAAUGCCACAACACUUUUUGAGGAAUUUUCCUUUUUUCCCCAGUUGGAUCAUUUUCUGAAGCAACCCACCUAAGCUCGUUACAUGUUUCGCAUGAAGUUCUUUUUUCAGCACUACCCCUAUAAAGAGAACAAUCAUUAGGACAUGCAUCGAUCUUUUCAUAACCCAGCCCCAAUGUAUUCAUCAAUUUCUCAGCCUCAUAGUAAGAAGACGGCAAAUUAGUCAUGGCCUCCGGAAAUGCUUCUCUCAACAGCUCAACAAGCAUAUUAAAAAUCUUGUUACUCAUCUUACCCAGGCAUUUUAGGUGAAGCAAACGAAUAAUGAAAGACAAUUUCGAGAAAUUUUUGCAACCAUUGUACAAAUCCUGUUGAGAAUCAUCAAUCAAUUUGUAAAAUUUUUCAGCCUCUGAAACAGGAAUGUCCCCUUCUCUAUUCAAUUCAUUUGUUCCAUGUGGUAUCCCAAAUACAUCAUGGACCAAGUCUUGCAUGUCAUUAGUCCCAUUUGAAACCCAAUUGAUGUAUUUUCAGAAUUAGAUGUGGCUUCAUUGUAGUUUGAAAGUUCUCCAUGUGCUAUCCAAUUAUUAUAACCCUUGAUAAAUCCUACCACUUUCAAAUGAUCAUAUGCUUCCAUUUUUGUCACACAAACACCCAUGCCGCAAUCUUUGCAAGGACACAAAAUCUUUCCGUCACAACUUGAUCUAGAAAAUGCGAAGUUUAGAAACAUUUGAAGUCCUGUCUCGUACUUUUCACUUGUUCUUGGAAAAUCCAUCCAUCUUUUAUCCAUACUUUUAAUAUAAAUAAAUGUCCUCCAACGAGCUUCCAAUAGCCUACUUUUUAAACUCAGGUCGUGGCUUACAAGUCCCUAAUUUCAAGUUCAAGAAUUUCUCACAAAAAGGAAUUUAUCAAGCAGCCAGCAAAUAAAGGAAAUCAACAAAAUGCAAAAUUUCUCAACAAUCUAUAAAAACAGAAUUUGCAAGUAAGCGGAUAGAAAUUUUAUUUACCUAAUAACAGAAAAAAACCCUUCGUACCAACUCCUGCGCUCACGUCUUCGCAAAAUUCCUAAGUUCAAUCUGAAAUGUCAAUGGUUAAACAAACACAUGAGCAUGAAAACUAAAGGUGAAAUUCAAGAAUUUUACUAAAUUUUCAUCAAAGUAUACAUACAUCUUUGGUGUGUAGUGAUUAAUUUUAUAAGUCAUCUCUUUAGAAAGGCAUGCAAUUGACGGCAUAGGUAAUUGGAAAAAGAAUGACAGAAAAGUCCCCUAGCUUCUAAUCAUGCCUAUGAAGAUCCUUAUGAACAUGUCAAAAUACUUUGACCCAACUACAUCAAUGUCUCUGUCUUAUUAAUCUAAAAGUCCCCUUUUUUGGGCUCAAAAUUUGCACUAUAAUAGACUGAUCAAGUGCAGAAGACACUUAGUACAAGCGUUAUACUAUAUAUUUCAAGCAACUCACGUACUGAUUAGACAUACAAUUUAAAACAGAAAAAUGAUGUAAAGAUGCAAGUACUACAUAGAAUUUAACAUAGAAAAAAGCAAUAGUGAUAUAAGUGAUACCAUUGGGUGAAAUAUGCACUUAGCCGGAGGACCACCUUUGUGGCAAAAGCCAAAAGGCAGCAAAGGUUACCAUUGUUAUGCAAAUUUUGUGCCUCACAUUGGCGGUCCAUUAUCUGCAUCUUAAUUGUCUUUGGGCUUAUAUAGUCACGGUUUCCCAAUUCUGUCACCAGAAUAAUUUCCUGCUAGGCAUAUAUAGACCAUGGUCCUUGUUUCAUUUAUUUAUAUCGAACUUGUUGCUGAGUGUUCAUGAUUACGAUAAGCAAUGCAAUUUGGUUGAAGCUCUCUAUUCACAGUUUUGCUUAACCGUCCCCAUCCCCAAACAGAACUAGCUGCCUAAACAAACUUCAAUUACAGCUAGGUUUCAUAGAAAAAAAUGAAAAACAGGGGGAAUUGACUUUUUAUCGAACAGGUUUUGGGCAACAUACUAAUCACCCGUGGACACUUUAUUAGCUAGCCUAUGUACAAUUAUGGCAUGACGAUAGAACAAAUGUAACAUGGACAUAAAGAUCGAUCUCCUCAAAAAAUACGCAAUCCAAUUGAACAAAUUUCCUCAAGUUUUCAUCUCCAUUGCAGCUAAAGAAAAAGCAUCCAACACCGAGUUGCUAUUAAUGCUACAAUUAGAUAGAUAUCAUAUUUAAAUCUUUCAACAAUCUUAAAUGAGGACAAUAUAACUCAACUAGCGACAGCUCAGGCCAAGAAUCUUUACUUCUCAGAAAAAAAUUUCCAAGUUGCAGGUAAUUUCUUGACAACGAAAUCAAACAUAAGAGCUUCAUUGUGUUUACCACUUCGAUUUUGGAACAACAUUUGCGCGCCUGAAGUAUCUUCCAGCUUUCCCAAUGUACAGCUCCGAUCUUCUAAUUUUACUCCCUGCCUGCCCUUCCAGAUGUCUUAGCCGAAGGAUUUAAAGUUGAGGUUAGAAAAGAUGAAGAUGGUUGUUUGCGGAGACAGCUUGACCAACAUUCUGGAUUGGCUGAGAUAGAUUGUAUGCGGAGAGGUGAGAGAGAUGAGAAGAAGAAAAUUUUCACCAAGUCCUUUUGCCGGCAAAAUGAAACUUCAGAGUACUUUACCAAGUGUCUGGAGCCAAAUUAAAACGAUGUCAUUUUCUGUCUUUUUUUUUCUCACAUUUUCCCAAGUGUCAUGAUAGGUAGUCUAAAGACACAUUAUUAUUUUAUAUCAUGAUAAAAUAAAAAAAUUAUAGUACAGAUUAUUGAGUUGGUUAAUAAGUGUCAUGAUACGUUUGGUAUAACGACACAAACCAACAAGUGUCCUUAUAAACAUGUCAGAAAAGGCCAUUUUUGUUGUAGUGCCUGUUGCGUUUUGAAUUUCUUAAAUAAAGGUCUUCUCUUACCCCCAAGCUAAAUUUCACACACGUUGCUCUUAUUCCUAAAUAUUUAGAGCCCAAGCAAGCAAAUAUCUCAAUUCCGUCCACUAAGUUUAUGUAAUGUAGUGUACAAAUUAGCGUCUAAAGCCAUCUCUAAUCGAGUCCGUGUUCUUUUACCGAAUAUUAUUUCUGAUCUCAAUCGGCUUUUAUUCCUGGCCAAUUAAUCACCAGUAAUGUCCUUGUUGCUUAUGAAGUCCAUCAUCUUAAAUGUAAAAAUGCAGGCAAGGAGGAACUCAGGUCGAUUAAAAUGGAUACGAGCAAAGCGUAUGAUCGAGUUGAGUGAUAUUUCUCUUAAAAAUAUUACUAGCUUUAGGUUUCAAUUCUAAAUUUAUUUUCUUAAUUUUCAAAAGUAUUUCAACAGUUUCUUAUUCUUUUUUGCUCAUCGGUUUGGGAUUUGGCCACUUAAAACCUAGUUGGGGUAUUAGACAAGGAGACCCACUUUCCGCAUAUCUAUUUAUAUUGUGUGCAGAAGCUUUUUACAUUUUAUCUCAGAAGCUAGUCUUUGUGGAAAGUUGGGAGGCAUUGCUGUUGCGCCUGGUGCUUCAUCCAUUUCUCAUUUGUUUUUUGCCAGAUGAUACUCUUUUAUUUGGAAAGCUACAGGGGAGGAGGCUUCAAAUUUUAUGCAGGUUAUCAAUCUUUAUGAAGGUGCAUCAGGCCAGCCGAUUAAUGUGGAGAAGUCAGUGGUGGUAUUUAGCAAGAAUACUCCAGAAGCUGAUUAAUUGGCAAUUGAAUGUUCUCUUCGAAUGCCGCCUGUGGAAUCACAUGAAAAGCACCUCUGGGGUUGCCUACUAUCGUUGAGAGAUCUAAAGGUGAGGUCUUUAAUUCUAUCAAACAAAGGGUUUUUAAACGGAUUAAUGGAGCAGCAGUUAUCUCGAGCAGGAGAAGAAAUUUUAUUGAAUGUCCCUUGUAAAGUUAAGCAUUAUCUCUGGAGAAUUUGCUGUGAUUUCUUGCCUACUAAAGUAAAUCUGCUCCGGAGAAGAGCUUCAGUGGAGCUCAACUGUCUGUCUUGUGGUUUUGAUAUUGAGGAUCUUAUUCAUGCAAUUUCUUUCUGGGCGUUAAGCUGCCUUAAAGGGCAAGUACGUAAGUGGCAGCAAUCAAUUCCCAAAGAGUGGGCUCUGGAGUUGUUAGUUACGUUGAAAAAUCGUGAAGCAGAGUUGUUUGAGAUGUUAUGUUGGGCUAUUUGGCUUGGGAGGAACCAAAAGCUGCAUGAAGAUAAACGAGUGGACCCUUUUGAGUUUAGUUAGCUUUGCUUCGGUGCGCUCCAAUAAUUCCAAGAAGCUAAUGUUACUCAGAAAUGUCCAGGCGAUGGCAAGUUAAAGUUUAAUUUUGACGGUGUGGUGUUUAAGGAAACUCAAUCUAUUGGUUUAGAUGACGGUGCGGUGUUGAUUUAUCUAGUUUAGACCCUCCAAUUUUUGACAUUACGAGGGACUUAACUAGUUUAGAGAUGUCUAGUAUUUCAGGAAUGAGUAGGAAUCAUAAUAAAAUCACUCAUAUAUUAGCUAAGAUCGCAGAAUUCAUAUGUGAUCAUGUCUUUUGGUGGAGAGAUCUCCAGAGUUUGUUGUGCCAUUUCUAAUGGCGGAUUUGUUAGAAAGUUAAUGAAAGUUCAAUACAGGUUAUGUUGAGUAAGACGUUGGAUUGAAAAUUCAAGAUUUUGAACUGAAAUUUCAAGAUUUUGAGAUGAAAAUAAAAGAUCACGCUAAACUUAAUGGAUUCAAAUCUUAAUAUGUGCAAAUGCGUUUGAUAACCAAAAUUGGACAUCUGAAUUAAUUAAGUGCUACUGAAUUUUCUAAACGAAAUUUGUUCUAAAAAAUAAGUGAUAAACUAUGCAUUUAUUACUGAAUGUGAUAUACACUUAAAUAUACUUGAUUUAAUACUUAACAAUCUAAUAAAUUAAUGGACUCAGAUUUUAGAUUUCAAUUUUAUCAAAGUAACCUAAAAAUAUAGACUAUAGAUAAAAUAACUGCAGAUAAUGAUUUAUGUUGAGUAAGCUUUCAAAGCUACGUUUCCCAAAACAAACUUUAGAUAAUCAUUCUCUAAUUUUUGCUUUCACUCUAGAAGAUGCGUACAAUAAUGGGUGUAUACAAAAAUGGAAGUUAAAUUGAUAACACUAAGCUCGCCAAUUCUCAUAAAAAAAAUGAUGACAUUGCCUGCAUUAAUUCUAGUAACGGACUGAAGACAAUAAUUAAUAGGUGACUAUAUGGUGCCUAAGGCACACAAUAAAAUGUGGACUUGGUACCAUUAUUUAUUUUUGUGAAAGGAUAAACCUAUUUUGUAAGGUGUCGCAAUUCAUCAUCAUGAAAUGAGUGGUAAUUUUAAAGCAUUAAUAGUGAAUUCACCUUCAUUUUUAACGUUCAUAUCGCAAAGCCUAUUAAAAAAUUUCCACCAGCACAAAUUCCACUUUUAAUAGGUUCGAAAAUUCACUCACAAAUUUAUCCACAAAUCCCAUUAACAAAAAAAAAAAAAAAAAAUGCAGAAAGUUAUCAACGGAACUUCUAUAGUGCGUUGAUGCGACACGUGUUGGUUGGAGAUUACUAGAUGGGAGUGGGGUUAAUCAAAGGUGGUAUUUUAGUAUUAAGCCCAAAAACCACCGGUAACAAUGGUAUUGACCCAAUUUCAGAGGAAUUGACCCACAUAAACUGUGAAAGAUUAUUUUCUCUGUCAUUUAAGGCAAUUUCUGAACAAGAUUUAGGCGUAUAAUAAAGAAAUUAUCAACCCCAACCCCCAAUAUUAUGCUAAUAUGCAAUUGGAAAAAAUUAAAUGAAUAUUUACUUGAAGUUAAGAAGUGGAUACCAAUCGGUAGAAAGUGUUUAUAACAUACUCCGAAAUGCCAAAGGACUUCCCAAAAAGUGGGAAGCAGGACAACAUCUGAAAUAUAGUCCAAGUUUGAAGUGCUUUAUGUCAAACAUAUUUCAAUAUAGAAAAAAAAAAAUUACUGGUUAGCAUAUGUUUGUGCGCAGUAUUUGUUGAUUGGGAGACGGUUCUAAGGAGGCGGUUUUGCAACAAAUAAGUAAACGGGAUGUCGAUUACUUGGAGUUGUAUCUUAUGCUGGAAAAAUAAUUAGACAUGUCAGUUAAGUAAUAUUUCAAUUUAAAUAAAGUUAGUUAGGAACUAGAACUCGUAACAUGGUUGGAUAUGGUUAGUGAAUAGGAUAUGAAUGUUGGGGGAUAGAAUACAACUAGAAUUACUAAGACAAAUUAAGCGUGACACUUUGAAUUCAAAUUUUACUAACAUUGCAUAAUAACACCUUUGACUGAUAAUUUUUUUUGAUACGGAAACUGGAAAAAUUUUAUUAAGAAGAGGAUAGAUCCGUAUUAAUUGCGAAAGAAAGAAAAAAUGGUGGAGAAAAUCUCCAACUAUAAAUACCUGAAAUAGAACUAGCAUUACUAUCUAAGAAAUGAGCAGGCACAAUUAGAUUCCUAGGAAUCCAAUCAGCCUCCCAAGUAAUGAAAUUCUGUAAACUAACAAAGAUAUCAUCUAACAGCACUCCAUAAGCUGAAUCAUCGGAUUCCAUAUUUUUAAGCAUGUUGAUGAUCUUCAAAGAGUCACCCUCUAAAACAAUCUUAGAACCUUCAACUGAAGUAACGAGGAAAUUGCAGAUAUUGCAGCAUAAGUUUCAGUUACUUCAGGAGAAAAGAUACCUAAGAUUUUGUGAAAAAUACUAGCAACAAAUUUGCCCCAUUCAUUCCUCACAACAAUUCCAACUCUAAAGUUGUCGUCUUCAUAGAAUAUUGCACCAUCGAAGUUUGCACUGCACCAUCGAAGUUUGCCUUUAGAAAUCUUGCAGAGGGCUUUAUCCAAUGAAGUUGAGCAGUGGAAGAGCAUAUUGGAAUGUUUGGAAAUGUGUUUAUUUCAUGGUAUUUCUAUAAGAAAUUGAUAGAGAGGGAGAGACCAAACUGAAGGAUCACGAUAGAACCAUCAAAUAAUGCAUCAUUUCGGUUAAACCGUAGAUUCCAAAGAAUUAUGGCUACCAAUUCCAUGUCCUGCUUUUUCAAAAGAUGAAGGCCAGACAACCGAGACGAAACUUGAUCGGUAGAGUCUAAUCUUAUCUUUAGUGUAAGAAAGCUAAGGGCCCAAGGUUGAAUUGCUACUGGACAGCACAAGAAAAGAUGAUUAACAUCAUCAAUAGGGGCCUUACAUAAAGAACAAGUAGGAUCAAAAUAGACUCCGCGACUAUUCAACUUGGAAGUUAUAGGUAGAAUGUCUUUGCAAAUUCACCACAAGAAUAUUUUAACUUUACUUGGUAUGUUGAGUUUCCACAAGCAGGGCCAAAUAUCAUCCAUAGAACCAUUACUACAUGAAGCUACAUCUUGUCAAUUUGUAGAUUAUAUUUUGAUAAGAUGAUAGGCAAUUUUCACUGUGAAGGAGCCAUUUUUAGAAUAGUGCCAAAUGAGCUUAUCUUGAUUUCGUCUAUCACCCAAUGGAAUACUCAUAAUCAACUCAAUCACAUCUAAGGAUAGCAACGGGGGCAGUGCCCGGGGGGCUAUGGGGCAGAGGUGGGGGGGGCGGGGGAAUUUUUCCCCCAUUUAGAAACGGGGCAGGGGCCCACCCAUUUGGAAAAAAAGAGAGAUAUAUAUAUGUACAUAAUUAUAUAUAUAAUAUAUUAUCAAUUAUACAUGUCUAUUAAUAAAAAUUAUUAAUUAUUUAUACUAAAUUUAUUAAUACAUUUAUAUUAAAUUCCUAACUACACUUAAUACAAUAACACUUUUUUUCUAAAAAAAACACAAUAAUAAUUUAGUGAUUGUAUUUGUAUCAAAAGUAAAAACAAUUAUUUUAGUUAUAUUUGUUUUAUCAUAUUAGAUCGUAUUCAAAUAACUUUUGUUUAAUUAUUUUUAUGAGUUUCAAUUGUGAAGUUAUAAUGAAUAAUAAUUUGGUGAUGUGAUUGAUAUUUUAGUACUUGAUUACUUGCUCAAAUUUAAUUAUAAUAAAAUUAUAUAAUAAUUUUUUUAACCGCGGGGGAAGCGGGGCGGGCGGAGGACGGGACGGGACGGGGGAAUUAAUAGGCAACGGGGGGGGGAGGGGCCACCCUAAUCACAUCCUGCCAAAAAAGCUCUUGAAGCAAAUCAUAUUUCCAUUUCCUGCUAUUUUCAUCAAUUAAACAAUCUAUAGUGGAGAUUUCUAGUAGCACAUCAAAACGAGAUAUAAUUUUGAAAUUAGAAAGACGUGGAAUCCACCUCUUUCCAAAUUUUGAUAUGAUUCCCGUGUCCAUCUCACCAUCUACUACCAAAAACACCUUUGAUUGAUAAUUAAAUAGUUAAAAAAAUAUAUCUACUUAAUUUGUUUACUCAAUAGUUAUGUGAACUAAAACAUAAAAAAGAAGGUCAAUUAUUAUAUUAGUGUUAUAUUUGUAAUAUUAGUUCCCUAUAUAGUAGGUUGCCGAGUUGGGCAUAUUUAUAUUCUACCAAGUAAAUGCCCUAUCUUUUCGAAACGUGGCAAAAAAAAUUGUGUUUGUUUUUUUGGUAGAUUUCAUUCUUUUUCUUUUUUGGUAACAAUUAAUUUACUAUUCAUUUUCACUUCAUUAUUUAUAGUAAAUUUCAAUCAAUUAUCAAUUACUUACCUUAUAUGCAUUUCUAUUAAUUAUACCUUUAUUUUUUUAAUCAACUUAUAGCUUUCCUUUUUAAUUAGGCACUCGUUAAUAUAUGUCUUAGGUGUUAAAUUUUUAGAAAUAUAAGAUGAAUUAGGGAGCAUAUAAAUGUAAGGGAAUUAAUUAGAAAAAUAUAUAAAUAAAAGAAAAAGUAGUAAUGUUGCGUAUAUAUAUGGCAGGUUAGGUGGAAUGCAGGUGUGUUAACGAUUACCCAUAGGGCACCCAUUAGAAAUACUCAUCAAAAUUUGGAUUAAUUUUUUUCCUUUCAUUGCAAUCAUUACUACCAUUUUUCCUAUCAUUUAUUACUAUACCUUCAUGUUUCUAAAUACCAAUAAAUGUAUUACUCUCUUACUUUUUAUUUGAUUGUGCUAAUUAUAGCUUUCCUUUUACUUAAUCAAUUAGUCAAUCGAUCAAUCAACCCAUGAUUUUAAUUCUCUUUUCAAUCGCACGAUCUUUCUUUUAUCCAUCAUUAGGGAGAUUUACAAUUUAGUCACAUAUUUGUUAUGUGUACAAUAAUUAUGCAAUCAUAAGCACAAACUAAUGCAAUUCUAAUAAUUUUGCAUAUAUGCAUUCAUAUUGUAUUGCAACACCUUUAAUAAUUCAUUAUAUGGUUACAAAAGCCAAAAAAAAUCUAGUAUUACCUAGACCUUAGAUAGUCCCCAAUGUAUACACUGAUACUGUAUAAAAUGAUUUUAAACCCGUUAAUAUAUAUACUGAUUGCAUAUGAAGAUUCAUCCCUAAUUUAGACCUCUUAGAUAGUUUGCAUGCAUUAUAUUCCCUUUUUUAAUUUCUUAUUUAGUUUACCUUAUUACCAUUUAUGAUUUUUUUUUAAUUUAAGCAACAUCUUCCAAUAUUUUAUCACCAUUUUAAGUUAGUUCAUUUUUAGGAGAUAGUAGUAUAAGUGUGGUAGUUUGUCCAAAUAACUUUGAAUAUGCAUAUACAACCCAAAAAUAAAAUGAUAGUUGUUUAUAUUCUUAUCACUCAACGAUGAUAGUGUUAUGUAAUUUAAAUGAUUGAGAUCUAUUGCCAUCCAAAUAUAAAUUUAAUAUGAGGGUAUGAUAACUAAAAAUGACUAUAGAAUCUCCCUAAAUACUAAAUAAUGCGAAUAGAGAUAUUCCCUCAAAAACUUGUAAAGUACUUAAUGUGUAUACGGGUAAAUUCUUGCAAUAGUGAAAGGAAAAUAUCUUACUAGCCUUGAAAUUUUGGCCCGUGUAUUGACUUUUGUUAGCUAAAUUAAACUAUCUUGGAGUGAAGACAUAAAAUCUGCGGCAAAUUUGAGAGAGUUGUGAACAUAGCUUAUCUAGCGUACACAUUUUUUCCGAGUUUGAAUUCUCUCACUUACACGACAAAAAGAAAAAACUAUCGUACAUUUAACUUCCAACUAACAAUGAUGUAUAGGUAAUAAAUUAUAUGCAUGGGAUAUUCCAUAAAUAAAUGAAAUAUAUUUACACGACAAAGAGUAAAUUCUUAAAUUAAGAAGAAAUAAUAUUAUAGUAGCUGUCAAUUUGUUUAUAUGACUUUUUGGUUUGUCUUUACUCAUGACAACCAAUUAUGUUAUUUUGAUGUAAAAAUAUCCAAAAACGGUUGAAUACAAUGUGGGACAUUAUUAUUAUUACUCGGAUACCUCAAUAUUUAUAAAAUUGAUUAAAUUGGAAUCCAUUUGGAUUUAACAGUAUUUUGAAAAAACUAUUUUUGUUGUUCAAGUCUAUAGUAAUAAACUUUAAAAAUAACCUCAAAAAUAAUUUAAAAAUACAACAUAUCUCAAAUACAUUAAAAAAUAAUUAAAAAAUUUCCCUAAUUCUUCUUCCCCACACUACCCACUACAACCACCACCACUACCCAUCACUGUCCACUACCACCACCAUCACCCCACACCCAUGACCCGUCUUCCUCUCUCCUCUCUCUCUUUCUCCUCUCUCUCUCCUCCCUCCUUCCUCCUUUUCUUAUUCUCCUUCUCCUUUCUCCUUCCUCCUCUGCCUUGUCUUUCCUCCCUUCUCCCUUCCUUUCCCCACCCCCUAAUCCCCCCUUCCCUCUACUGACUGUGGCCUUCUUGGUCUUGACCAGAAAGGUUGCAGCCAGAAGCCGCGACUAGUGGCUUCUGGUUGCAACCAAGGUCACAGAUGGAGUCGCGGUUACCAUCCACGAUUGGGAGAGGUUUGAGGGUCAAACGAGAGGGAGGGGAGAGAAGGAGAAGAAAGAGGAGGGAGAAGGAAGAGGAAGGGAGAAAGAGAGGGAAAACAGAGGGAGAGACAAGAGAGGAGAGGGGGUAACGGCGUGAGUGGUGGUGGUGGCUGGCGUAAAAUUUUUUAAAAAUACCCCAAAAAAGUUGUAAAUUAUAAAAAUAUCCCAAAAAUGUAUUUUAAAAAGCCCUAAAAAUACCUUUAAAAAACCCCCCAAAAACAUCUAUAGUACAAGUUAUUUAUAUAUAUAGUUACCGUAAAGUUUUUAAAAGAUACCCUAAAAACAGUUAGUCCAAAUGGAGUCUUGAGUUUUGAGGUUAAGGUUCAAUGAUUGACCACAAUUUAGGUCAAAGUAAAACUUGGCCGAAAGUUUAGUGGGUAAAAUAUAAUUUUAAAAAUUAAUCAUCUUCCCUGAUCCUCACAGUUGCAAUGGUGAACUGUCAGCCCCUUAGGACGUGUUCCAGACGGAAACGCGCAACCGUGGUAGAUUUCGGUCACUCAUGGUCAACUUGGAAGGCUGAAGGUGAACUGGUUGGGAAAAACUUGGACACAUGUUUGAUGAUGUAUUCCAUGCCUAUGUAUGGGUUUGGAAAAGUUUCAGGGCUAGGAAAUGUCUCUAAAUUAGGGGAAAUGAGGGGUGGCUUUACUAGCGGUCCGAAAUUUUUAGCUAGGACUACUAUAGAGAGAGAUAACUAUAACUAAGCCAAGUCAAUGCCAAGGGCUGGGGGCUAAGGCUUUAUGGGUUAUUUGGAUGGUUCCAAGCAUUUGGGCUGUGUGCCUAAGUUGCUAAGUGUUGGGCCAAGUUGGGCACGGAACUAAGCAAAUGGCAAGAAGCUGGGUGUGCGAAACUGUGUGACCAUUGCCUGUGCGCUCCAAAGACGAACGUUGGGACUGUCUGGCAGUUGCUAGUCGUUUGCUGGAGUUGCGGACGAUUAUCAGUCAACUCAGACACGUUCUUAUCGGUUUCCUGACUUCAUGUACAUUCGGGUCGGACCAACGGUUGGGUCUUGUCAACUAUAACAAUGCAUAUAAAUAAAUGGCUAGGUAGGGACUAAAGGCAGAUAGUGAGAAACACCCUUAGAUGUUCUGCAGCUAAAUGUUUGUAGAAUUGUCCUUGUAAUCUCUAUAGUGAAAUACAAGGUUGGCCGUUUGUUGUAACUUGUGCGUGUGUUCCUUUGUUUUUGCCUAAGUAUUCUAUGUUGAAUACUUGUAUGCAAGUGUCAGUGUAAGGGCUGACUGGAAGCGCGGCUUAUCAAUGCCAUUACAUGCUUGUUAGGCUAGUGAGCGUAAACACCUCGUAAUAGUUUGGUAUCAAAGCACGGCUUUGAUCUAUUAGACUGUGCUUCUGUUAUGUGUUUUGUUGGUUAAUGAUGGUUGGACACAGGAAUUCUGUUGCAAUGCUUGGAAUGGUUGCAAUGUUAGGAACUUGCAUUCGAGGACUUGAUGCAGUGUCUAGGAGAUGGCCUAGAAGGCUUCAAUGUCAUAGAAGUUCUAUUGCAGACUAGAGAGAUGAUCAACACCCUGACUGCACAGAUG